rnacentral:lncRNA from 1 species
UAUCAAGUGAGGUAAAUUUUUUCAAAAACAAGUUUUUCAAUUGCAAUGCUACAGUAAUACACAAAUCAAUUCAAAAGAUAUUUCAUCCAUACAAUAUAUCAAACAUUUCAAAAAAUAUUUAUAGUAAAAGUUUUUCAUAUACACUGCUAUAGUAAAAUUUUUCAAAAGCACCCCCAAAAACAGCUAAUCCAAAUGGAUAGUCUUUUUGUAAUUACUAAGGGAGGUAAGUAAUUUUUUAAAACCUUAGGAGUGCUAGGUGAUGUUAAGAAAAACCUUAGAGGAGGUUUCUGAUAUUAUUGCUAUGAUUUAAGGGGUUGGGAGAGAAAAAAGGAUUUGAGUCUAGACUUUAAAUUAAAAAAUCAAUUUCAAGGAAAGAAUGAAAUUGGUGAACUGAUUAAGGAAAAUGAAUUUUUUUCUUGAAUCUAUAUUCUUGUAACCAAAGAAACACAGAAUGAAGUAAAUAGUCACUUAAAUAUGAAAUAUAUUCAUAUCAAUUUUCUCAACGGUGAAAUAUUAUUAAGAAAUAUAGAAUAAGAAAAAUACGAAAUAAGAAAAAAUGGCGCUUAGAUUGGUUCAAAGUUCAAACUCAUAAAUUUAAACCUUUGUAAUUGCAUCUGCACUUCUUAAGAUACACGAAUUUCAAAGUCAAUAUUAUAAUGGGCACAUACACCCCCUAUGAUUAAGCAGUUUAAAAAAUGCACCCCUUAUAAUUUAAAAGUAUCCACUUCCACUCCUUAUACUUUAGUGAAAAAUAAGAUAAAAUGGACACUACUAGUGAAAAUUUAACCAUAUACUAUCCAAAAACGCAACUAACCAUUUGUUUAUAGUAAUUUUAGACUUUAUUAACGUUUUCCCCACAUAAAUGUUUGCACUCUAUAAAAGAAGAUCAAACGUUUGGACUCCAAUCGUGAUAAUUUGAAUCUUUGUAUAGGUUGUAAAUGUUGAUUAGAGAUAUUUAUGGAAGAAAAAUAUUAUUAAAACCUCAUAUAAUUAGAAUAAGUAACUAGUUGCACUUAUUUCGUUAGGGAUAACAUCAUAAACCUGUCCUAAGGUUUCUCUCAAUAUCAUCUAGCAUUUCUAAGAUUUUAAAAAUAUCACUUACCUCUCUUACUUUUGUUAUUUGUGUUAAAAAGUUUUUGAAAACCCUAAACUACCCUUUGCUUGCUAUAUAAAAAUACUCUUAAACCACUUUGCUUAUUUCAAGAAAACCAUCACCUAAAAUACAAGCUCUAGUAGUACUACCGCAUCACAAUGCUAUAGUCCACAAAAAUAUAAUUUUGAAAAACAAAAAAGAUAUUUGUAAAGAAAUACAUUAGCAAAAUUUAACUUUGUGCUCAAAACUAAUUUCUUAUGAGCCUUAUAUUUUUUUUCUAACUUCUUCUCAAUCGAUCCCCAAGCUUUUAAAUUGUACUGAUCAUUAAAAAAAUCAACUCAAAAUAAACAAAGAAAUCAUAUCCCAUUCUAUCACAAUCACAAAAAGUAAAAAAUAAAUAAAAUUCAAUUUACUACAAAUUAUAAAUUAAAAAUCAUAUAAUCAUCCAAAAAAAUAAAUAAGAGAAAAUGUUGGAGAAAGAUGAAUUAGAAGAAAGUGACUUUUGGUUUCUUUUUUUUUUGGAAUUUUUUGAGCUCUAUUUAUUUGAUUGGUAAAUUACGUAUUUAGUGAAGGUUAAUAUAAUCUUUUUACAAUUACUAGAGGAGGAAAGUGACAUUUUCAAAACCUGUGAGGUACCAAGUGAUAUUAUGAUAAGCUUCAAGGGAGAUUUCUGAUAUCAUCCCAUUUCAUUAUUGCAAGUUCAAAAAGUACAAUUUGUUAUUGUAGCUAAGCAUAGUUAAUGACCAAUCUUAAAUAGACAAAUCUUAAACGGACACAUUUUUGAAUUUUUAGUUUGUCCUGCUUUUAUGUCGAUUCUUCUUUACAGUCUUUAUUCCCUUCCCUGAUAAUUAUCAGGAUUCAAGUAUUUGAAACUUUCUGGAAGUUGCAGCUAUAUAAAGUAUGUCGAUUCUUAUAUCUAUCCCUGAUGCAUUAUUAAGAUUCUAAGUAUUUGAAACUUUCUGGAAGUUGCAGAAAUAUGACAUUGAGCUUCGGGUACUGUAAAAGCGUGAAUUAACAAGGUAUUCAUCUUCAAAGAAUCCGUCAUAACAAGUAGCCUAAUUGAUUUUUUUUACCAUCAUGAAAAUCCAGGUUAACUUCGCUGACAAUUCAUUUUGCAAAUUUGUUUCUUGUAAAAGCAGAUACAAAGAACAUUUAGGAGGAAAGACAAGCUGGAAGACGAACCAACUCAACUCAAAACAAGUUGAACUCAGCAGCAGCUCUUCAACCAAUAAGUCCAGGAACUACAAGCCCCAUCUAGGUUCACCAUUCAACCAUGGAUGGGAUAGAAUAUGUAUUUGGUAUUUUCCACGUACAAACAGUAUGUCAAACCAAAACAAUCACUGAGACUACAAUUCCAUAGUUAUAUAUUUCACCAAACGUUCGAAGACUUUCGACAUACUUUGGUUUCACUUUACCAAUACAAACAGGUCAUGCGGUAAAGGAAACAUGCAAUUCAGAGGGGAAAAACAGACCAAAAGGAUUUCAGAACUCAUUGAAACCCAAAAAUCAGAUUAGACAAAUCAGAGGCCUGGUUAUCAAAUUAUAGCACAAAAAAGUAGUACAAUGGUAUACAAUCAGAAGCAGAAUUAUGGAAGUAAGGCUGGCAUCUAACAAACAGUGACAGGCAGGACAAAAAGACGAGUACAACAAAUUCCAAUGCAAGCUGCACCUGCUCUGAAUGUUUAAAAUCAAUGUAACAUUCAUAAUCAAGGACCAGAAAACAGAGUUGAUGGCUGAGUAUUCCAGAACAAGAAGCUAUUGACUCCUAGUCAAGAUGAUCACCUUUAGGCAAAAAUAUUUCUUAGAACACUGAGGAAUUAAGUCACUGCAGUCUAAGCUCUUGCACGUCUUAAAUUACCAAAUAGCCUACUUGAAAUAAAACAAAACUGAAUAAACACACGAGAUUUACUAAACUUCAAAGUGAAACCAAUUACUGUGAAACGCCCAACCACUUUGAGAAGUUCUCAAACUCGGUGUAAUCACUAUCUGAGAUCAUUGUUUUGUACCAUGACUUUCCAGCAGCUUUUACAGCAGACGUCUCCUCCUGUCAGAAGCAAAAAAUAGUAUAAUGAACAAGGGCUCAUUGAGGCAACAUUAGAACUAAAUAAUACCAAAUUGACCAAGUCAAGAAAGUUGGGGCCACUCAUGCCCAAAACAAGUCUUAGGCCCCUUCAACUAUUAUCAAGCAAAAGCAAAGAGAACAGGAUAGCAAGAAACUAUCAACCAAUGAUGACACUAAAACAAAAAAGUAAGACCCAUCGGUUACUGCAAACCAGUCAGAUAAAUCCAAAACUCUAUUAGAUCAGGUAUUUCAUCAUCAAUUAAAAAAGCACAAAGCCUAGAACCUGUAAAGUUGUUAGAAAUGAUCAAUCAUUACUCAGAACCCAUAAAGCCAGUUAAGACAUCUAGAAAAAGCCAGUCAAACAAAGCUACAGUGCCAGACAUGUAAUGAAACCAGAUUAUCAUUUAGAAUGUAACCAAGCAUGCUAAUUUAGGACAAGCAUCUAUUAAGAACGUCCAGGACAAGAUAAGAAAAUAUCAGCACACACACCAUAUCAUGUAAUACACAACUCUGCGCCCGAGUUCAUAUGUAUAGAAACAAAAGUCAGUAGCAAUAACCAAAACUACAACAAAGAAAGAAAAACAUCCAACGCACCACUACAUUGAAAAAAAAAGGACUUGAAAGCCAACUAAAAGGAUGAACCAGACAACCAAUAGAAACAAACAGAAGCACAAGUUGUGAUGUUAAUUAAGUUAACUUUGCAUCAUGAUAACAUUUUAAAUCAUCAAACUAAAUCACAGUGGGUUCCGAUAAUUAUUAGCUGUAUUCCUUCCAUCACAACUUGUCCAUAGUCAAAGCUAUUAUCAAUUAUCUAAAUUAACAUCAGUUGCAUGGCAGGAAGUCAUCUAAAUUCCUCAAUUCUUGUAUAUUAUUAGAGAACACAACAGCUUAUAAAGCCACUAAUGCUUGAUGCAAGAAAAUCUGAAUUUUUUAUUUACCAAAAGGGUUGAGCUUGUUUAUUAAAGACUCAAUCUGAAUCAUAUAGACAUCAAGGUUUUCAGUAGAAAAUGGAACACGCAUUCUGUAGCCUAAAGCAUACCAACACGGGCAGAUAGAUACAUCAUCUACAGUUGCAUCAAUAUUCCAACAGAAUCAAGCAUAGAAAGGAGAGGGAAAAAUAAUAAUAUAAACCAUAUACCUUCGUCAUUGGACUCCUCUUCUUGGCCAGCUUCUCCCUCUUAGCCUCAACACGCUGUUUCUCAGCCAAGAGAGCCAUCCUCCUAGCAGUCUUGGCAUAAGGAUUGAGCUUGAGCAAACAAUUCAAAUUCUUAAGAGGGUUCUUCUUCAUUGGUGCCCUCUUCACCACCUUCUUGAUUGGCCUCACCACAGAUUGCACCUCGUCAGAGUUGAUAAUUCUGGCCAAAUCACCAUUCACCAUCUUAGCCCUGGGCAAAACAUACCCCUUCUUCUUCAAGGAAGGCUUAUCAAAUGACCCGUAAAUCUCAUCCAAUUUCUCAAAUGCUGAUUUCGUCCAAACAAUAAACCUCCCAACGUGACCUCCCGGAGCAAGUUUCAACAAAUUCAAACGGUCCACGUGGGCCACCUCGACUCCAGGAAUGUUGCGGAAGGCCUUCACGAGCUUGGCCCCCUCAGUACCGUACACAACCAGAGGGCCUUUCCUGGAGAUGUAGCGGCGGUUACGCAUCUUGCCCUUUCCUGGGCGGAUGCCCUGGCUGUCCUUAGCCUUCUCAGCAUCAGGGUAAGCCCCAAUUUUCUUGAGAAGACUGAUAGCAUUGGAGGUUUUCUCCACGGCCUCAGCAGAAUCGGAGAUCACACAGGGGAUUUGCGGGACAGAUUCGAUGCGGUGACCGCGGGCCAUGACAAGGGAAGGCACAGCAGAGGCGGCGAUGGCAGAAACCACGGCAUACCGUUUCUUGUUGACUGGGACCUUGCGGUGCCAACGGCGCCAGAUCUUGGUCGGAGCGAACAUGCGGCCGCCGCGGCACAUGUUGCCAUAGGCACCCUGGCCGGCACGGUGAGUGCCGCCGCCAGGAACACGAGGGAUACGGGAAACAGCGCGACCAGUACCCCAGGACUCGGCGGAGGUCUGGUGACCGGCGGACCUAGAGACGGCGUACGGUUGGCGGGAGUUCUUGGAAAUGUCGCGAUGAACGUCUUGGAGGAUGUCGGGGCGGAUUGGGGCUUUCAUGACGUCAGGCAGAGGGAGGGAGUUGGCGUCGGCCUCCAUUUCAUUCUCAAGAGGGAUAACGGUAACUACCGGGAGAGCGGCGGCGGAAGCCAUUUCUGGUGCGGGUAACUGAGGGUUUGGGAAUUGGGAGAGUGCGUUUAGGGUUUUAACAUAGCGAUAUAUAAGUACGUAUAUAUAUAUCUGCGGUCCAAUUAACGAUCCAAUGUCAGGCCUAAUAUGCCAUCAAUUGGGCCAAACCUAAUAUGCCAUUAAUUGGGCCAGAUCUUGAUCAAACUAUAAAUUCAUUCUUUUUUUUAGAUUUUUUAAUUAUUUUAAUAUAUAAAAUCCAAUUAAAAACUUUGAAAUAGGAGGUUAUAACUAAUUUUGUCACCAAUCAAAUUUAAAAUCUCAAACUUUCCCAUUAGCUCUCCAUGUUAGGCAAAUUAAUUGAGUGUUUCAUAAAUCAUUUAUAAUUUACUGUUUCAUAAAUCAUUUAUAGUUUACUAUUCAGAUUUUAAACCCUUUUACUCCUUAAUUAAAGAAAAUACAUUUGUCAAGCCAAAUACUGUGGGAUAAUUAAUUAUUUCCAUUUUAAAAUCAUUCACCCUAUUAUCUUUUUAUCACUUUAGCCCUUUUUACUCCUUCAAUUUUUAUUUGUCAAGUCAAAUUCUCAGGAAUAGUGUGAUUAGUCCAAUUUUUAAGUCAUUCACCCAAUUAUACCUUCGUCACUUUCCUUCUGAAUGCAAUAAUCAUUUGUUAAGUCUUCUAAUGAUAUAUUUGAUUACUCUUGUGCUUUAAUGAUUCACCCCAUAAUAACUAAAUCAGUUUUCUUAUGGGUUUAAACUUAUUUUGUUAUCAUUUUUUUUUUGUAUUUAGUCAGCUUACGGCACUUUAGUAAGUUUUUUUUUAUGGUGGACUUUGUUUAGUAAGUUUGUUUUUUAAAAAAUUUUAAGUUUUUAACAUUGAAACUUAUACUUUAAAAUUAAAUAUGAGUAUGUAAAUAAUAAUUAUGACAUUUUAUUUGCACUUGGAAUAAACUUAAUAUUACUAUUGUGCAAGCAUAUAGAUGAUUUUUCAUAUAGCACAUGUACAUCAAAAAGUGCAUAUAAAAGAAAAUUUAUGUAUGAAUUCUAAAUCAAUAAAGGUAAAAUUAGAUGGUUGUUUUUGGCGGCAUCUUAGCAAUAUUUCGAUGAAAAUUUAGUAUUUCCCCAAACUUAUACCCAAAUUUUUAAACCUUUUCUUGAUAACCACUCUAGCUUUUAUUUGAUAAAAACAUUUGAAAAAUGAGGCAAUGAAUCCUAAAUAAUAAAAGGAAUCGAAAAUAUAGGAUCGUAGGAUUGAGGACGAUAGAACUUGAGGAAGAGCUAUCAAAUUGAGAUGAUUCAUGUGGGUUUAAGCAAGUUAUAAUUGGAUUAACCUAUAUAUAACUACUUAGUUAAUAAUUCAAAAUGGAUGAGUCAUAAAUGAACAUAGUUUUAGAUGGGUUUGGGUUAUUCAUGCUUAUUCAUGGCCCAUUAUUAAAUUUUAUUUACUUUUUCUCCCACAUUUUGUUUAGUAAUAAAACACUAUAUCAUUCUAAAUUUGUAAUAAAAAAUGACAACAUAUCAAGUUAAUAAGUAAAUUUUGCCCAAAUAAAGCGAAAAAACAUAAAAUAUUACACAGAGGAACCUAAAUUGGUGAUCAUGGUAAGUUUCAAAUUUUGUCACUCUACAAGAAUCUAAAAUUAAUUUAGGUAUUAACACAAACAAUCAAUUAACACUCAAGAAAUUUAGGAGACUUUUAUGAAAGGAAGGGAGGAAGUAUGAUAAAUUUUAAAACAAAAUAAAAGAAUGGAAAUUAAAGAAGAAGAAAAGCGCAAAAUAUGUCUCUGCAAAAAUUAGAAUAUAAUUAUUAGAUUGGUAGUAAUUUAGAUUCACCCACUAAUGGUUGAGUUCGAAUCUACAUUUAAUUUAAUUAGGUCAAAAUAAGUGAUCCAAAUUAAUGAGUUUAAUUGGGUUAACCGUUUGAAUCUAAUUUAAUUAUAUAUGUAAACCCAUUUGUUAAUGCUCGAGCUAAAUAAAAACAGGAAAAUCUCUAUAAAUUAAUAAUCUUCGAACCAUAAAAAUUCUAUUAAUUUGAAGAGUUAUUAAUUAAUUGAUAAAAUAAUGAUUUAUUAAUUUAUCAAGCGUAUUAGCAAUUCAAAAAAACUUUCAUUUGAUCAACUAAAGUUUUAUAUUUUAUUUUAUAAAAAUAUGAAUUAUUCUAUUAAUCAAAGGAGACUAAAAGUCCAUAGAAUAUAAACCAAUUCAUAUCUACAUGAUUUGCAAGUGUAAUUUAAUUCCUACUAAUGUACGUAAUUGAUAUCAUAUUCCUAUUAUUAAGGGGUCAAAAGGAUUUAGGAAUACUAAAUAAUUUCACUUCUAUUUUAUUAAAUGCAUACAAUGAAUCAGAUUAAUAAUACUAUAUAUAUAUAUAUAUAUAUAUAUAUAUAUAUAUAUAUGGCAAGGAAGUCUUCUUAUAAUAAAUAAACACAAAGUCUUCUUACAUAUUUCAUUGUUAAAUUAUGGCUUCUCAUUUAAAAGGUAUUCAUAAAUAACUGAUGAAUUGCAUAAAGCAUUAUAUGAAUAUAAUAUAUGUAAUUUUAAUGAAUUAUUAAUUUAUGAAUGGUAUGUAUGUAAGGUUUUCAAAAAAAUUAUUAUCUCGUUAUUUAAUCAAAAUUAUUAAUUUAGCUUGUUAGCCCAAGUUGAGACCCAAAAAAUUAUUAUUUAGUAAUGGUUAUUAAUUUAAGAAAUAUUAAUUCAUAUAGGUUUUAUUAUAGGUUUCUUUAUACAACUAUCAAUGGAUGGAAAGACUAUUAGGAUAGGAAGCCAUUUCUGAGUACAGCAACUUCAGAGGGAUGGGUGUAACUAAAGGACUCUCUCUAAAAAGAUUUAGGGCUUUGCUGAAGUAACAAUCUACAAGGGUUUGGAGGUUUAUGAAAUUUGCAGUUUUAGUCUUUCAAGUUUGAAUAAUAUCAGCUUCAAAAUGCAAAAGUGCCUAAGUCCUAUUUUACUAAAUUCAAAUAAAAAUAUGUAAAGUUACCAACAAUAUUGAAAAUUGGGGAGAGACUGAAGUGUGUUUAGGGUUUUAUAAGGUUUUUCAGAAGCAUCCCCAAGGUUUUAUGGAGGCUGUGUUUGGUUCCAUAGAAUUGAAAAUGAAAUGGAAUCACAAUUCCCUGGAAUUGAAAUUCUAUGAAUAGUAAUUCCAAAAUUUUGGAAUUCCAAAUCUUUUGUUUGAAUGAAACAAGAACUCGUUCAGAAUUAGAAUUGUUUAAAUUUGGAAUUCAAAUUUUUUUAACACUUAUAUUUGGAAUUGGUGGUUCCUUUCAAAAUUACUUAUAUUUUUUGGAAGAAACUUGAAAGAUAAAACUUGAUUAAAUUUGCACAAAUUAAUUAUAUGAUGGAAAGUCUUUCUACCAGAGUGUACAAAAUUAAAUUAUAGUGUCUUCUCUUCUACAAAAUUGAACUUUUACUUGAACAUGUACCCACAAUAAUAUAAAUUAAUAUGUAUAUAUAUAGAAAGAAGAAUUAAUAUGCUCAUAACUUAAAAGAAAUUCAUUCCUAAACAAUUCUAAUAAGAAUGUUUCCUAUAUAGCAUCACUUUCAUAUGCUUCUUAUAAAUUUCAAAUAGAAGAUGAAGGAAAAUGACAAAAAAAAACUAAAUGCUUGCCCAAUCAAUAAAUUAUUUAUUCCUAAUGAUCAAGAUCUAACACAAAACCACAUAAUCUAGAACAAAUAUUUAAGAAUUACAUUUCAAGUGCAAAAUAGCAUACAUAUGUUUAUCAAUGCAAGAAAAAUAUAUUCACAGAAUUAUCCAAACUCCUACUACAAUCAUUUCUUUUAAGUGGUCCUUCAAAACUUACUCAAGUCAUUUUUGCUUCAAGGUGGUUGUUAGUCUUGUUAUCUUCAAGACAUCAAGGGGAACCAUUCCAUCAGCCUAGUUGAGAAAAUUCAUUGGCACUGGAAUUUUAACAUUCAAGCAUACUGUGAUAUGUAAUAAAUCAUAACAGCUCAAAGGAUAAAACAAAAUCAUGCCAAAGAACCUAAAGAGAGAUGACAAGCAAUUAUUUUCUUCCUAUUUAAAACCAUACCAAAUCAUGCCAAAGAAACUAAACUACGAUCUAAGUCAUUACUAAAAAUUCCUUUUUUCAGAAGAUUUCACAAUGGAAGGCUUUUCUAUAGCAAAGCAAUCAUCAUGAGAUAACCAAUUCAAUUCCAAUACAUGAAUUUAGUUUCUAAUAUUUAUGGAGACCAAUUCAUCCCAUUUGGUUUCAACUAUAGAGCUGCAACAAGACGCUGAUAUAGGAAUACAAUUCCUUAGCAUUUCAAAUUUUACUUUAAUUGAGAUGAUCUUAUCAUGGAUAGAUAUCCUACAAAUAUAAAACAAGUGAAAGAGCAAUUACAACAAAACAAUGAGAAAACAUGUGGUCUUCUGGAUGGAUAUAAAGCAAUGACUUGCAGAUUCAUAAAUGUGCACAAAGGAUUGUUCACUAUUGAGUUAUAGAUUCACCUCAGGAUUCCGAACAUCAAUCUACAUGUUUUUGCUAUAAACUUUAGGUAAUAUCUGACUUUAAGCUAAAACAAAAAUGAAAAGUAGAGAAUAGAGAAACUUGUCAUCUACAGAAACAUUGAUUUCUAAACUCCAAUGCAAUGACCUGAAUAAGAGAAACUUGUCAUCUACAGAAACAUUGACAUCAAAGCUCUAAUGCAAUGACCUAGAUACAACCACUUUGUUAAAGAUAUGUUCAAGAUAGACAUUAACCAAAUUAGAAGACAAAUAAGGAAAAUCAGUCAAACACAAUGACAGAAGUGGAAAGUGAAUCUCAAGCUCUUAAACCAAGUAUUUGUGUUGAUAUGAAGAGGAAGAGAGCAAGUAAUUUUACUUAAACGACUAAGAAUUAAUUGCCAGGCUUUUGCUUAAAUUGACCCUUUAUUGAAUAUUUACAUUAAUCAGCCAUGAGUCUGACUUGAAUUGUUGUACAUCAUUGGACACUAUUACCAUACAUCCAAGACAUAACCUUGAAACUAGAAAAGCACAACUGAAAGCUUACAUAUAUUAAUAGGCAAGUAUCAACAAAUGUAGAGAUCAUUUUUCUUGCUUAACAAUAGGGCACAUAGUCGAGUAGGAUCUAUAAUUUUUCUAAUUAACUCAACCUGGCAGAUCAGUCAAAUUCAAAGCACAAUAAACAUUUUAACUUGAUAAUUGAAGAACAACCUGAGUAUCCUUUAGUAAUAAAACUGAAGCUCUUAAGACUUGCUACCAAGUAUAAGAAUGAAUAUUACUGAAUAUAAUCCAUGUCCAAAUCCAUAUUACUAAAUUUUCUUUACUUUACUCAAUCCAUAUCUUCACUCAAGCAAACUAAUUCAAUUCAGAAAAGUUCUUAUCAGGUGAAAUAGUAUAAAUCUUCAAUGAGCGCCAAAAGAUAUGAUGUCUCUAAACUUAUUUUUCAUUAAUAUGCCAUGCAUGUGCUCUUUUACACAUUUAAUUUCCAUAUCUUUGUUAUUCAGCCACAUUAACCAAAUUAUAGAAUCUUUCUUUUCCAAUCACCAAGUAGAUAUGAAGUGACUAUAACAAUGCUCAGAUCAAAUACAACUUUAAGAACAUAACCCAAAAAGAAAAAAGAAGAAAGAGAGCAAAUAGUGCAAAAAGGAUAACUUUUUAAUUUUCAUUUCAAUCCCUAAUAGAAUAGAGAAUAAUGUAAAAACCCGCCAUAGCCAUUCAUUUCCCUAAUCAUUCAACAUUGUGCUAUUAGCAUGAACUUAACAUUCGAGUUUUUAGUUGAUCAUCACGUCAAACAAAAAUGUAGCCAACUAUUCACACCUACGUGACUCCUGAGGGCAAACCCCAUUGACAAAUGAUUACCCAAAAAAAAAAACUAACCUAUGUAAAAAACAAAGCUCAUACGUGCACAUAUGAAAAUCAAAUACCGUCAAGGAGAAAGAAAGAACCCAUUUAAAUCAAUUCAAGAAUGCGUACAAGAGCAAAAAACUAAAACCUAUGGAAAGGGCUCAAAUUGUUCUUUUUUCUUUCUUUUUUUUGGGGAGGGGGAACAAAUUUUUUAAUAGAUAAAAUCCCAUUGUAUCUACAUAAAUUCUAGCAAUCACCAAUUUAGAGACAAAUUCAUCAGUAACAGUCAAAAAUGCAUUUUUAAGUACAACAUAUAAGUAAAUGAUAGUACUGACCUACAAAAGCAAUUGAAGCAGUAUCCCAUAAGAGUUAUCAAGUGGUAAAUCGCAGAGAGAGAAAUAUUAGAAAAUUGGUUUAAUUUCUUUUAGAAUUAAUUUUUUUCAUAAUAUUACUUGGAUCCCCUAAGGUUUUUAAAAUCUCACUUACCUCCUUUGAAUUGACAUUUCUUGUAACAUUUAGCCCCUUUGGAGGAAAUACAAGAAAGAUAAUGCUUUUUUUCCAAUACUACCCUUAUAUUAUCUUACUUGUGAAGUUUACAACAACAAUAAAAAGUAAAAUAAGGUUAAAUUUUCACAAGAUGUAAAUUUCUUAACUUGAACUAUUUAUUUUUGUUGUAUUGGAACAAAAACAAAAUUUACACCUUGAAAGAUUCACACGUAUGAAAAGAUUAUUUUAGUUUUCAGUACAACUUAAACUACAACAUGUAUUAAAAUAUAUUUCCUAAAAAAAUUCUUGACUUUCUUAUAAUUAUCCAUGAAAUUCUUCAAGGUGUCAGUUAUUCACCAAAAUCCUUCUAAGUGGUUAACUUUUUUUUUUUUUUAGUGUAAGCGGGAGGACUUGAACCCGAAACCUCUUGCUUACACUCCCUCCCCCCGUACCACCCAAUCAACGUUCCUUGUUGUCCCAUCACGAUCUUGAUAUAGAAAAAUAAGGACCAUUAUUAGAGAUCAAUUUAUUUUUUUAAUCUACAUAUUUUGGUUUAAAAUUUUAUUUUAGAUUAAAUAGUUAUUAAGAGCAAGGCUAAUAUUGUCAAUUUGUGACUUUUGAUAGGAAUAUUUAGUCUUGUCGAGUUGAUAGGGGAGGUAAGUCAGAUUUUAAAAAUCUCGGGGGAGUUAAGUGAUAUUAUGAGAAGCCUCAAGGGAAGUUUCUGAAAUUAUCCCUAUAUAUAUAUAUAGACAUAUAUACGUAUAUAUGUGCCCAAUAUGUCAAUUAAAAAUCCAAUUUAAUUAAUAAAACAAGCAACUGGCAUAAUAUGCAACCAACUGGGCCAGAUCUUGAUGAAAUUAUAAAUUUAUUCUUUUUUCUAGAUUUUUCAAUUAUUUUAACAUAUAAAAUUCAAUUUCAAUUAUUUUAAUAUAUAAAAUCCAAUUAAAAACUUUGAAAUAGAAGGCUAUAACUAAUCCUGUCUCCAAUCAAAUUUGAAAUUUAAAACUUUCCCAUUAUCUCUCCAUGUUAGAUGAAUUAAUUGAGUGUUUCAUAAAUCAUUUAUAGUUUACUAUUCAGACUUUAAGCCCUUUUUACUCCUCAAUUAAAGAAAAUACAUUUGUCAAGCCAAAUUCUGAGGGAUAAUUAAUUAGUCUCAUUUUAAAAUCAUUCACCCUAUUAUACCUUUAUCACUUUAGCCCUUGUUACUCCUUCAUUAUUGAUUUUUCAAGUCAAAUUCUUAGGAAUAGUGUGAUCGGUCCUAUUUUUAAGUUAUUCACCCAAUUAUAUUUUCAUCACUUUCCUUCUGAAUGCAAUAAUCAUUUGUUAAGUCUUUCAAUGAUAUAUUCGAUUACUCCUAUUUUUUAAUGAUUCAUCCUAUAAUCACUAAAUCAAUUUUCUUGUCGAUUUAAACUUAUCUUAUUAUCAUUUUUUUUAUAUUUAGUGAGCUUAGGGCACUUUCGUAGGUUUGCUUUUUCUAAGUUUAUAUUUUUAUGUUGGACUUUAUUCUGUAAGUUUGUUUUUCAAAAGUUUUAAAUUUUUAAUGUUGAAACUUAUACUUUAGCAUUAAAUUUGGAGUAUGUAAAUAAUAAUUAUGAUAUUUUAUUUGCACUUAGAAUAAACUUAAUAUUAAUAUAAUAAUUAUGACAUUUUAUUUGUACUUAGAAUAAACUUAAUAUUAAUAUUGUGCAGGCAUCUAGAUGAUUUUUCAUAUUGCACAUGUACAUCAAAAGUGCAUAUAAAAGAAAAUUUAUAUAUGAAUUCUAAAUCAAUAAAGGUAUAUUUAGAUGAUUGUUUUUGGCGGUAUUUUAGCAAAAUUUUGAUGAAAAUGUAGUAUUUCACCAAACAUACACCCAAAAGUUUAAACCUUUUCUUGAAUACCAUUCUAGCUUUUUAGUUGACUAAAAAUACUUGAAAAAUGAUGCAACGAAUCCUAUAUAGUGAAAGGAGUGAAAAGAUAAUUCAAACUUUUUAUAUGACUAAAAACACUUUAAAAUGUGAGGUAACGCAUCCUAAUUAAUGAAAGGAAUGAAAAAAAUAUGAUUGUAGGGUUGAGGAUGGUAGAGCUUAGGGAAGAGCUGUCAAAUCGGAUGAUUCAUGUGGGUCUAAGCAAGUUAUAAUUGGGUUAACCUAUAUAAAACUACUUAGUUAAUAAUUCAAAAUGGAAAAAUCAUAAAUGAAUAUAAUUUUAGAUGGUUUUGGGUUAUUCAUACCCAUUCAUGACCUAUUAUUAAAUUUUUUUUACUUUUUCUCCCACAUUUUGUUUUGUAACAAAAUAGUAUAUCAUUGUAAAUUUGUAAUAAAAAAUAACAACAUAUCAAAUUAAUAAAUAAAUUUUUAACCAAAUAAAGAGAAAAAACAUUAAAAAAAUUACACAGAGGAACCUAAAAUGGUGAACGUGGUGAGUUUCAAAUUUUAUCACUUUACAAAAAUCUAAAAGAUAUUAAUGCAAACAAUCAAAUAACACUCAAGAAACUAAUUAGACUUUUAUGAAAGGAAGGGAGAAAGUAGACUUUUAUGAAAGGAAUGGAGGAAGUAGGAUAAACUUUUUUAAAAAAAAUAAAAGAAUGGAAAUAGAAGAAGAGGAAAAAAUGCUAAAGAUACUUUUGCAAAAAUUAAAUAUAAUACUGGAUUGGUAGUCAUUUAGAUUUACCUACUAAUGAUUGAGUUUGAAUAUAGAUUUUAUUUAAUUAGGUCAAAAUAAAUGAUCCAAAUCUGUUGAGUUUAGUUGAGUGUUUACCCACUAAUUAAUGAGUUUAGUUGAGUUACCCGUUUGAGUCCAAUUAAAUUACAUAUAUAGACUCAUUUGUUGAUGGUUGAGCUAAUUAAAUAUUGUAAAACCUUUAUAAAGUAAAAAUCUUGGGACCACACAAAUUCUAUUUAUUUGAAGAGAUAUUAAUUAAUCGAUAAAUGAAUGACUUAUUAAUUUAUUGAGUGUAUUUUCAAUUCAAAGAUACAUUCAUUUAAUCAACUAAAGUUUUAUUUUAUUUUAUAAAAAUAUGAAUUAUUUAUUAAUAAAAGGAGACUAAAAAUCUAUAUAAAAAAAAACCAAUUCAUACCUACUUGAUUCGCAAGUAUAAUUUAAUUCUAUUAAUGUAUGUAACUAAUAUCAUUUUUCUAUUAUCAAGAGGUCAAAAGUCUUAGGAAUACUAAAUAAUUUCACUUCCAUUUUAUUAAUAAUACAAUGAAUCAGAUUAACAAAAUUAUAUGUGUGUGUGUGUGACAAGGAAGUCUUCUUAGAAUAAACAAAUACAAAGUCUUCCUGCAUAUUUCAUUGUUAAACUAUGGCUUCCCAUUUAAAAGGUGUUCAUAAAUAACUAAUGAAAUGCAUAAAGCAUUAUGUGAAUAUAGUAUAUGUAAUUUUAAUGAAUUAUUAAUUUAUGAUAUGAAUGAAACUAAAGGGUUAGGUAAGGUUUUCAAAAAAAUUAUUAUCUCAUUACUUUAUCAAAAUUAUUAAUUUAGCUUGUUAGCCAAGUUGGGACCCCAAAAACUUAUUAUUUAGUGGAUGUUAUUAAUUUAACAAGAAUUAAUUUAUAGAGGUUUUACUAUAAGUUUUUUUAUACAGCUAUUAAUGGAUGGAAAGAACACAAGGAUAGGAAGGCAUUUCUAAGUGCGGCAACUUCAGAGGGAUAUGUCUAGCUAAAGGACUCUUUGUGGAAAAUUUUAGAGCUUUGAUGAAGUUUAUGAAAUUUGCAGUUUUAGUCCUUCAAGUUUGAAUAGUAUCUGUUUCAGAAUGCGAGAGUGCCAAAGUCCGGUUUUACCAAAAUCAAAUAAAAAUAUGUAAUUUUAGCAACAUGUAUGAUAUUGAAAUUUUGUUAACUAAUUCAAUAUGAAAUUUUGGUAAAUUAGAUUCAAGUUUGUUUGAUAUUGAUAGAGUUAUCUCAUGUGUUAUCUAUUACUAUUAUUUGACUCUUAAUUGGAUACAUUAGUCAUUUGCAUACUCAUACUAUAAUAACUGGGGAGAUAUGUUAUAUUACAAUUCUAUUUUGUGUAUUGUUCUUGAUAAUGUGUCCAGCAAUAUCAACUUUUGAAUUGCAUGUUUAUUUUACAUGCAAAACAUCUAAUUGUGUAUUAUCAAACUUGAUUUUGCUCACUAUUAUCAACCCAAAAGUUACAUGGGAUUAGGGUAGAGGGGGUGUUGUAGGGGGUAGAAAUUUAAGAGUUAGGGGUGAAGGGUUAGAAGGGCUAUGGUUGAAUAGAAGUAUUUCUAGCAAUUAAGGUAACAAGAUAUGGCUCGUUGGAUAGAAGAAUUUCUUAUAGAUAGAGGAGAAAUUUAUUAAAGACGCCCAAACUACUUGAAAAAGAAUAGUGAUAGAGAUAAUUUGAGGUAAGAAGUGACUUUUGGGUAUAAAACAAUAGAAGAAAAAUAUGUGCUAAGAAAAGCACAUACAAGUGGCACAAAGUCCUUAAUGAUUCUUGAAAAAUAGGAUGGGAUUUAUGAAACUCUUGAAAAGGAAAAAAGGAAAAGUACUUCAAACUUGGAGAAAAAAAGAAAAGAAGCAAUCUCAUACCAAAAAGGAAAUCCGUUAGGAAACAAGUUCUUUACGAACAAUCAUGGCAAAAAAUGAACUUUUUAUUUUUGCAAUGAAAAGGGUCAUAUAGCACUUGAAUGUCCCAAUAAAAAUUCUAGGGUAUUAAAAAAAUUUUUAGAACAAGAAUUUAUGUUGUACAUAAGAAUUUAAAAGAAUAUGAUGAUAUUGUAUAUAAGGCUGAAUAUAUUUCUUCUGAAGAUGACAUUGAAUUUAUAUGUAUGUUGAAACCUCUAAUCAAGUAAAAACUAGGUAAGUAUGUUGAAUAUAUGACUUUUGAAACUUUCAUAGAAAAUGAACUCAAUAGGACUGGGUUAGGAGAUAUGGUCAAAGAAGGUUUUACACUUGAAAUAAAUAAACUAGGUAAGUAUAAGAGUCUAAAAAUAGAAGAUAUAUAUAAAAAUCUAAAUUUAAACCAUGGCAAUCCGAAUAUUAUGAAAUGUGUAAAUGAAUAACAGACGUAAAAGUUACAUCGAAUGCAAACCUUUGAUAAAAAUAAGAUUAAAAGACUUAACAAAAUUCAAAAGUGAGGUUUAUCUAUAUUGGAAUAAUACAAAUCAAUAUAACUAUUUUGUUUAGAUUAGGAAUUGAUUUCCCAGUAUUAUGUGUUGUAUAAAAUAAAAGGUUUCAUCAUUUGAUGCAAUCCCCAAUUGAUGGAAUACAGUCCAAUCUAGUAGCUAGGGAAGUAAUGUGUAAGGUUAAAUUUAAUUAUUUUGUCUCAAAAAAUGACAAACGGAUUACAAAUUCUAUAGUCUUAAGAAUCCAAAUAUAAAACAUUAAGAGUGAAGAUGUUCACAAUAAUUUUUAUCUAUAUAAAUAGUAAAAGAGUGAAGAGUGUCAUGCCUUUUCUUCGUCAAACACAUGACUUGCAUGUGUUUUUUUUUUCGUACGCUUCACGUUCUCGCUCCAUGCACGGGCGCGUUUUAUCAACUUUGCUUUUGGGCUCAUGCCAUGCAUGGGUACGUUUCCACUUUCAUGCUCGGUGAUUGUUUCUCUUCUUCUGGUGCACAAUUAAAAAUUUCCCAAAAAAGGGAACCAUUUGUCUAGCUCUCGUCCUCUUUCGAUGUUGCUGUUUAGAGGCCAUUGGUUCUUUCCCUAUUGCUUUGGCAUUAUUAGGGGUUGUUUUAUUGUUGGCUUUGCCAUUGCAUCUUUAGCAGCCUUCGUUGCUUUAGGGUUUUUGAUGCCUUUUCUGUAUUUCACUCUCUACGGGCUUCUGCUGCUCUUGAGCAAGUCGAUUAUCACUAUAUUUUCUUUCUAUGUUAUGAAUUGGCUGUUUUUUUUUUUUUUGAAGGGAGGUUUCCUAUCCAACUGGCCAAAGAACAGCGUUGUUUUCCGAGAAAUGUUAUUUUUCAGGAAAUUUUGCGAUUAGUUUAUGGUUAAAUUUUUUCUGCAAUCAGGUAACGUUGAGUGCUUACAUGUUACUCUCCCUCCUAUAUUAUCUUGUUAAAUUAUAGUGUACUAAUUUUUUCCCUUUUUUUCUAUUAACUGGUUUCAGAAUGGCUGAUAUAUUGCUUAUUGAUGACAUAAAACCUGGAAUGACGUGUGGGAUUGCUGUCAUAACGGUUCAGGAAAAGCAGAAUAUUGGUGUAGCUAGUAAUAGUCCAAUGAAGUACCAAAGAUUAAUUUUUGCUGAUUCAAAGGUUAGCUGGAUAAAACUUGUUUUUCCCCCUAGAUUUGAUCCGUGCCGAAAAUAAGAGUGUACCGAUAUAUUUACUUAAGAUUCUUAUAGGGAUCAAAAAUCCAAGGGAUAGGCAAUUCAAAAUUUGGCUUCCACUGUUGCAUUGCUUGUCUAUUUAAAUUAGAUACUAUACCGUAUAGCUUGUCUUCUUUUUAACUAAAUUGUUGUUCUAUCAUCCAAUAAAUAGGGCGAGUAGAAAUAAAAAACGGUUUGCUGCUCUUCUUCAAAACAAGGCCUACGAUUGUCACAACCCAAAAAUGUUCUACCAAUCACUACAUAAGCUUACUCCAAUUAUAGAUUUUAUCCCUACUCAAAAGGUUGCAUUCCAUGAUUCAGAGUUUUAUCCUACUGAUUGCAUAUUUGUCUUUUCAUGUGAAAAAAUUCAACCAAAUUUCUUUUCACUAUUGUGUAGGUUUCUUGGGUGAAAGCUCGAAUCUCUUUCGAGCAUAUAUUUCAGAAAUAUUGGUACAUGUCUUGUGUGAAGUGCCAUUGCAUGACAUCCGCUAACUAUGAUGAUCUUUAUACUUGCAACCACUGUAACGAAAAACAGCGAGUUACGGCCAGGAAAGUUAUGCACAUAUAUUGAAUUUUUGUGCUCGACAAAACAUGGAAUCUCGUGUUCAUGUUGUCAUUCUUUGUUGUAUUGUAAUGCAGGUGUCGCUUCGACGUUGAGCUUGUUGAUGAUACUGAUACAAUCAUUGCAUCAGUUUUUAGUGAUUGGGCGGAAGGAUUGCUUAAAUUCUUUGCCAUUGAGACAAUGGAACAUUUUAACAAGGUAUUUAGUUAGCAUAUAGUAUAGAUUCUAAUUACUUACUUUUUUUUAAACAUUACUGUGCUUUGAAAAGUUACAUAUUAUUCCAGAUGAUUCUGCUAACUAUUUUUUCACUGGUAAUUGCCUUUGAUUUGUAGAAUCUGGAGCUUCCUUUGGACAGGGUGCAUGAAGAACUGAAGCUAAAAUCAUUCAUAGUCCAGAUCAAGCCAAGCGCUACUAGGGAAAGAAGUAGUAAUCCACGCUACACUAUAGAAUACUAUUUUGAAGUAACUCAGACUUGCAAUGUGUUAAGUCCCCUCAUGAAAUGCUGCUUAGGAUAGGCCAGAUGAUGUUGAUGAAAGGGAUGCGACCCUGUAAACAACAGGUAGUAAUACCGAAAUUUUAUAUAGACUAUAUCUCCUUCUAUGUAUUCCUCUAAUAAUCAGCAUAAUUACUUUUAUAAUUGAACAAAGAAGCAGCCUUCUUUAUCCAAGGCUUAAGUAUGCCCUGAAACUCGAUUUGAAGACUGUGAAGAGAUGCCCAAGCAAUUAAUAGAGAUUGAUGUUUCCGAGUGAAGCAAGAAGCCAUGAAAUAUAUAAUUUCACUGUGACACAACAUAAUGCCGUGGUAUAACAUUCCAUUUUUUAUUGUUAUUUUUGACUUUAGUAUAACUUUAUGAGCUCUUUCUUGGUAUUCCUUCCAAGACAUUACUUUUUGUUCAAACUGGUCAGAGUAAACCAGCUCAUUGAACUAUGUUUCUUACUUCCAAAACUUUAUAACUGUAUUUCCUCUUUCAUAUGAACCAUCACUGUCUAAGCUAUUUAAUCAAUUACUAUGGUGCUAUUUUUAGAAUGUUUCAUUAUUGUUUUCUAGUGGUCCAAUUCCAGCUGCACCAUUUAUCACCCUACCACUUUGGCUGCACUCCUCUAACAAUUUAUUGUUCCAUCACUAUAGCCAACUAUUUUCUGCACCAUAGUAAUGGUGCUUUUUUCUUGUUAAUACAUUAAUUGGUGAUUUAAUACAACCACUAUAAGCUUUAGUUUGUAGGCAUAAACAAGGCUCAACAUUCAUUCACUUUUUUGACCUAUUGUUUACCUUGCUCUUCUAUCUUAUCUGUUAUGAAAAAAUCCUUCUCCCAUGGACACACUUAAAAACCCUUUUAGAAAAUGGAGUUCAGUUGAAGGAAACAACAAGGUUAAGUUUUUUCUUCAUACAUUUGGUAAGAACCAUGUCCAUGUUGCAAUAGCUAAGUCAACUCCAGGAGCAAACACUUUAUAUUAUAUAAACAAAAAGUUUAUUGAAGCUUAUCCCUUGGUAUUAGAGUACAUAGGUGAACCAUUUCUGUAUUGAAUUGCUUUGGUGGAACAGUGGCUGCAAAACAUUAGUGUUAUUCCUGCAAAAGCUUUUGUAAAGAAUGGUACAUUUUCUCAAAUAUUUUUGUCCUUUAUUGUUUCGUAUGGCUUACCUAUUUGAUUCUUGUCUUUGAUUUUUUUUACAAUGUUUAAAAAGUUGAGUAAUGCCAAGAUUAGUGAAGUCUCGCUAGGAAAACCUUGGUGUUAUUUUUUUUGGUUCUAACAGAGAACCCAGGUACAUGCUUAAUACUGUCUAAGUUUAUUUUUCGUCAAAACUAAUUGAUAACAUAUUUUCCUUUAUUCUAUAGCAACUUUCUACUACAAUUUUUUAUCCCAUUGGUCUUCAAAAUGGUCAAACUAUCACGUUAUACCAUGGCAUCCAAUGCUGGGAUGUAACCAUCAAAGACAAGUGCUUAGACCAAGGAUAGACCUCAUUUUGCAGAGACAGUCUAAUCCAUGGAACUAAUAUGGUUAUUUUAUGGAAAAAGCCCAUCUUUCAUAUGAUAUUCUAGCUUUCUCUGAAACACAACAUCAUAGUUUGAUGCCUUAGGCUCUUCUAUUACUAAUGCUCUCGCAUACAGGAAAUCACCUACUCUUUUAGCUCUUAUUUUAUUCAGGCUGCAACUCGGAACUCUUUUUUUUUUCCCGAAACGAUAGGAGAUUUUCAUUGCUUUAAUGAGAAAGAGUACAUGUACGAGCAACGGCUCGAGAGAAGCUAUACAAGAAGUGUUCUAAGAACACUGAGGAAACAGUCUUUCCUCAUCAACAAUAACGCCUAAAGCAUCAUCACUUAAUUUUUUGCUAACUAACAUAUGUUCUUGUCUACACAAGUCAAAAGAGCACAUGCAAAACAAACUCUGUAACUUAGAGAUGUCUUCCAGUACUAUUGCCAUCUUAAUGUUCGCAGGGCUCUGCUGUUUGAUUUGUCUCCACAGCUCCUUGUUACAAAACUUCAGCUUAACCUUGCUCCAGUUUCGAUGCAUAGCUUUGCACAAGGCCAGCUUCAGAGCUAGUGCAUCAUCUAGGACUUUGUUUCCCAGACUGAUCUCAUUCAUUAUCCACCCUGUCAUUCUAUUCCAUGCAUAUUCCUUAACUGUGAUUCCUAUCCCAACAUUAUGCUGUCCUUUUUCCUUUGUUGUUUCUAUUUCCAUUAUCACAGGUCCCUCAUUUGUAUAAUUCUGAUCUUGCAAGUCUUGUCUAGGGACUGUUUCUUCUGUGCUCUUUUCAACUUUCGUGACCUCUUCCUGCAGCUGUUCCAUCCAAUCCUUGUGUGCUCUUGCUAUUGUUUUGAAAGGUGUAACUAUAUCUGAUUUCUCGAAUUCCCUCUUAUUUCUUUCUUUCCACACUUGCCACAGGAUAUUAGCAGUUAAACCAAUAUGUUCCAACCCCUCUGGUCUAUGCCUUGCUUCUGAAAUCCUUAGCCACCAUCGUUUGAAGUUCCCUUGUUGAUCCUUUGCCCCAUCCCACUGAAUAGGAGCUGCCUUCCAAAUGUUCAUCGAAUGAGGACAGGUCAACAGGAGAUGUUCUACAGUUUCCUGUGCCGUUCCACAAGUUGUGCAAGUAGGAUCACCCUGGACCGUUCUCCUCCUCACAGCUUCAUUCACUGGCAGAGCUCCUUGAAUGCAUUUCCAAAUGAAGAAUUUGAUCUUGUGCUUAAUGUUUAAACUCCAUAGAGUGUUCCACAUUUGAAUAACUUGAGGGCUACCUUCUGCAUAACUAGAGCUUGCUCCAUCAGGAUUACCCGUUUUUCUUUUUAUGCUUUGCUUCAUCAGGAGUUUGUAGCCCGAGUUGACAGUGUAUUGCCCUCCUGCCUUUGGUUGCCAAUAAAAGCUAUCCUCCCUCUCUGAAAGACUCAAGGGUAUAGCUAGAAUUUUGUGCGCAUCAUGUCUGUUAAAAUUUCUGAAGAUGAUAUUCCUAUUCCAUCUUUGAUGACUUAUGAGCUUUCCCACCUUUUCCAGCUUACACAUGCUCCUUUGUCUUGUAGUCGGCCUACCUGUAGUUGUAUCUGGAAUCCACUUGUGUUCCCAGAUGCUUGCACUACGCCCAUUCCCUAUCCUCCCAAUCAGUCAUUCAUUGAGUAGGCUUCUUGCUCCCAUUAAACCUUGCCAAAUCCAGGAUGCAUUUUUGGUGGGACUGCAAUGUAAGAUGAACUCCUUUGGAAAAUAUUUAGCUUUUAACACCUUGCUCACCAACAGAUUUGGUUUAGUAAUUAACCUCCAUACUUGCUUUCCUAGCAGAGCUUGAUUGAAAGCUUCAAGAUCCUUGAAGCCUAGAUCUCCUGCCUUUUUUUCCAAAGCCAUUCUUUCCCAAGAAAUCCAGUGUAUUUUGUUCUUGCCAUUAGAUUCUCCCCACCAAAAAUUGGCCAUCAGUGCACAGACAUCUUUACACAAUCUUCUUGGCAGCUUGAAGCACGACAUCACGUACGUAGGCAUAGCCAUUGCGACUGCCUUCAGCAAUACUUCUUUACCUGCUGGGCUCAAAAAUUUAUUUUUCCGGUUCUGGAAUCUUUUCCUUAUAUUGUCCCUCACGAAGCCAAAAAUCUGUUCUUUAGUUCUUGAGACAACCAUUGGGAGCCCCAAAUAUUUGCCUUGUGUUGUGACGUGCGCGGAGUAUACAUAUACAAUUAAGCUCAUUCUAAUCAAGUUUUACAUUUAUAAACUCCUAAAUACCCCACACGUGAUUUAUCGCAAGUAUACGAAUCGUGAGCGAGUAUAGGGUAUUAAGGGUCAAUCCCACAAGGAAGAUUGCAAUUACCGGUACUACUAAAGCUUCUCUAUUAUUUAGACUAUCAAUGAAUUAUAACAAAUUAAACCUACUGAAAUUAUACAAAAUAACAAAUGAAAGCUCCUUAGAUUGUGGUAUCCCUAACUACUCAUGCAAGUGCUAUAAUUGGAUCAUUGAAUACUACUAUCUAGGCUAGUUAUAGUGUAAUUUCCUUAAACAUGUGAAACCUACUUUCGUAGUGAAUCAACUAUACUCGUAACUAAUCCAUACCUAUUCUCAUGGUUAUGAAAUUAGCUACAAGUUCAUUUUUUCAGUGAAAUUACAUGAAAUGAAUCACUAAAAACCACAUAAGUGCACCUCUACUUUCGUGAGUGUACUCCCUAUGUUUAGCACUUCUUGAACCAGUGUUAAAUCUCAAUUUUCAUUGCAGAAACAACACCUUAGAUAAUCACAAUUAAUGGUACCAGAUUAAUCAUGAUUUAAAGAGCCAAAGUGUUAAAUAACUUGCUCAAAUCAUAGCAAUCAAAUAACCAAAUAAUAAACACUAACAAUCAUAGAAAGUUCAACCAAACCCAAGGUAUAAACUUUAAAAAUACAUAAUGAACACAAAAUCCAGAACUUGUAUAUUAACUAAACUUGGAAUCAAGUACAAAAGAUAAAGAGUUUGGAAGGAAUACAACCCUUGUCACAUGAGCUUUCUUCCUUGCCGUCUUCAUCCUCCAUCUUCAUCCUAAUCUAGAUAAUAAAUAAGAAUGGACAAACUAUACUACUCUAUACUAAGCUAAACUAACACUAGGGAGAUGAAAGAGCUACAUUUCUGCAACUUCAAGCUUCUCCCGUAUGUCUCUCUCUAUUCUCCUUCUAUGGUCUCUCUCUAUUCUGUCGUUGGAUCCCCCUUCAAUCUUGCAAUCUUGGCUAUUUUAUGAUGAAAGAUGUCAAGAAAUGAGGCCUCCACCUUCCUUUUACAGCUGGAGAUGUUUCUCACAUGUCUAGCAACGCAUGUGAGUUGGUGGGAGUGAAAUUGAGUUUUACGCGUACAUAGCAGCCCUUUCUGACCACAAUCCGGCCAGGAAUCCGGCCAAAUUCCGGCCGGAUUGCUACAGUGACCAUUUGGUCACUUCUGGUUCAAUUUUCAGCUCUGCUCCGAUUUUGCAUCAAUUUCCACUGAACUUUUCUUGAUGAUAAAAGCUGAUUUAGCUCUUGACCAAAAUAUGAAACUUGUAGCUCUUUGAGUUAGCUUUGCAAUGCAUCAAGAAUCACCUCAUUUGGAUCUGUGUAGGCUGAGAAAUGACCAAAAUACCCUUGACUGCUCAUUGCCCUGUUUCAGCUUCGACCAAACGAAAUUGGCUACUGUACUUCGGCUUUUUGACUUGGAAAACCUUCAAACUGGAUUCAGAUGUUUUCACCAAAGUUGUAGAUCUAUCUCUUAUCUUCAAAUUAGUUUAAGAAUCAUCUCAAUCCGAUCAUUGUAGCUCAAGUUAUAGCCAAAAUACGAAAAUGUGUCAAAACUGUCAAAAUGCGCAAAAUUUCACUAAAAAGUGAUAAAAGUCUCAUUUAAUCACUUAAAAGCAUUUUUCACCAAUUAUAACCAAAAUGAUUCAUUUUCUUCCAAUAAUAUAAUCAAAGUGACUAAAAAUAAUAUAAAAUAUCAUACAAUUAUUACGUAAAUUAGUCACUUAUCAAACUCCCCCACACUUGAAUCAUUGCUUGUCCGCAAGCAAUCCACACAUAAUCAACUACAAUGAUUCAAGAGGUGAAACAAUAUAUGCAUUUUGUCCAAUUUAAUUCCUCAAAACUUGGAAAAUAAUCAUUAUACAAUUGUUCAAAUUACACUAAAUACUCAUAAUAUCAAGUAAAGGAAAGAUAAUUAUACCCUAAUUUAACAAGUUAAACGUAAUCUCUUACCCUAAUCUAAUUUCACAAAUAAGUAAAUCACAUAGUCAAUUUAUAGCAUUCCUCCUCCUAUAAUCAUCUUUUUUUAUUAUUAUUAUUUUACAACUAAGAGGGAUUUAUUCAUACUACUUUUACUUAAAUAGUGAGAACGCCUUUUUACGCGAAAAUCGACACUUUUAGGUGAAAAUUUCCGGUUACUCAACAUUUCACCUAUUCAAGUUGCUAUGCAUACUCUUAAUUCAAGUACCUUUUUACGCGAAAAUCGACAUUUGUAGAUGCCAACCCCCGGUUACUCGGUACAAAAAUCAUUGGAGUAGAAUAAUUUUUACUUUCUUUUCUUCUCUUUUUUUUUCUUCUCUUUUUUUUUCUUUUUUUUUUUUUAAAAAACAAAGAACAAUAAAUAGAUAUUCCCUCUUAGAAAAUAUAUAAGAAUAAUCAAAGGAGAAGUAUAACCUUUUAUCAACUAUAUCAAUCACUUACUUAUAAAAUUAAGUAAAGAGAAGAAAUCUCAUUAAACAUGUAAAAUUAUAGGCGCAAUUUUCCUCACUUUACCGAAUAUAUUUUCUAAAAUGUAAAAAUUCUAAUUGCAUAAUAACUAUUUCCGAGUUAAAUGAGGACUAAACUUUCCAAAAUACAUAUAAAGUUUCAACAAUUGGAAGAAUUAAACACUUAAGGUUGGAAUACUUUGGCCCUUUUUGAAAUAAAAAUGAAAAAAUUGAAGAACUUUUGGGCUAUAGUGAAAUAUUGGAAAAAAUUUUAGAAAAAUUUUUACAGAGUUUCUCCUUAUAAAUGGAUGAAAACUCCCUGCCAACAAACCCAAUUUCAAGCAAAUUAUCCACAUGGCAAAUAAUUCAAACAUAAUUCCAACAUUUCUAAGCAUUUAAAUCCACAAAAUAUCAUCACCUAGCAAGUAUAUGCAAGUUCAAUAUUUUGCUCCCCCACACUUAAAUUUCACAUUGUCCUCAAUGUGAGAAAAGAAAAAUAAAUAAAGAGUAAAAGAAAAUACUGCUCAAUUGAACAUGCGCAAUCCGACUCCAUGUCCAAGUAAUGAAUUUCCAACCUUAAGUAGUCCGAAUCACUAACACCACAACAGAGAUGAAGAUCACUUGGAUUAGUUCACACAAACGAAAUAAAAAAAUCACUAAAAAUUAAACUUCACAAAUACUACAGAAAAUAAAAGGAAAACUAGUGGCAAUGUCACGAGGUGACGAGCACUCCCUCAAGUAGUUGCUUGGUCAGGUGACGAUGGUGGAGUCGGAGGAGCUUCAAUACCCAACUUGGUCUCGAUGCGACGAAGACGCUCGGAGUUCCGUUUGUUCUCUUGGCGGCUCUUCUUCACUUCAGCCUCGACGCAAAGUAGCUUAUCCAUUAUCUUCUUCAAAAACGACCGAGUGUCCUGGGGUGAGGAUGGACGACGGGAGGAAGACGGCUCAGUUGAGAUCGGUGAGGUGGUUGUUUCAACCCCUUGAGCUCCUUCAAUACGUUCAAUCUCAGCUGCCUCCUCGUGCCGAAUGUCUCCUUGAGCACCUUCUUGAGUCGAAGGACCACCGACGUCUUUACUUUUCAGAAUGAACCUGCAAAAAUCUAGUGUAAAGACAUCAUUCUUCUUGAGACCUGUAGGGAUAGCAUUAGAAAAAUCCACUCCAACCCUUUGAAACUCAAAGGUCAAGAACCGAGGAUAUGAGAAGGCAUGUUUGAUGUCGUUAUUGCGAACCACAGCCCACAUGUGGUUGGUGAUAAUGCUUCCCAAUGGAAUGCCUUGGAUAUUUCCUAAGCCAUGCUCCAUUUUAUCCAAGAAGUAGAUAUCACUUGUGCGCACCUCAUUGGUUCCACGUUGCGACUCCGGAAAUGAUGAAGUCAAUACCGAAUAUCGCCCAGUCUUCCGAGUGGCCUUGUACUCAACCCCCAAGCGUACAAGUGCCUCUAGCAUGUUCCAAGAGUCCAAAUCAUUGGAUUUAAAUGCUUUCUUCAAAUCUACCUUACGCCCCACAUCCGAAACAUGAGAUAGCGCUCCAAAUCAGCUCUAUGGACUCGAACUGUUCUCCCUUGCACUGUACUGGUAAUCACUUUCGUGUCGUAGUGAAAAACCUUUUUGUCCUCCACAUUGGCGUAGAAUUCUCGGACAAGCUCCUCAUAAUAGAAAUUUGGGAUGUUAAAGAAGUUUUCCCAUCCCAAUUUGGCAAAGGAAGCCUUGAGAUGGUAGACCUCCUCAACAUCCGGAGUGAUAUCUUUCUCCACCAAUACCUUAGCUCCCCUCCUACCAUUGUACCAAGCUUCAUUUUCGGCGGAGGUAAAGCGCGACUUAUCAUAUGGGACUUCCUCCUCUUGUUCUCCUUGUGCCUCUUGUUCCUCUUGUUGUUCUUGUUGUUGAUUCUCCUCCUCGGAUGACGGCUCGUCUUGAAGCGCAAGGCGUCUACUCGCUUUUCUUUUCAAGCGCGGUGGUCUAGACGUAGAAGGUUCUCCUCUCUUAUUGGGAGGUGAUUUCACCGCACCUUUCUUAGUGCGAGCCAUUGUACCUAAUUAAAAUUAUUAAAUGUUAACUUCAUUGAAUUGGUACAUUGCUAAGUAAAGAUAAUGAAAACUCAUUCACUUUUACCUCUUUAUCUUUAAUUAGCCAAUCUUAUCAACUUACUCACAUAAUAAUUAGCAAUUAACUUCAUAAGCAAGACUUUACAAUUGAUUAUCAACAACAAAUGCUUCUUUCAUUUUUUUUCCAAAUAAAACACUUAAGCAUAAAACGUCCAAAUAAGUAGAGAAAGCAACUAAACAAUCACACAACUUACUCCCAACUUAAUGACCUAAAUAAGCAUAAUGAAAUGCUAAAAAGCACAUUAACCAUGAGUUUAGACUUAAAAAGGUCAUUAAUUCAACUUUAAUCAAAUUUUCUAGAAUAAACAUGCCAAAAAUCAAAGGAUAAGCUAAUUAAGCCUAAAUUUAGCAUGUAAAUAUCCUAGAGCAAUCCAUUACUCUCAUACAAUUUUCUUCAAUCCAAUUGUCUCAAUAAUUUAGCUAAUAGCUAUCAAAUCAAAUUAAUCCUCAAAAUUAGCUAAAAAUUGCUAAAUUCACCAAAUAAUCACAAACCCAUGAGUUAAACAUCACCAAUAAUCAUCAAUAAGCUCAAUAACAUCAUAAAGAGCAUCAAACUUCACAAAAUGUAAAAAAUUCGAGAUGCCCAAAAAUAGAAAAAAGUGAAAAUUGGCAAAAUUCAAAUGACAGCAUUUGGUGAAGAUUUGUUACCUCAAACUUGUUGAUAGAUGAUUAAUGAUGCAAAUGGUGAAGAAACCCCCAAAAAUUUCACUCCAAUUUGGCCCCAAUUGAAGAGUUCAAAAAUUUGAAACCCUUGUUCUUCUAAAGCUCAAAUCCAAAUUACAACUUGUUUUUGAAGGAUUUUAAGCUAUGAAAUCAACUCACAAGGGAAAGGAAAGUGUUUUGGUGUAUUUAGUUUGGAGAUUGGAUGGUGAAAAGUUGAAUUUUAGGAGUAGUGUGUGUUUAAGGUGUGAGUGUGUGUGUGAAUUGAAGAAGAAAGGAAAGAAAGAUUUGGGGGAAUCCGUGCGCCUCUGGCCAGAAUCCGGCCAGAUUCUGACCAAGCAAUAUUUUUUUUUUUUAAAUCCUAUACAUAUCCGGCCUGAUUCUGGCCGGAUUUACUGUAGAAAAUUUUUUAUUUCUGCAGUUUUUCCUUCCGUUUUUCAUUUAAUCAAGCUUUCAACUCACCCAAUUUUCAACUUUCUUCAUUUUUUCCAAGAAAAACUCGCCUUAAACAUGAAAAAUGUGCUUUCUCAAUCACUCCACUUCGAAACAUGAACUCAUGCAUCAAUAUAACUUUAGAAUUAAGCACUUAAAAUGCAUGAAUUGGAUCAAGAAAACUCCCUUUUUGCUUCCUUAUAAGCUAUUUUGCACUUGAAGCCAUUUGCAUAAACCAUUACCAUUGCCACCUAUAAAACACACAAAAAACACUACUUAAACAACUUAAACUUACUAAAAACAAGAAAUUGUUGGGUUGCCUCCCAACUAGCGCUUCUUUAUAGUUAUUAGCUUGACUAUAUCACCUCAUUUUUCAAGGAGGCUUAGUUAACGAAUAAUCCACCAUUUUAGGCCGUGGUGGAUCAUUAAAUGGUGACUUUAUAGCAAAAAUCACAUGAUCUAGUGAUGUGAGAAAUAAAAGUGACUUACCUAUCCCAAGUGUUUCAUAGAUAUUACCUUGAAUAUGCACCACUUGAGAACUUACCAAAGGAAAUGUCAUGAGAGUAUCUUGGGCAGGAAUACCUUUAGAACCUAUACUUUCACUGCACUCCUCAAGAGGGGUGAAAAAUGAGUCAUUAAAACUCACCUCUUGAGGCUCAAAGUUAGUUUCAAAGGUAUUAUCAUGUGAAAUGGAUAUUUGCUCAUUGAAAUAUAAUUGAGAUUCAUCAUUUUCAUCCAAAUGCAAUCCAUUUUCACAUACAACAUUUCCACCAUUCAUGCUAGGAUCAUUUUGCAAAUUAUUAGAAGAAAUAACUUCACACAAUACAUUCAAUUGCUCAUGUAUUCUACCAAAGUGAGAAGCUAAUUCAUCUAUUCUUUCCUCAAUCUUAUCAAAACGGUCGGAAGUUGCAUUUGCUAGCUUUUCUAUUGCUAAAUCAAAUUGAUUACAAUAAUUUUCUACAGCUAGCUUCCAAGAUGCAUUAGAAUCAUUAGCUAAUGGUUCAUUCUCUAAUUCCCAAGGCAGAGGUGCAUUAGCUAACUUUUCUAUUGCCAACUCCCAAGAUGGUUUUGAUUCAUAUUGGACACUUUCAGGUUGGUAAUCAUAAAAAUAUGAAUAAUCACUAUAAGUACAUUGACUUUCCCAACCAUACUCAGGAGAAUUGCUCCAAUUAGCACUAUAUUGAUCACAACAGGGGUUGUAAUGCUCUAAUUCAUCAUAAUAAUCCACAUUUUGUGCUUGCAUACAUGUAUUAGUAGCAUGAUAACUUUCACACAAGUCACAAAUCACAUGAUAAGAAUUAAAAGCAUUAGCAUUCCUCUCUUGCUCAAUUUCAUGCAUAAUUGUAUCCAGUUGAACUUGUAACAUCAUAACAUCAAAUUUAGUCUUUAAGCACCUUAUACCAUCUUCAAAAGACAUACGUUCAGCAAAUUCUUGGUUACCUCUGUUGAAGGAGUUUUGCACUUGAUAACCAUCCAUUGCCAUUCUUCCACUUCUCAAGCAUUGUCCUCCAAAUUGACCUACCCUUCUCAUCACUUAAAAUUGCUUUUAAACAAUUUCAAAAGCAAAAUUAGUAAGAAAAAUAGGUAAUGAAACACAUACACACAUAAAACACAAAAAUAACAAAAAAUAACAUUCACAUUAUAACUAAUAUUAUGUCUAAACUAAUAAAGUUGCUCUUCACACCGAUAUUGCCAAAUCUUCCCUGGCAACGGCGUCAAAAACUUGACGUGCCCGGAGUAUACAUAUACAAUUAAGCUCAUCCUAAUCAAGUUUUACAUUUAUAAACUCCUAAAUACCCCACACGCGAUUUAUCGCAAGUAUACGAAUCGUAAGCGAGUAUAGGGUAUUAAGGGUCGAUCCCACAAGGAAGAUUGCAAUUACCGGUACUACUAAAGCUUCUCUAUUAUUUAGACUAUCAAUGAAUUAUAACAAAUUAAACCUACUGAAAUUAUACAAAAUAACAAAUGAAAGCUCCUUAGGUUGUGGUAUCCCUAACUACUCAUGCAAGUGCUAUAAUUGGAUCAUUGAAUACUACUAUCUAGGCUAGUUAUAGUGUAAUUUCCUUAAACAUGUGAAACCUACUUUCGUAGUGAAUCAACUAUACUCAUAACUAAUCCAUACCUAUUCUCAUGGUUAUGAAAUUAGCUACAAAUUCAUUUCUUCAGUGAAAUUACAUGAAAUGAAUCACUAAAAACCAUAUAGGUGCACAUCUACUUUCGUGAGUGUACUCCCUAUGUUUAGCACUUCUUGAACCAGUGUUAAAUCUCAAUUUUCAUUGCAGAAACAACACCUUAGAUAAUCACAAUUAAUGGUACCAGAUUAAUCAUGAUUUAAAGAGCCAAAGUGUUAAAUAACUUGCUCAAAUCAUAGCAAUCAAAUAACCAAAUAAUAAACACUAACAAUCAUAGAAAGUUCAACCAAACCCAAGGUAUAAACUUUAAAAAUACAUAAUGAACACAAAAUCCAGAACUUGUAUAUUAACUAAACUUGGAAUCAAGUACAAAAGAUAAAGAGUUUGGAAGGAAUACAACCCUUGUCACAUGAGCUUUCUUCCUUGCCUUCUUCAUCCUCCAUCUUCAUCCUAAUCUAGAUAAUAAACAAGAAUGGACAAACUAUACUACUCUAUACUAAGCUAAACUAACACUAGGGAGAUGAAAGAGCUACAUUUCUGCAACUUCAAGCUUCUCCCGUAUGUCUCUCUCUAUUCUCCUUCUAUGGUCUCUCUCUAUUCUGUCGUUGGAUCCCCCUUCAAUCUUGCAAUCUUGGCUAUUUUAUGAUGAAAGAUGUCAAGAAAUGAGGCCUCCACCUUCCUUUUACAGCUGGAGAUGUUUCUCACAUGUCUAGCAACGCAUGUGAGUUGGUGGGAGUGAAAUUGAGUUUUACGCGUACAUAGCAGCCCUUUCUGACCACAAUCCGGCCAGGAAUCCGGCCAAAUUCCGGCCGGAUUGCUACAGUGACCAUUUGGUCACUUCUGGUUCAAUUUUCAGCUCUGCUCCGAUUUUGCAUCAACUUCCACUGAACUUUUCUUGAUGAUAAAAGGUGAUUUAGCUCUUGACCAAAACAUGAAACUUGUAGCCCUUUGAGUUAGCUUUGCAAUGCAUCAAGAAUCACCUCAUUUGGAUCUGUGUAGGCUGAGAAAUGACCGAAAUACCCUUGACUGCUCAUUGCCCUGUUUCAGCUUCGACCAAAUGAAAUUGGCUACUAUACUUCGGCUUUUUGACUUAGAAAACCUUCAAACUGGAUUCAGAUGUCUUCACCAAAGUUGUGGAUCUAUCUCUUAUCUUCAAAUUGGUUCAAGAAUCAUCUCAAUUCAAUCAUUGUACCUCAAGCUAUAGCCAAAAUACGAAGAUGUGUCAAAACUGUCAAAAUGCGCAAAAUUUCACUAAAAAGUGAUAAAAGCCUCAUUUAUUCACUUAAAAGUAUUUUUCACCAAUUAUAACCAAAAUGAUUCAUUUUCUUCCAAUAAUAUAACCAAAGUGACUAAAAAUAAUAUAAAAUAUCAUACAAUUAUUACGUAAAUUAGUCACUUAUCAUGUUGCCUCUAUCAUUCCUCCAAGAGCUUGACAGAUUUCUCCCUUCUUCUCGCUAACCGUGUUUUUGCUAAAGAACACAGCAGAUUUGUCCAAAUUGACCAACUACCCUGAGGAGUUUUCAUAUACUUUCAAGACUUCCAUAAUCUCCCCUGCCACUUCCUUAUUUGCUUUACAAAAGAUGAUAGAAUCAUCAGCAAAGAAAAGGUGAGUAAGAGCUGGACCUUGCCUGCUGAUCUUUAGACCUUCAAUCCUUUUGCUUUCCUCAGCUCUUCUCAACAAGUUAGAAAAGCCUUCUGAACAUAUUAAAAACAGGUAAGGGGACAAAGGGUCUCCCUGCCAGAUUCCCCUUUCUGGGGACACGAAACCUUUGACUUCCCCGUUGCAAUUGAAUGAGUAACUCACUGUCUUCAGGCAGCUAUGGAUCCAGUUAAUCCACGUAGAGCAGAAUCCCAUUUGUUCCAUCAUAGCAAGCAGAAAGUGCCACUCCACCCUAUCAUAGGCCUUUGCCAUGUCCAAUUUGAUUGCCAUGUAGCCUUCUUUCCCAUGGCUUUUGUUUUUUAGGUAAUGCAUAUACUCAUGAGCAAUGACCACAUUAUCCAAAAUCUGUCUAUUAGGAAUAAAAGCAGAUUGAGUUUUGCUUAUGCAUUUUAUAUGCCUCUACCAACAGAUUCUCUGCUACAACAAACUAUAUCGGAGUGCAUUACUUCUUCCAUAAAUCAUUUCCUGAAGCGGACAGCAUUCCAAUCCUUUUAUCAGUUUCAUCUUUGGAAAUACAAGUACCAGCUGGUAUAUUUUCUCUCAUUUUGUCUUUUUCGUUUUUUUACCCUGCAACUAAUUAUAAUCUUUGAUUAACUCAUUUGCAGAUUCUUCCAGAAUUUGCAAACCUUGGAUUACAUGAACAUAAUACCCCAAUUGUAACUCUUACAAGUGGUCACAAUCAGUAUUACAUUGGUAUGACUAGAAGAAGUUUUGAUUAAAAUUGGAAUCAUUUUGUGAAAAUCGUAAUCUUCAAAAUGGCGAAUACUCCUCUUCAUUCCGCAGUUAGGGAAGGCAACGGGAUGGGAUUGGAGCGAGUGACCUUUUCCCUGCCCCCCUCCCCUGUUGCCCACUAACUUGCCCCGCCCCGCUCCCUUCCCCCGCAAGGUUAAUAAAAAUUUAUCAUAUAAUUUUAUUAAAGUCAAAUAUUAUUAAAUAAUCAUAUACUAAAAUAUCAACACAUCACCAAGUUAUUAUCCAUUGUAAUUUCACAAUUGAAACAUAUAAAAAUAAUCAAACAAAAGUUAUUUGAAUACCAUCCAACAUAAUGAAACAAAUACAACAAAAGUAGUCAAGUUUUCACUUUUGACACAAAUAUAAUUACUAAAUCAUUAUUAUUUUUUUUUAGAAAAAAGUGUUAUUGUAUUAAGUGUAAUUAGAAAUUUAGUAUAAAUGUAUUGGUAAAUUUAGUAUAACUAAUUAAUAAAUUCUAUUAGUUGACAUGUAUAAUUAUUAGUAUAAUUGAUAAUAUCAAUUAUAUUAUAUAUACUAAUAUCCAUUAUAUAAUACAUAUAACUAAUAAUAUCAUUAUUAUAAGUUUGUAACUAAUUAAAUUAACUAUUAUAUAUAUAAUUGUAUAUAUAUUUUUAUUAAUUUUUAAUGGGUGGUGGGGCGAGGGUAUACUCGCCCGUCCCCCGGGGGGAAAAAUUCCCCCUAGCCCCGCCCCAUUAUCCCCUCGUGAAUACCUGCUCCAAUUGCCAUCGCUAUCCACUUCAAUGAGCUUUAAGUGGGUCAAGAACAAAUGCCAAAAGAAAAACUCUUCCACAUGAUCGAAAACAAAUGGUAUUUUGGCUAUAUCUUGAGUUAUAAUUAUCAGAUUGAGGUGAUUCUUUACCCAUUUUGAAGCUAACACAUAACUCUACAUUUCUUAACGACCUUUUUCUCUCUCGGGCAUAAACCUAUAGUUUGCAAAACCCAAAACCCCAGAAAAGAACUCCAAAAUGUAUCAUUACUUUUUAGCCUCGGUAACAAGACUGGAGCAGUCUUUGGUGAGAAGAGAUUGGGUUUUAAUCAUUGGCAAUCUGAGUUCACCUUUGAUGCUGACGAAUUUCCUUGUGAUGCCGACACUGCGAAUUUGUUAUUAAUUUGGAUUAUUAUCAAUUCUCACUGUCUUUCUUUAGGCACUUUAAUUUUUUUGCAAUGUUUUCUUAAUCAAAAUUACAUAUCUUUACCUUUGUUGUACUCGUAUUCAACCAAAAAGGAAUAGAGAAGAUGCUUCCAUGGCAUUUCACAUUUAUGGUUUGAUUGUUACUUGAUAAAUAAAUAAAAAAAUAUGGGCCUGUCUUUCUCUCUUGAACUUUAUGUUGUUGAAUUGUCUUCGAUAAAAUAAUAGACGUUCAUUGUGUUCCAUUUUAUGAUUCGAAAGAUUGGUGCGCUUUAGGUUAUAAUUCCAUCUUUUCGGGCACCUAACUAGCAAUGUUGGGGUAAUAUUACCACCAUGCAUAGCGCAGUUCAUGCCUCCUAGUUAACAUAUAAGUACAAGGUUGUGGUUGCCCAUGUAAGGCGUGGGAACUUUAGACCUGUUAAUAAGAUUUUAUUUGUUAUUGUGAUAUUUUUUAUAUUCUAGAUUUUUUAUAUGGUUAUAUUUUCUUAUCCUCAAACUGUAUGCAGGAAUUACACGCGUUGUUCUAGCUAUUGUCUUGAUUCUGACUUCCAAAUUGCUAUUGUAGUUGAAAGACUGGAAAAUCAAGUACAAUUUAGAAAUUGGUGCAAUGGUUUGUUUAGCCUCUUCUAUGCUUCGUUAACGACUUCCUCUACUCAGUUAAUGCGCCAAAUUUCAGCCAAUCAUCACUUAUGAAAUCAGAUUGGCAAUCCAGUGACUCUAGUUUAGCACAGCCUAACUCAAAUAGGAUUCUUGAAAAUCAAUGGUUGAUAAACAUGUUUGAAGAAAAUUGGGGGUGACUUGCACCACUAUAGAACCCAAUUUUCAAAGUUGGACAUCCCAAUAGCAACUUGUUAUGGUCGUAUCCUUUUUUUUUUUUUCUUGAAUUUUCACUUUUAAAAAACUUUAAAAACAAAGAAGAAUCAUUCAACAAUAACCAAGUUAGCCAUAAUUUUUUUUUAUAUAUUUAUAUAUUUUUUUACUUAGGGACAAAAUGUCCCGUCAAGUUAGCCAUAAUUAUUUUAAGUACUUAGUUCAGAACCAAUUUAUAUGCAUCCCUAAUUUUUUGACAAUAAAUAAUUUUUCCACUAGUCAAUGUGAUUCCACAUUGAUGAAUGCCAUUAAAAAAUCAUUUCUUAGAAAACAAAAGAAAACAGAAAAGGCAAACAAUUCUUUUUUUUUUUUCGAAGAAAGACAAACAAUUCUCAUGUUCAUGUGUAACUCAGUGAUGCAAUCCCCUAAAUAGCCAUAACUCUCUGAUAUAGGUCAGUCACAAAAAACAUUGCUGACCAACAAGCACUGCGUAUCAUUUAAGGAUCAGUAAUGUCCGGAUGCGGUGUCCUUAACCCAUCAUCUAACACAUUACUAACUCCUUUUCAUAGUUAACUAUCUAAUGCAACGGCAGGCAUGGUCUAUACCUAACUGAUGGUUAAAUUGUAUUGUCCAAUUGUAAGGCACAAGAGGGACAUACUACUUGGGCUGGUGGAUAUGAUUAAUCAAGCCAAAUUGACAAAGUUUCUGCAAUCCAUCUAGCUAACUAGUCAUCACCAAUCAAGCAAAAAAUUGAGCACACUCAAAUUUGAUACAAUGCAAGACUACUUUUUCAUAUUCACUUUUCACUACUUACAAGUACAAAAAAUAGCAAAAAGAAUAACCAAAAGAAUGAAAUUGAAGUAAAAGAUUGAGUGUUAAUCAAGGAGCAAAAUUUUAAAAAAAAAAACCUCAAAACCUACACGUGCACAGUAUCCUUGAACUUCUCUUUAUCCAAAAGCUGAAACAUCAAGCCCCCACGGGUUGCUCGGCUGGGCUUCGUGUUCUUAGUUAAGGCGCCGGUCCUGGUUUCGAUUUCGAAGCUGGGCAGCCUGGGGUAUCUUUCUGAGGUUCGGUGGGGCCCGCUCUCCUCAGGGGUAGGGGACUAGUCGGGUGUAGGCCCGGAUACCCCUAACUGACAAAAAAAAAAAAAAAGCUGAAACAUCAAAAAAACACCAAAGACGACAUGCUUGCUUCCUUUUAGUUCACCGGGCCACACCUGCAAAAAUGAUUAAUUUUACUUCUAAAAAAUGAACAAACUACUAAAAAUCAUACCCUAAAACCUUAACAAAAUAAAAUAAAAAAUGAACAUAUAUUUAUUGACAAUUAUUAUUGAAAAAAAAUAAAUCUACCCUUACAUAUCAGUAGAAUUACUAAAAUUACAAUCUCCAUCAGAAAACUCGAACUUCCAAAAAGUCUAAAUGCCAACAUCUACAUGCAUAAAGAAACAAAAUGCAAACAGGGAGAAAUUACCUUUGAGUCAAAAAGAGAGAAUCAAACAGAUCAAAGAGUUUCUGUGGAAAAAGAAAAUAUAUUGUAAGCCUAAAACAACACAAAAAAGAAAAAGAACAAUAUAUAUUAGGACAUUAAAAGCAUCAAAGCCACCAGAUGGAUAAUGAUAAAACAGGCAACAAUCCAAGAAAGCAUAAGAAUUCGAUGGAAAAAGAUGGCAGAAAAAACACUGGAGGCAGAAGAGAAGAAGCCUAUAUAGUAUAGUCUUAAUCAAGUCUUUACAAUAGAAUGUUAUGGGGUGAAAGUUUUGAGUACAAGUAAAACUUAAUGGCCGGCAAAACUGAGAGAGAAACAGUCUCCAACAUGGAGGAAAAUUUUAAAAUUACAAAAAUGAAUGGCAUUAAAAGGAAAGCAAUCCAUAUAAUUAGCAUCUAUCUAUAAGGGAAAAGAAGUAAAAAGAACAAUUGGUUGACAUCUGACUGAACCCUCCAAUCUAAUCCAAUGAAUGGACAAAAUAAUCCCCAAGUGAACACAAAAUCUACACAAAAACAGUAUUUGAAAGGUUAACAAUGUCAAAACAAAAUGUUAUCUCAAGAAAAUUAUACAAAAACAUGCAGUACAAUUGCACAAGUAAUGCCAAAUGCACUUCAGAAGGAAAAUACACGUGCAGAGCCACAAAAUACAUGAUUGGAAAGUAAAGCUGUACAAGCAAAACCAGCAACUCCCAAGUACAACGUCUCCAAGCACAAGUGCAACGUACAACCUAUAGAAGCGUAGUGAUGCACUUGAAAGUAUAGUAGUCUAAAACGGAUGUUUGCACUUGAAAGUGGCUCACCAAUAGAAGUGCAAAUUAAACAAUAACAAACAUAGAUAUUUGUGUAGUUUGAUUUGACUGUUUUCACUCUUAUAUAGAGCUGUUAAUCGAACCGGACAGCUCGCGAGCCGAGAUCGACCCGGCUCGAUAAGAACUCGGCUCGGCUCGUUAACAGAGAGAAACGAGCCGAGCUCGAGCUCUAAUAGGUACUCGUUUAAUAUACAAGCCGAGCAGGGCUCGGCUCGUGUAAGCUCGAUAGGCUUGAAAAAUAAGGGCAUUUUUGUUAUUUCAAUGUGUAUGUGGUACUCUAGUCAAAGGCAUCUCCCGUCCGUCUGUAGCCCUAAUUCAUGCUUUCCGCCUUUGGUCACCCCGCAGCCUCCAUUCUCACGCCGCAUCUCUCAGCCUCCAUUCUCACCGCCAGGCGCCAUCCCUAAUUUUUGAUUUCCCCUUUCUGUCAUCUAUUUUCCCGUUCCACAGCCGCAGCCGCCAUUCUCACGCCGCCGCACCCCGCAACCUUCAUUCUCACGCCGCACCCCGCAGACUUCAUUCUCACCGCCAAGCGCCAUCCCUAAUUUUUUAUUUCCCCUUUCUGUCAUCUCUUUCCCGUUCCCGUGAUCCACAGGCGCUGCAUAUUUUUUUUUGCUCCGUUGAAAACCUUCCUGCUAAGUGCUAACUGACCACUCUUACCUCUCAUCUACACAGUAAGUUAAACACGGAGCACUGUCCCUGCGGAAGAAGCAACCGAAAUGAAAAUCCCCUUUGAAUAUGUAGUAAUUCAAUUGCCGUGCGGUGCACCAGCAGGAAGAGCCAACGGACACUAAGACGCACACUAGCCAAUCCUCAUCCCUUUAUCUAAUUCCAAUAUCAGCGUUUCUUUCCAUAAUCCAUAUGCUUGCUUAUUCACGUCUUUUACUGCUCUUUCAAGCCAAUUAUUAAUUGUCUCCCCCUUUCUUUUCCAUUUAAUGCUUGUUUAUGUAACAAACUGGUGUACAAAAUAAUCCCAUCCGCUCUCUGUCUCAUUGUAAUCCCUAAUUGCAUUUGAUGUGGUUUGGACAUUGUAAUCCCGCUUUGGACAUUUUGUUUCUCCAUUAGAUGGUUUUUGCUGUAGUUUUAACUUUAGACUCUGCCUUGUAUUGUCAUUUGGCAUGGCUUGUAUUGUCAUUCUGGCUUCAGAUAAAUCAGAGAAAGUGUAUCUUCUUGUGAUAUGGGCUCUCCCGUAAACGAGCUCGAGCUUCGAGCUCGAAAAGCUCGGUUCGAGUUUUUCGCGAGCUCGAGUUUGAGCUUGAGCUCGGCGGCUCGAUUUCAAAACUCGAUCUUGAGCUCGAACUCGAGUUUUCUACCAGCACAUCGAGUCGAGUUCGAGCGCUUUGUAGAGCUCGAAUUACUAAUCGAGCGAGUUCGAGCUAGCUCGAUUAGAGGUUCGGGUCGAGCUCGAUUGUCCUAUGCUCGAGUUCGACUCGGCUCGUUCAACAGCUCUACUCUUAUAGUGUCAUUGUUAAAAAUAGGAGGGAUUCCUUCAUCGUGAAGCGUCAUUGAGUAUCGAUAAAAAAGAAAUUUUGUUGCUUAAAAAAUGCAGUUCAUAAGAAGAAAAAAGGGGGCAAUAAACUUAGAUUUGAAAAUUGAAACUUAAUUUGAAUCUAAAUCACCAGAGUCUUGGCAUUAAUAAGCCAAAAGAAGAAAUAAGACAACAAACGAUGCAAGCCAACUUUUAUCCAAUAAAUAAAAAAAUAAAGAAAGGGAAGAAUGAUUGUUAACGUACAUUUUACCUGAUUACAUGCAUGAAUUUGAAUGUAAAAAAUCAUAAAACUAGGCUAAAUGAACAAUGUGCUUGUAAUUGCUGUCCCACGGAGAGCUCUUGUGAUCUCAUUCACUUGCAUAAACGUCAAAUACGUUUUCAUAUGAAUGAGUUUCUCCAUCGAAGCACAAUAUAGAAGAAACAAAUUAAAUGUUAACCAACCAAGAGACAACGACUCGAAGUUAGUGGAGAAACUAAAGCAUUUCAAUUGCCACUACCAAAUCAAAUUAUAAGUCACACGAAAUGACUAAUCAAAUAAAUGGUAUAUAAGCUAAUUUGAAACUUUCAGUGCAACACAUAGCUUGUCAAAUUGCCAUCUCUUCAAUGAGGAAAGAGUUGCAAAAGUUACAAGACAAUGUGUAGAAAUCAUGACUAAUACCUUUGAUAGGUUUAGACAUGAAAGAAAUCACUGUGGCAAUAAAGAUUUAUAGUACGUGGAAUUCCUGAAAAACAAAUAUCGAAAGACAUUUAGUGGAUGUAAGUAAGUUUCAGGUUGUUUAAUCAAUGUCUCUACAAAUAAGAAAGAUUAAUAAAUUGCAAUAUUUUUUCUGGCAGUAUGAUUGCAAACUACAACCAAUAGCCCAAACGAAAUUUAAAGAUACUUGAAUAUUGCAGAAAUUUAGAUUUGUUUCGAUUUAGUGACACCAUCUUAUCUUCUUAUCAACGAUCAACUAUAAAUUUCCUGUAGAAGCUCCAAAUGAUUAGGAAAAACUGAAGUAUAAUAUCCAGAUUCUCUAAACAAUCAAAAGGCAUUUAAAUAAACUACUAAAAAGGUUACCUUUAAAAUUUAUUGAACACCUGCAGGUACAACAAAUAAUAUGCAUGAAAAACCAAAGUAAAACACAAAAAAAAUUACAAAAGGUAUAAAACAUACAGCAAAAAAACCAUGAAAACUAACAACUAACUAUAAUUAGCAUUGAAGACAUGAAAGAUUGUAAAAGGAAUUGCAAGGAAAACCAUAAUUUAAACUACAGAGAUGGAACAAAGCAAAGAAAAUCAGGUAAAAAGCACAUACCUCUCAUAGUUGAACAUAACCAAGUUAAUUACAUCCACAGCUGAAAAUUUUAAAAUCACAAAAGAAGCCAAAACUAAUUGGAGUUUUUUUUUUUCUUUUUUAUUAAAAAAUGAAUUGAAACUAAGAAUAUUGAGAGGAAAAAAGUAAGAAUACACGUAAAAUUCAAAAGAAAAAGAUAUCAUAAACAUCAACAAAGGAAAUAAAGCUUACCUCUUAGUGAAGGAAAUAAUUGACAUAUCAAUUUUACCAAAACCUCCAAAAACCAGAAGGAAAAACGACCUGAUAAGCAUUAAAGAUAGCGGUAAACAAGAUAUUUGUUAUACUCGACCAAGAGAGAAAGAAAUGAAAGCUUACCUCUACGGUGAGAAGAUGGGAAAAAUGGAUCUGCUAAUCUUGGGAAGAAAGCAGAGGGAAAAGGGGCUAGGAUAAGUAACAAAAAAUUAAUCGGUUUGUUUGGAUAAAGUAUUAUUUGAAAUAAUUACCGUAGCACUUUUUGUGAUGUAAUGUAUUUGAGAUAAAAAAAUGAUUAAAAAUAUAAAAAAAUGGAUUAAAAAUGUGUUUAUGAUACAAUCGAAAUAUUAUUUGAAAUAAUUUGAUAUCCAAACAAAGCCAGAUCUAAUUUCUUGGCUUUGGGAAGACAAAAUUGAAAAGAUGGAAUAACCAUGCAUGUAUCGAUAGCUGUUAGGAAAUAUCUGAAAGUCAAAAUUAUCCUUUCCUAAAUCAAGCAUAUACCAUAAGAAAAGCAUCUGGAAGGACAUUAUGAUAAAAAGGAUCUGACAAUAAUUAAUGUGGAGAAUGGAAAUAGCACGUGAUGACCAUAAUAAAAUGGGCUCAACAGCUGAUAGCAGUGAAUCAUAAAGAAAAGCAACAAUGAACUUGUGGCUCUGCUUCAAAUCCUGACGGGUGCAUAGUGUACCCGUCUGGUCCGGUGGUGAUUCUGUCCCCAUCGGUUCUCAUAGGCUUAGUUGAGCCUCCCCCGUAGAUAGAGUAGGAAUAGGAGUAGGAGUAGAGAUGACAAUCGAAAAAAAAAAGAAGUACAAGCUACAGAAGCAGGUCCAUGCGCUCGAAAGUACAAUGCCUUGAAGCACAAGGACGGAGUACAAGCUGUAGAGGCACAAUGAUGCACUUGAAAGUAUAAUGAUCUGAAGCAGAGGUGUGCACUUGAAGUAGAGAGGAACUUGAAGUGAAGAGCAAUAUAUAGAGGAACUUGCAUGAAACUUCUUUCAUAUGUCAAAUACACACUGUCGCGUCAUUAUUAUCAGUAAGAUGCAAGAAGUAGUGGCGGGAUACCUUUAUGGUAGGAAGCCCUUUGACCGUUCCUACCGUAGGAAGCCAUGUAGAGGUCGACACGUGUCUUUGAAGAAUGAGGACCAAACGGACCCGUUAUAUUGCAAUGCUAACGCGCGUGGAGGAGGAGCAAACGAAGUACAACUGAAGAAUGGAAACACAUUUAUAUACAACUGAAGUACAAACGAAGUACAACUGAAGUAUUAGUACAUAAACAUAUAUAUUAUAAUAACAUGAACAUCUAAUAUGCAUUUAUAAAUAAUAUAAAUAUGGUACUAUAUAAAUUUAAUCAAUUUAUAACACAUGCGUUUCAUUAUUAUACGGUCCUCUAUUAAUUAAAUGAUUAUACUUUAUAUUUAUACAAUAUAUUAUGCAUGUGUAUAUAAUAAUUAUAAAUACAAAUAUAACUAUAUUUGUUAUUAAAAAAAUAUUAUAACGAUUAUAAAUAUAUUAUAUAACUAUAGUAAUAUCGUAAUAAAAAUAUAAUUAGUCCUUAAAUAUUUUAAUUAAUAUAUACAUCACUAUCAUAAUUAUUCCAAUUAUUCAUUCCCAAACUCUGUUCAAAAACGCCACAUUAGAUUGUCAUGCUCACUUUUCGACAUAUUAGUACAACAGUAACUAAAUUCAUACGCGGUUUCGAGAGCAUCACUCCAUAAAAUGUGCUUCCUACUUUAUGGACGGUGAUGUUAGUAUCAAAUACAAUUUUUUAUACUUUUUGGAAAAAUGGGAAAAUGGGCACUUUAUGCAGCAUACCCAUAAAUGGAUAGUAAUUUAUGAAUAAACGGGUAUAACAUAUUAAACCCACUUAUUUGCCAUUUACUCUGAUUUUAUCCAAUAAAUAAAUUAGUAAUCCAUCGGUGCCCUACAAUUAUGAAAAGGAGACUAGUGGUUAUGCAUCCAACAAAGUUACAUUUGUGUUGUUUUGUUUUGAAAGUUUAAAGUAAGGGGGGCAAGUGAGUUCCAGACCCCCAAAAAAAAAAGAGAGAUAAGUUGAGAUUUUUCAAUAUUUGUGAGUGCCAAGUAAAAUUGUUAGAAACCUCUAGGGAGGAUUAUGAAAUUAUCCCAAACAAAAAUUUAGAAUGAAUAAGUUACUUUUUAUAACAGUUCUAAAGGUUCCUUGAGAUUUUAUGAGAUUUUAUAAAUUAAGUGGCUUGAGUUUGCAAAAACAAUUUCUUGCAUAUGUUUGUAGUGGAAACGGAGUUUGUAAGUGCCCGGUGCAACCCAAAGAGUACAAACAAUUUCACAAUGAUGCACAAAGAUAUAUCAAAUUUAAGCACAAUAAAGAAAACUUAAUUAAAGAGAAAAGAUAAGAAAUGCAAACCAAAUAUCAAUCCAAUAGCCUCUUCAAUAGAUGGCGAUGCUAACCAAGAUGUACAUGUGAAGGCUCACUCCUUCCUCACCCCAAACACACUUUGGUUGAGCCAAGGAGUUUUACAACUAUUCUAGUUAACCCUCAACAACCUACACUUGAAAGAUCACACACCCAAUUAAGAACUAUUUUAUACAAAUGAGGCAACCUUCACCAAGGUUUUACCACUUCAAGUGAUAGGUUCACCUUCACCAAGGUUUUACUUCUCCUAGAGAGUAACCUUCACUUGAGCAACCUCACAACCCAACUUUCCCAACCCCUUAUACAACCAACAAAGAAUCUUUCUACUCAAAAAUCUCACUUGUAAGCUUGUAUUUUGUGUUGGCAAAAGUCCUUUUACUUCUUGUGCUUUGGGGUGUUUAUAGAAGGUGAGAAAUGGCUCCAAAAGGCUCUCCAACGGUCAAAUAUUAAAUGCUGUCAAAACUAGCCGUUGGCCUGUCGGACGUCCGAACCACCUGUCGGGCGUCCGAACCCUGCGUCCAAACCACCUGUCAGACGUCCGAACCCUGCGUCCGAACGUUGUCCAGAGAGUUAUCAAAUCUUCGUGGAAUUUUUAGGACGUCCGAUGAAAUCGAUGUGCGUCCGAUCCUUCCGGACGUCCGAUGCUUCCUCACGAGCGUCCGACAGAGUUUCCUUCUUGAUGUUCUUCAUCCUUUCGGACGUCCGAUAGCUUCCUUUCGGACGUCCCACAUGAGUGCCCUGUUUUUGCUUCUUCUUUUGUGCCACAAGAAUCUGUUCUAACAAAUUGCUCACAUAAAAACAUUAGCCCAAAUCUACAUUUUGGUUUGUUAAUCAUCAAAACCAAGGACUGAUCAACCAAGGUCAACAGAAUUUAAACUUGCUAUAGGUUAGAUUCUACUAUUCCACUGUAUCCUAAAGGGUAAUUUGCCAUUCAACUUAAUUUUAUUCUGAUUUUAUCCAACUAAUAAAUUAGCUUAUGAAAAAAAUAGGAAAAUGGAUAAUUUAUGGAGGAAAACUAUAAAGAACUGGUGUUUUAUUGGAGAACGGUUUAUUGUUAUUUUAUCCGAUUACAUAAAUUUGUUUAUGGGAAAAUGGGUACUCUGUUCUUAUAAUGGAUGAAAACCAUAAAGAGCUGGUGUUUUAUUGAAGAACGGGUACUCUGUUCUUAUAAUGGAAAAAUGGGUACUCUGUUCUUAUAUAAAUAAAAUUUUUUAUGCAAAAUGGGUACUCCGUUCUUAUAAUGGAGGAAAGUCAUAAAAAGUUGGUGUUUUAUUGGACAACGGAUUUAUUUUUUUUUAUCCGAUAAAUAAAUUUGUUCAUGAAAAAAUGAGUACUCUGUUCUUAUAAUGGAGAAAAGUCAUAAAGAACUGGUGUUUUAUUGGAGAACGGAUUUAUUGUUAUUUUAUCCGAUAAAUAAAUUUGUUUAUGGAAAAAUGGGUACUCUGUUCUUAUAAUGGAGGAAAACCAUAAAUAAUUGGUAUUUUAUUGGACAACGAGUUUAUUUUUUUUAUCCGAUAAAUAAAUUUGUUCGUGAAAAAAUGGGUAUUCUGUUCUUAUAAUGGAGGAAAAUCAUAAAAGGCUAGUGUUUUAUUGGAGAACGGGUUUAUUUUUAUUUUAUUCGAUAAAUAAAUUGUUCAUGGGAAAAUGGGUACUCUGUUCUUAUAAUGAAAAAAAACCAUAAAGAGCUGGUCUUUUAUGGGAAAGUGAUACUUUACAGAAAGUAACCCCGAGCAAACUUUAUGAAAUUAUCCAAAAAAAAUUGAAAGUGGGCUUUGGAUUGGGGACAACAAUACCUAUUCAAAAUGGGUAUUUUACUAGUUUUUUAUGGACAUUUUACUCUCAAACAUUCAAUUUAUAAUAAAUAUAUGAAUAUUUUUAAGUAAAAUUCAAAAAGUAUUACAGUAAUUUCUUACAGAAAAAAACUAGUAGGUUAUCUAUUUAAUAUAAAUUAAUUUUUUUAAAAAAAAUAUCCUAUAAAGUACCAACUCUUUAUGGCUUUUCUCUAUUAUAUGAAACAAGUACCAGGUUUUUAUAGGUAUUUUAUUCUGAAUCAUUUAAUUUAUAUUAAAUACAUAAAUAUUUGCAAAUAAAAUUCAAAAGCCGUUACACAAAUAUUUUUACGAAAGGAAAACUAGCAUGUUUUGUAUUUAAUAUAAAUGAAGUAUUUGAAAGAAAAAAAAAUUGUCCAUAACAUGUGUUUUUUCAUUUAUAAAUAAUAUUUGUGUAUAGUAUAUUAAUAUAUAGUUAUAUUAAUAUUACAAAAUUUUUAUAAUUUUCUUUUAUCAUAUAUAAUAUUUAAUUUGGUUAGUUACAAACUUGGAAUCAUGAUAUUAUUAGCUAUGUGUAAUAUAUAAUGUGCAGGGGUGUAGGUAAUUUAAUUGAUAAUAUGAAUUGUAAUAUGAGCUAGUGUUUUAUUGGAAAGUGGGUUUUGUUUACUUUAUCCCAUAAAUAAAUGUGUUUACGGGUUUAUGGUUGCAUAGUUCUUAUAAUUGAGGAAAACUAUAAAGAGCUAGUAUUUUAUUGAAAUAUGGGUUAAUUUUUAUUUUAUCCCAUAAGUAAUUGUGUUAACGGGUUUAUGGGUACUUUGUUCUUAUAAUAGAGGAAAUCCAUAAACAGCUGGUGUUUUAUUGGGCAAAUGGGUUUUUCUUUUAUUUUAUCCCUUAAAUAAAUGUGUUUACGGGUUUAUGGGCACUCUGUUUUUAUAAUGGAGGAAAACCAUAAAGAGCGGGGUAUUUUAUUGAAAAAUGGGUUAAUUUUUAUUUUAUCCCAUAAGUAAAUGUGUUUACGGGUUUAUGGGUACUCUGUUCUUAUAAUGGAAGAAAGCCAUAAAGAAUUGGUGUUUUAUUGGAAAAUGGGUUUAUUUCUAUUUUAUCCCAUAAAUAAAUGCGUUUACGGGUACUCUGUUCUUAUAAUGGAGGAAAGUCAUAAAGUACUGGUCUUUUAUGAAAAAUUGAUACUUUACAGAAAAUGAUCGCGAUUUGGUUUAUGACAUUAUCAAAAAAAAAAAAAAUUGUAACGUGUCAUGCUCUGCGGGCCUAUAUUAAUAUAAUAUUUGUGUAUAGUAUAUUUAUAUCACAAAAUUUUUAUAAUUUUCUUUUGUCAUAUAUAAUAUUUAAUUUGAUUAGUUACAAACUUCGAAUAAUGAUAUUAUUAGCUAUGUGUAAUAUAUAAUGUGCAAGGGUGUAGGUAAUUUAAUUGAUAAUAUGAAUUGUAGUAUUAAGUAUACAUGCUUAUUAAUAAAAAUUAUGAAUUAGUUAUACUAAAUAUAAUAAUACAUUUGUACUAAUACAUUUAGUAAUACAGUUAUACUAAUAUAGUAUACACGUAUUUACUUUAUGUAAAUACAAAAUCUACUAGUUUUCCUUUCGCAAAAAUAUUAGUAUACUACUUUUUAAAUUUUACUUAUAAACAUUUAUGUGUUUAACAUAAAUUAUAUGAUUCAGAGUAAAAUGCCUAUAAAUAGCUAGUAUUUUAUUCAUAUAAUAGAAGAAACCCGUAAAGAGCUAGUAAAAAGUGGGUAAUUUCUUUUUUUACUUUCACAUAUUUAAUUUAUGUUAAAUACAAAAUCUACUAGUAUCCCUUUUGUAAUAAUAUUAGUGUAACACUUUUUGAAUUUCACUUAUAAACAUUUAUGUAUUUAAUAUAAAUUAAUUGAUUCAAAGUAAAAUGCUCAUAAAUAGCUAGUAGUUUAUUUAUAUAAUGGAAAAAACUCGUAAAGAAUUGGUAUGUUAUGGACAAUUUUUUUUUUACUUUCAAAUACUUCAUUUAUAUUAAAUACAAAACAUGCUAGUUUUCCUUUCAUAAAAAUAUUUGUGAAACAGCUUUUGAAUUUUAUUUGCAAAUAUUUAUGUAUUUAACAUAAAUUAAAUGAGUCAGAAUAAAAUACCUAUAAAAACCUGGUACUUGGUUCAUGUAAUAGAGAAAAGCCAUAAAGAAUUGGUACUUUAUGAGAUAUUUCUUUUUUAAAAAAUAUUUAAUUUAUGUUAAAUAAAUAACCUACUAGUUUUUUUUUGUAAGAAAUUACUGUAACACUUUUUGAAUUUUACUUAAAAACAUUCAUAUAUUUAUUAUAAAUUGAAUGUUUGAGAGUAAAAUGUCCACAAAAAACUAGUAUUUUGAAUAGGUAAUACUCAUUUGCCCAUAUGAAAUUUAUUAAUUGUUAAUUGUUUUGUAAUGUUUUGUCAUUCCUUUGCUAAUACUAUUUUGGUAAUACAAAAGAUAAAUCUGGUAUAAAUCUUUCUCCACGCGCAUUACCACUGCCACAUGACGGCUCCGUUUGGUGCUUUUGGACCAAAUGCACGUGUCCAACUCUGCAUGAUUUCCUACGGUAGCAGUCUUCCUACCAUAAAGGUUUCCAGUAGUGGCGUCCAAAGUCAAACAAGCCUGAAAUUACAAAAAUGGUUAAGGCGAUGAGUAAAUGAUCAGAAGCAGCAGCCACUUGUACUAGCCCCAACAAAACGAGCAACUUGUACCUAAAAUGACAACAAUACCCUUAGAGAGAGCAGAUGAAAACCAGCGAACAGUAACCCAAAACGUCUUUUUAUAAUGUACAUGUACAUAAGUAUAUAAAGAGCGAACAUCCUCUUCAUACGUUUGGUAAGAACCACGUCCAUGUUGCAACAGCUAAGUCAACUCUAGGUGCAAACACUUUAUACUAUAUAAACAAAAACUUUAUUGAAACUUAUCCCAUGGUAUUAGAAUACACAGGCGAACCAUCUCUGUACAUUGCUUCGAUGGAAUAGUGGCUGCAAAACAUAAUUGUUAUUCCUGCAAAAGUUUUUGCAAAGAAUGGUACUUUUCUCAAAUUUUUUGUCAUUUAUCACUUUGUAUGGCUUACCUAUUUGAUUCUUGUCUUUGGUUUUUUUUUUUUUUUUUUACAAUGUUUAAAGAGAGCUGAGUAAUGCCAAGAUUAGCGAAGUCCCGAUAGGAAAACCUUGGUGUCUUUUUUUUUUUUUUGUUCUAACAGAGAAACCCAGGUGCAUGCUUAAUACUAUCUAAGUUUAUUUUUCAUCAAAACUAAUUGAUAACAUUUUCCCUUUAUUCUGUAGCAACUUUCUGCACUACUUCAUCCAUAAAUCGUUUCCUGAAGUAUGACUGGAUAGCAUUCCAAUGCUUUUAUCAGUUUUAUCUUUCAAAAUACAAGUACCAACUAGUAUAUUUUCUCUCAUUUUUUUUUGUUUUUUCCCUACAACUGAUUUUAGUCCUUGAUUAACUCAUUUGCAGAUUCUUCCAAAAUUUGCAAACCUUGGGUUACAUGAAUAUAAUACCCUAACUAUAACUCUUACAAGUGGUCAUAAUCAGUGUCACAUUGGUAUGACUGGAAGAAGCUUUGAUCAAAAUUGGAAUAGCUUUGUGAAAAAUCAUAAUCUUUCCCAAAUAAGAUUUGUGUAAACUUCACAAAUAAGAUAAUACAAGAAUACUAUUGAAAUAAAAGCUUUAUCUUUCUUGUAUUUCCUCCAAAUGGGCUAAAAUGUUACAAGUCAAUUCAAGGGAGGUAAGUCAGAUUUUAAAAAUCUCAGGGGAACCAAGUAAUAUUAUAAAAAACCUUAAUUUUAAUUCUACAUAAAACCUUAAGAGAUGUUUCUAAAAUCCUUAAGGGAGUGAUAUAUAUAUAUACACAUAUACAUACAUAUACAUAUAUAUAUCAUUAUGUAAGUCUCUAUAAAACCUGAAAAACAGUCCGGUCUUUCCCAAUUUUCAAUAUCAUAUAUGUUGCUAAUAUUACAUAUUUUUAUUUGAAUUUAAUAAAAUAGGACUUGUGCACUCUCACAUUUUGAAGCUGAUAUUACUCAAACUUGAAAGACUAAAGCUGCAAAUUUUAUAAAACUCCAAACCCUUGUAAAUUGUCGCUUCAGCAAAGCCCUAAAUCUUUUCAGAGAGAGUCCUUUAGCUGCACCCAUCUCUCCGAAGCUGCUACACUUAGAAAUGGCUUCCUAUCCUUGUAGUCUUUGAUAGCUGUAUAAAGAAACCUACAAUAAAACCUAUAUAAAUUAAUACUUAAAUUAAUAACCAUUACUAAAUAAUAAUUAUUUUGGGUCUCAACUUGAGCUAACAAGCUAAAUUAAUAAUUUUGAUUAAAUAAUAUGAUAAUAAUUUUUUGAAAACCUUACAUACAUCACAUUCAUAUCAUAAAUUAAUAAUUCAUUAAAAUUACAUAUAUUAUAUUCAUAUAAUGCUUUAUGCAUUUCAUCAGUUAUAUAUGAAUACCUUUUAAAUGGGAAGACAUAAUUUAACAAUGAAAUAUGUAAGAAGACUUUUGUUUAUUUAGUAUAAGAAGACUUCCUUGCCACAUAAAUAUAUAUAUAUAUAUAUAAUAUUAUUACUUUGGUCCAUUGUAUGCAUUUAAUAAAAUAGAAGUGGAAUUAUUUAGUAUUCCUAAGUCCUUUUGACCUCUUAAUAAUAAAAAAAAUGAUAUCAAUUACGUACAUUAGUAAGAAUUAAAUUACACUUGCAAAUCAUGUAGAUAUGAAUUGGUUUAUAUUCUAGGGACUUUUAGUCUCCUUUUAUUAAUAGAAUAAUUCAUAUUUUUAUAAAAUAAAAUAAAAUAAAACUUUAGUUGAUCAAAUGAAUGUUUCUUUGAAUUGCUAAUACGCUUGAUAAAUUAAUAAAUCAUUAAUUUAUCAAUUAAUUAAUACCUCUUCAAAUUAAUAGAAUUUGUAUGGUUCCAAGAUUAUUAAUUUAUAGAGAUUUUACUGUAUUUAUUUAGCUCGACCAUAAAAAAAUGGGUUUACAUGUGUAAUUUAAUUGGAUUCAAACAAGUAACCCAAUUAAACUCAUUAAUUAGUGGGUAUUAAAUUGACAGAUUUGGAUCAUUUAUUUUGACUUAAUUAAAAUUAACGUAGAUUCAAACUCAACCAUUAGUGGGUAAAUCUAAAUUACUACCAAUCUAGUAAUUAUAUUCUAAUUUUUGCAGAGACAUAUUUUGCGCUUUUUCUUCUUCUUUAAUUUCCAUUCUUUUAUUUUUUUAAAAAAAAUUUAUCAUACUACCUCCCUUCCUUUCAUAAAAGUCUAAUAAAUUUCUUGAGUGUUAAUUGAUUGUUUGUGUUAAUACCUAAAUUAAUUUUAGAUUCUUGUAGAGUGACAAAAUUUGAAACUUACCAUGAUCACCAUGUAGACACCAAAAAUUUUGAUAAUUCAUUUUUUAUUUAUAUUUAUUUUAUGUUUAGGUAAAAUCUUUUUAUUUGAUUGGUUUUGUAGGAAAAUGAAGAAAGGAAAAGAAAGGAGUCAGAAAUGAAAAAUACAAUUUUUUGAAUAUUAUGAAAAAGAAAAAAAAAUUUCAUGCGCACGUACAUCUACUUCCUUCUUUACCAGAAAUAGCAGAAAAAACGAACAAAGAGCUGGCAGAAUUUUGGAGUUGCAAAGUUGAAUUUUUCUUCCUUUUCUUUCCUCCCAAGCAUACCAGUACAAAGUGCCACCUCCUUCCGAUAAGAAUUAUCAAGAAUCCCCUGGAAACAAAACCAUCAAAUGGCCCAAAAUAAGCCAACAAAACCGGUUUUCAUAUCCACCAUUGAGAUGAGGGUUUUGGGUUUUAAUUUUAUUUAAAAGGGACGAGUGCAUUUCUGGAAGGGUAAGGAAGUAAGAGGUAACGGCAGAAAGAAAGAGAGAGGGAAAAGAAGGAAAAAUAGAGGAAAGAGGAAUUUUUUUCUGGAAAAAUUUUGCAGAAAAGGCUGGCUCUGCAGCCCUCUUUCAACCUAAUUUUCUCCUUCAAUAAAGCUUCGUUUGAGGAGCUUUCAAUUUCUACACAAUCUACGAAGUUGGGAGAGCAAGCUUGGUUUAGAAAUCUUGCGCAAAAAAUGACCAAAAACUCUUCUAAUUCACAUCCGAAGUUGCUGGUCCAACUUCACUGGUGCACAUUUGAAGUUUCAACAAAUCUAUCCUCGUCACGUUUUUUUUUUUUUGUUUUAAUUUGAUCCGAAAGCAUCCUCAAGUAUUUCCUCAACUUCUCCUUGUUUGAUUCAAUGUUUAUACAAGGGAUUUGAGGGUGUUUAUGGAAGUUUAUGUUCAAGAAACUUAGAUCCAUAUUUUUGCUAUCAUUAUUUGAUUUUUGGACCUUAUUGGAUGUUUGUUUGAGUUCAGAAUGCCAUGAGUCCCAUGUAUAUGUAAAGUGUCGGUCCUAAGGGUUUUAAAAAAGGGAUUCCGGCGAUAUUCCGGCCAAUUUGGCUGGAAUUUUGCAGUUUUCGGCAGGUCGACCCACUAGAAACUUCAUACCCGCUUGAAAUUCUUUCUAUUUUUGUUUUGUUUGUAAUGAUUAGAUUCAUUUUGUUGUUAUAAAUGUUUAAUGAAACCUGUUUUUGGACUAAAGAGUGGGUCAAGAAUUUAUUUUUGUUUGGAUUUGUACGUGGGCUUUGGUGGUUAAACCCAACGUUUUUUUUGUUGGAUUUGGUUUAAUAAAACAAAUGGGCUGAUUGGUUUUUUUUAAAUAAAAAUCCGAUUUUUGCUUGGGCAGUAGGAGGUAUGGCCCGAGAAAUAACAUAGAACCGGCCCAGGGCUUAUUAUAUGGUUAAAUCUGACACAAAAAUUUGCAAUUAGAUCUCUAAGUUUUUAAGUAAUUUCACCAGGACCCUAAAACGUUUGAACUUCUUUCAAUUAGGUCCUUAAUUUAAUUAAAUUUUGGUCCCUAAACUUUAUCUUUUAUCCAAGUUUGACCCCUAUUUCUUAAAAAAUUUAAUUGAGCCCUAAAAAUUUUUAAAUUUUUACAAUUAAGUCCCUAAUCUUUAUUAUUUCUCAAUUACAAUUAUUUAUCUUCUUUAAAUUGUUAAUAAUACUUCAUUUAAAUGCAUUUAAUUAGUAAAUUUUAGGGAUUUUAUGUUUAUUCAUAUUUCUUUAAAAUAAUAGAGUGAAUUUGCUAUAUGUUUACAUUGUCUUUUAAUUAUUAAUUAAAUUGGUACUUUGACUAUUUUGUUGAUUUUGGAGUAUAAAUAGAGCAAAUUCUACAUCAUUUAACCACUAUUUCAAAGGAAGUACCUUCUAUUAUUAUUUUAAAUUCUUUUAUAUGCUCAUAUAUAUUUUUUUACGUGUGAUUGUAUGUUUUGAAUGCUUUUUCUUUCAUUUUUCAUGUUAUUCAUUUUAAAUUUUCAUUUAUUUUAUUUAAUUUUUAAUAAUUAUUUGGGAGGCAUUUGAAUGUCAAAUUGUAAUAGAUAGGUUUUUCCCUUUUGCUCCAAAAAAAUGUAUUUAGAUAGAUAAAUGUAAUAGAUAGAUUUAUUAUUUCCAAAAAUUCCUCUUCUAGAUUGUAGUUAGGACCCCCAAUAUAAUGGUUAGUUUUUAUUUACUUGCAUGCUUGUGUGUUUAUGUGUUUAUUUGCUUUCUUUAGGGUUUUGCAUAUAGAUAUUAUGCCUAUGUGCUCUUUAUGCUCUAUAUGCUUUAUGUGUUUAUUCUCUUUAAUUAUGUUUUAUAUGCUUUAUCUAUUUAUAAUAAAUUAUGUUUUAUAUGCUUUAUCUAUUUAUAAUAAAUGCAUGACGUCAUUGCAUUAGUCCAAUGCUAGUUGUGGUUUUCUCUCCGAUUUCUCACUAGUGCAACGCAAGUGAGGACUAGUAAAAAUGGGUUAGUCCAAUACUAAACCCUUUAAACUGUUUUUGCCCUAGAUGCAUACCUUGUAUGACAUUUAUUGCAUCUCAUGCAUCUUUUCCUAUUUUUAGGUUAUUUUAAAUUGCAUGAUAUUUUUUCAACUAUUAUUCUUUUAUCCUCUAUAUGUUUGGACCAUAUUAUUUAAAAUUGCAUUUCAUUCUAGAAAAUUAGAAGUAGGUUCGUCCAUUUGCUUGACUAGGUUAGGAGAGUCACCUUCGAAUAUAGGAAAUGGGCGAGUAUGACUUUUUAAACCUUAACAUGCUAUUACCUCUCUAUAAGAAGGAAAAUUGAGUUACGAAUUUUAGUUUCCUGUACCCGUUAUAUUGCAUUCUUUUCUUCUAGGUCAUGUAUAUUUAUAUUUUUCUUUUUUGAGUCUCAUCUUUUGCAUUUUUCAUGACCUCUUCAAAGAAUUAUUUUUGGACAUCACAAUUAAUAUGAUUGAUACCAAUUAAACUUUGAAGAAACAUUUUGACCCUCUCGAUAUCCUUUAGGUCUAGAUUUGCAUCAAUAUAGAAGCAUCCAAAUGUGAUAAAUUUUAUAGGUUAAAUUAGAAAAAUUUUUGACUAAAUCUUGCUAGCCUUGGCUAGGUUGAAAGGAUGCCUUAGAUCAAAAUUUUUGUCUUCCCUUUCUUCAACCGUGACUCACGAACUCUUUUAUUUAGUUUUCGAAGAUCCGGAGUCUUCUAAAAGGGUUUUAUUUACUUCUUUUAAUUUUUAAACAUUUUGGGUGACUUGGUAUACCUAAACUUGAUACCAAGUGGAGACUAUGCUUUUUCUAAAAAUCCUUUUUAGACAAUUAUUUUGGGUCCAAACCAUCUCAUUUUCUAUGUCUCAUUUUCUAUGUCUCAUUUUAGGUCCUUUUUCUUUAUUUUCUAAAAAUAAAAUGAACAAUGCAUUUUAGCAUCAUUUCUCUUUUAUUUUCAAAAAUGGGCGCGACACAUAAUUUUAGGUUCCUUUGUGUAAUAUUUUAUGUUUUUUCUCUUUAUUUGGGCAAAAAUUUACUUAUUAACUUGAUAUGUUGUUAUUUUUUAUUACAAAUUUAGAAUGACAUAGUGUUUUAUUGCUAAACAAAAUAUGGGAGAAAAAGUAAAUAAAAUUUAAUAAUGGACCGUGAAUGAGCAUGAAUAACCCAAACCCAUCUAAAACUAUAUUCAUUUAUGACUCGUCCAUUUUGAAUUAUUAACUAAGUAGUUAUAUAUCGGUUAGACCAAUUAUAACUUAAGUAGUUAUAGAUAGGUUAAUCCAAUUAUAACUUGCUUAAACCCACAUGAAUCAUCUCAAUUUGAUAGCUCUUCCUCAAGUUCUACCAUCCUUAAUCCUACGAUCCUAUAUUUUCCAUCCCUUUAAUUAUUUAGGAUUCGUUGCUUCAUUUUUCAAGUGGUUUCAAUCAAAUAAAAAGCUAGAUUGGUAAUCGAGAAAAGUUUAAAAAUUUGGGUGUAAGUUUGGUGAAAUACUAAAUUUUCAUGGAAAUAUUGCUAAGAUGCUGCCAAAAACAACCAUCUAAUUUUACCUUCAUUGAUUUAGAAUUCAUACAUAAAUUUUCUUUUAUAUGCACUUUUUGAUGUACAUGUGCUAUAUGAAAAAUCAUCUAUAUGCCUGCACAAUAGUAAUAUUAAAUUUAUUCUAAGUGCAAAUAAAAUGUCAUAAUUAUUAUUUACAUACUCAUAUUUAAUGUUAAAGUAUAAGUUUCAAUGUUAAAAACUUAAAAUUUUUUAAAAAACAAACUUACUAAACAAAGUCCAACAUAAAAAAAAUCUAAAACUUAGAAAAAAAAAACUUACUAAAGUGCCCGAAGCUGACUAAAUACAAAAAAAAAUGAUAACAAAACAAGUUUAAACCCACAAGAAAAUUGAUUUAGUUAUUAUGGGGUGAAUCAUUAAAGCAAGGGUAAUCUAAUAUAUUAUUAGAAGACUUAACAAAUGAUUAUUGCAUUUAGAAGGAAAGUGAUGAAGAUAUAAUUGGGUGAAUGACUUAAAAAUUGGACUAAUCACACUAUUCCUGAGAAUUUGACUUGGCAAAUAAAAAUUGAAGGAGUAAAAAGGGCUAAAGUGAUAAAGGGAUAAUAGGGUGAAUGAUUUUAAAAUGGGAAUAAUUAAUUAUCCCACAGAAUUUGACUUGACAAAUGUAUUUUCUUUAAUUAAGGAGUAAAAAGGGCUUAAAGUCUAAAUAGUAAACUAUAAAUGAUUUAUGAAACUUUUUUUUUUCCAAAAAUAUAAAUGAUUUAUGAAACACUCAAUUAAUUUGCCUAACAUGGAGAGUUAAUGGGAAAGUUUUAGAUUUUAAAUUUGAUUGGUGACAGAAUUAGUUAUAACCUCCUAUUUCAAAGUUUUUAAUUGGAUUUUAUAUAUUAAAAUAAUUAAACAAUCUAGAAAAAAAGAAUGAAUUUAUAGUUUGAUCAAGAUCUGGCCCAAUUAAUGGCAUAGUAGGUCUGUCCCAAUUGAUGGCAUAUUAGGCUUGACAUUGGAUCGUUAAUUGGAGCGCAGAUAUAUAUACGUAGUUGUAUAUCGCUUUGUUAAAACCCUAAACGCACUCUCCCAAUUCCCAAACCCCUCAGUUACCCGCACCAGAAAUGGCUUCCGCCGCCGCUCUCCCGGUAGUAACCGUUAUCCCUCUUGAGAAUGAAAUGGAGGCCGACGCCAACUCCCUCCCUCUGCCUAACGUCAUGAAAGCCCCAAUCCGCCCCGACAUCCUCCAAGACGUUCAUCGCGACAUUUCCAAGAACUCCUGCCAACCUUACGCCGUCUCUAGGUCCGCCGGUCACCAGACCUCCAUCGAGUCCUGGGGUACUGGUCGCGCUGUUUCCGGUAUCCCUCGUGUUCCUGGCGGCGGCAUUCACCGUGCCGGCCAGGGUGCCUAUGGCAACAUGUGCCGCGGCGGCCGCAUGUUCGCUCCGACCAAGAUCUAGCGCCGUUGGCACUGCAAGGUCCCAGUCAACAAGAAACGGUAUGCCGUGGUUUCUGCCAUCGCCGCCUCUGCUGUGCCUUCCCUUGUCAUGGCCCGCGGUCACCGUAUCGAGUCUGUCCCGCAAAUCCCCUGUGUGAUCUCCGAUUCUGCUGAGGCCGUGGAGAAAACCUCCAAUGCUAUCAGUCUUCUCAAGAAAAUUGGGGCUUACCCUGAUGCUGAGAAGGCUAAGGACAGCCAGGGCAUCCGCCCAGGAAAGGGCAAGAUGCGUAACCGCCGCUACAUAUCCAGGAAAGGUCCUCUGGUUGUGUACGGUACUGAGGGGGCCAAGCUCGUGAAGGCCUUCCGCAACAUUCCUGGAAUCGAGGUGGCCCACGUGGACCGUUUGAACUUGUUGAAGCUUGCCCCGGGAGGUCACGUUGGGAGGUUUAUUGUUUGGACGAAAUCAGCAUUUGAGAAAUUGGAUGAGAUUUACGGGUCAUUUGAUAAGCCUUCCUUGAAGAAGAAAGGGUAUGUUUUGCCCAGGGCUAAGAUGGUGAAUGGUGAUUUGGCCAGAAUUAUCAACUCUGACGAGGUGCAAUCUGUGGUGAGGCCAAUCAAGAAGGUGGUGAAGAGGGCACCAAUGAAGAAGAGCCCGCUAAAGAAUUUGAAUUGUCUGCUCAAGCUCAAUCCUUAUGCCAAGACUGCUAGGAGGAUGGCUCUCUUGGCUGAGAAACAGUGUAUUGAGGCUAAGAGGGAGAAGUUGGCCAAGAAGAGCAGUCCAAUGACGAAGGUAUAUGGUUUAUAUCAAUAUUAUUCCCUCUCCUUUCUAUGCAUGCUUGAUUCUGUUGGAAUAUUGAUGCUACUGUAGUUGAUGUAUUUAUCUGCACGUGUUGGCUCUAUAAACUGUUCUUAUCUCUUCAUAACUUAUCAGAAUUAAGGAAUUAAGGCUACUUCCUGCUGCCAUGCAACCUAUUUUAUUUUAGAUAAUUGAUAACAGUACAAGCAUUAAUUAUCGAGACACAUAAUGAUUUAGUUUGAAGAAUAAUUGUUCAAACAAAUUUUCUUUUCUUGUUUAACAAAAUCCAUCAGUAUAAACAGAAAAACUCAAGACAAAACACAAUGAGGUGGCACCGGUAUGUUUUGUGCUUCCUUUUGUUUCUAUUGGUUGUCUAGUCCACACUUUAGUUGGAUUUUCGGUCAUUGUUUAUGUAUUUGUGCUAUUGUUGGAUGAGCUUGUUUUUCCAUUUACAUUAUAGCUGCUGAUUUUUGUUUUUAUACAUAUGAAAUCGGGUGCAGAGUUGUGUGUUACAUCAUAUGGUAUUUGUUCUGAUAUUUUCUUGUCUAGUCUUGGUUGUUCUUGAUAGAUGCUUGUCCUAAAUAAGCAUGCUCGGUUGCAUUCUAAAUGAUAAUCUUAAGGUUUCAUUACAUGUCUGGCACUGCAGUUUUGUUUGACUAGCUUUUUCUGGAUGCUUAAACUGGCUUUAUGGGUUCUGGGUAAUGAUUGAUCACUCCUAGUAACUUUACAGGUUCGGUCUCUGGUUUAUUAAUUGAUGUUGAAACACUUGAUCUGAUGGAGCAUUAGGAAUUUCCUAUCUGGUUUGCAGCAACAGAUGGGUCUUACUUUUUUGUUUCUUUUUGUAAUCAUUGUGUAUAGUGUUGUCACUGGUUGAUAAUUCUUGUUUUCCUGUUGCGGAUGAUUGAUUUUACAUGAUAGUUGGAGGGGGGCCUAGUACUUAUUUUGAGAAUGAGUGGCCCCAGCUUUCUUGACUUGAUUAAUUUGGGUGUGAUUUAGUUCUAAUGUUGCAUAUUGAGCCCUCAUCCGUUUUACUUCUUUGUCACUUCUGACAGGAGGAGACGUCUGCUGUAAAAGCUGCUGGAAAGUCGUAGUACAAAACAAUGAUCUCUGAUAGCGAUUACGCUGAGUUCGAGAACUUCUCAAAGUGGUUGGGUGUUUCGCAGUAAUUGGUUCACUUUAAAAGUCAGUCUGUUUUGUUUCAAGUCGGCUACUUGGUAAUUUAAGACGUGCAAGAGCGUAGGUUGGAGUGAGUUAAGAGGAUUAAAUCAAUUUUCUGUUUGUAUACCAGUUGCAUGGAGUUUUUUCUCAGGGUACCGAGAAACCUUUUUGCAUUAAAGGAGAUCACCUGAACUUAAGGAGUUGAUAGCUUCUUGUUCUGAGAUAUUCAGCCAUCAACUCUAUUUUCUGGUGCUUGAUUAUAAAUGUGACAUGAUUUUAAACAUUCAGAGCAUGUGCAGGUUACACUGGAAGUUGUUCAACUUCUCUUAUUAUCUUGCCUGUCAUCUUUUUUAUUAGAUGCGGCCUUACCUUCAUAAUUCUGCUUCUCAUUAGGUACCGCUGUAGUUUUUUGGUAUCAUUUGCUAAAGAGGCCCCCGAGUUGUCCAAACAUAGCACGCCCUUUUUAUGUAGUGAAACGAAUGUGGAUCAAAAUCUUCCAACCUUUGGUAAAAUAAGAUGGUAAUAUUCUCUGAGUGACCGUGUUGGCUAGGAGGUGAGUGUGUGUGUGGAUAUGUCCUAUGAGUCCAUCCCAUCUAUCGGUUAAGGGUGAAACGCUAGGGGGCUUGUUCCUGGAAUUUAUGUCUCAACGGGCUCUUACUGGGCCCAACUUGAUUAUGAGUAGGUUAGUUCGUCCAUUAGGCUAGCCUGUUCUUCUAGAUAAUUUUGGUAUUUGCUUUUACAAGCAAGAAGUAGUGCAAAGUCACUUGUCAUCUAGGUCAGUUCGACUUUUGCGCUUACAAACUAAAAAGAAGAGGGAAAAAUGCUUCAUUGGAAUAGAAUUUUAUUUAAAAAAAAGAAAAAGAAACUAGGCAAUUUGCUCUGCUUUAUAGGACGUAUUGAGAUGGUCAGGUGAAAAUUAAAAGAAUUUUGUUGAAAAAAAAUUGAAGAGCAAUAGAAUUUUAUUCAAAAAAAGAAACAAAGCAAAAUUGCUCUGCGUCUGAAAAAAAUUAAGUGCAUGUUCAAAGGAAAAAUUAAGUGCAUGUUCAUGUUUUACCAUAGGUCGUGCUCUCGUUUGCAUUAAAUUUUGUAAAAUUUGAUUAUGGGAGGUGAUUGUAAAGAAUAAUUUGAGGCAUUGUUUGGAUUGAAGUGUUUUUUAUAGGUAGGUUUUUAUAGACAAUGCUAUAAUAUCACACUCCAAAAACACCACAAGAAACACCCUAAUCUAUACAAUUUCCAAUACAACUUAAAAAAAAAAUCCUACUACUUUUUCUUCUUCCUCCUACCACCACUCCCUCCUUCCUUCAUUGUCAUUGCCAUUGGCCCUCCACCCCUUCCUCCUCUCUCCUUCCCUGUCCCCUAGACCCCUCAAGGUCACGGCUGCUGCAACCAAAUGGGAAAAGAGGUCUAGAGAAUGAGGGGAGGUGAUGUGGUGGUGGUGGUGGUGGUGAAUGGCGGUGAUGGUGGGCAACGAGUGGUGAUAUGUGGUGGGUUGGGAAAAAUUUUAAAAAUAUCUCAACAAAAUAUUAAAUUUUAAAAACACCUUGAAAUAAAUCUAUGAUGAUAAGAUUUUCAUAAACAAUGCUGCAGUGUAAUAUAAAAACAUUCUCAUAAAUAACUAAUCCAUACAGAAUCUGAAUUACCAAAGUCUAGUUUUUUUGAUUUAUUAUAAAUUUAAGAUUUUAUGACUAAUACAAAUCCUAUAAUCUGAAUGAAAAAACAAACAAGAACAUCACAGAAAAAUUGAUUAUUCAAGAUCGGAAUUUAUAGUGUAGGGUAGUAAACUAGUUUUGCGCAUUAUAGUUGCCAAAUUCUUUCUUGUUUUGCUGUCUUGAAAUUGUUGAUGUUGAGUCCCCAUAGGGAUUAUGUCAGUUGAAGAAGAUAAGUGGCACUCUGUUAGCCCCUUAGGGCGCGGUCCAGACGGAACGCGCGCGGCCGUAGCCAAUUUCGGCUAGCCAUGGCCUAGGUGGGAAGGCCGAAGGUGAAGCUUGUUGGAAACGAGUGGACAAGUGUUUGAUGAUGUUUUCCUAGCCUAUGUAUGAGUUGGGGAAAGUUUUAGAGGCAUCAGAUGCCUCUAAGUUAGUUGGGGAAAAAGAGGUGCCUCUACUAACGGUUGUAAGUUUUCCUCUAAGACAUAUAUAUAGAGGGAUAACUGUGACUAAGCCAAGUCAAGGCCAAGAGCUAGGGGCCAAGGCCACGGAAUGACUAUGGCUUGGUGGGAUGUUUCGGGUGGUUCUAAGUGCUAGGAACCACAGUGCCUAAGAUUGCUAAGUGUUGAGGCAAGUUGGGCGCGGAACGUUGCCGAUGGCGGGAAACGGGGUGCCCGGAAUUGUGCGGCGGUUGCCUGUGCGUGCCAAAGAUGAACGUUGGGCAGUUGCUGACCGUUGCUGGCAGUUGCUGGGAGUUACUGACGGUUACCAACCAACUCAGCCUUGUUCUUAGCAGGUUCCUGACUUUGUGGACGUUCAGAUAAGACCAGCGGUUGGGUCUCUUGUCAACCGUAAAUGUGCCUAUAAAUAACCGGCUAGGCAGAGACUAAAGGGUAGAGAGUCUCAGAUAUUGAGAAUCACCCUUAGACGUUCUACACGCCAGGUGUUUGUAGAAAUUCCUUAUAAUCGUUAUUGUGAAAUACAAGGUUGGCCGUGUUGGCUGUAACUUGUGCGUGUGUUCCUUUAUUUUGCUUAAGUGUUCUACGUUCUGAAUACUUGUGUGCAAGUGAGAUUGUGUAGGCUGACUGGUAGUGCGGCUUACCAGUGCCAUCACGUGUGUGUUAGGCUAGUGAGAGUAAACACCUCGUGACACACUCCAUGUUGCGAUUUGUUUCGAUUCUUAGACUGCUACUUAGUAAUGCCUACCAAUUGGGUAGAGUGAAAUAUUGAGAAAUAAAACUUCAUUUUGCCACUGUGAGGUUUUGUUUGUGUUUUUUAAUUCCUUUGUUUUUUUGUUUCCUACAAGAACAAGAUGGAGAUGGAGAAGGAGGAAAGCCAAAUGAUGACGAAGAAAGCAAAGUUAGUUACUGGUAUCGAUCAUCAAAUUGUGGAGCACCAAGGUGAGAAGUCAUUGACGAACACAAGUAUCCAUUUUGUUCUUAGGGAUAUCUCAGGACUUUUUUCAAUUGUUUUAUUGGUAUCAAAUCGACUUGAGCAGUAGUGAUGGUAGUGAUGUCUCUGGUUUUCAGAAAUUGGAGCAUCUAAAAAGUUUUGAAGUUUCUUUUGGUUCACGAGGAAACCUAGUUUAGGGUUUAGGAGAAGCAACGGAUUAGGGAUAGUUUCAGACUACCCAUUCAUACCUUUUUCCUAUCAUGAUACCUCUAAUCUGGCAAAGGGGUGGCCUCAAGGUCCUUUGUUCUUAGCCAAAUAUUAUACUUGUCAUCAAGUAAUCAAAGGUAUAAUUUAUGUCUAUGGAGGAAAUUUGGCUCAUCUCUAUCCCUAGUUCGGCGAUGGGUAAGCCUUUCUGAGCAUAUAGAUUAUCUCUAAACUCAACCCUCAGUUAUUGCAAAUCUACUUAUUUUGGUAGAAAAGUUUGAUCCUCAACACCAUGUGUUAUAGGUUGGCAUUGAUCUAUGGCCAACUCAUGUAAAUGUUAAUUUGGUAUUAGCUGGGCACCAGGAUAGCUAGCGGGAAGUAGAAUAUCGUUAGUGCACCUGGGCGUUGAUGUGCAAACAAGUGGACCAGUGGAGAGCAAUACAACUUAUCAUGCUACAAGCAAAAGAUGCAUGCAAUCAUAGAAAGCAUCCUAACUUGAGAUGCGAGAGAGUUCCUUGUUAAAAAUGCAGAUGGUUUUAAGGUUGUUUGGAUCAGAAACAACAAUGACAACUCCUGGCCACCAAGACUACACAAUUGUGCAUGGUAGGUGCAUGUAUAGGCACGCCCAGAGCUCAACUGUCUAAUGGUCUUGAUAUUGAAUGAAACGGUUGGCAAAAAUAUAUGAAGUUCAACACUACUGAUUGAGCUUGAUUUGGAGUCUGAAGCAGAGAAUUAUGAUCAUUGCAUCUGCUAGGGAAAGAGGUGCUCUUCCUGCUAGUUGGAUAUUUUUCUUGUUGGGCAAAGUGAAGGAGGGCAAGCAAAUAGUGUGCGAGCUAGUAGCUUUCCCUGCACGUCUUAGGCAACUGGGAGUACUAGGUGAGCAGGGAAAAUCCUGGGAGCUGGCUUUGGUAUGCUUAAAGGAGUACUAGAGUCUUUGUUGAGGAAAGAGAACAUCAUAAACGGCAUUUUGCCUACAUGCUUGUGUUGGGCAUUAGGUCGGGUAGAGGUUAUAUAUUGUGUGUCUGUUAUGCCCUAUGAUCUAACUUUUACAAAUCGAGAGACCUUUAUAUCCCUAUGGAUUCAAACCUUAGACUAUGGGAGUCCUUGACUAAGAGUGUGCAGUAGGAGUCAUGUUGUAUAAUUACUGAGAUUGGAUAAACGGUGCACGUUCGUGCUGCUAUGGUAUGCUCAAGGCCUUAACCAAGAGCUAUGCAUGUUGUGGCAUAGAUCAUAUAGUGAUGACUAUCAAAUAAGUCUCGGACUAAAUGUGCCCCAACUCGAGUCGAGCACUAAGGACAGUGUUCUAGGCGAUCCUUGUUGAUAGGACUUAUGAACGAAUGCAAAGGCACAAAGAUUGUUCGAUGGGCACAGAAAUGUGACCGAGGUUUGACCAAGUAGUUUCAAGUGUUAAUCGUGUAUGCUAACCAAGGGAAAGGUGUCUUCAAGACAAGUUUAACAAUGGAUGAGCACGCUAAGUGCUAUGAAGCCUUCUUAGGGGCUUUGUGUUGGAGAUCCAAGUUCUUAACCUUGGGGAGAGCCUCUUUCACGAGCGAGUUCUAUGCACGUAAGAGCUAAUGCUGUGAAGCAUCAAGGAGUUAACAUUAGUGUUUAGUGAUGCUAAGAGAUGUUCAGCGAAUACUUGGAAGGGGGUGAAGUGGGUUGCCCUUUAAUUGGCAUAACUAAAGGCACUGUACGGUACAAAAGUUCUACAAAUGUGCGAAAAAUUAUAUCUGAAAAUUAGACACGUGACACUACAUCCUGGUUAUUGUAUUGAAUGUCAUAUAUAGUCCUCUAGAUUGCAAAAUUUUCUAGAGAUAUUAGGGAUGAGAAACUCAAGGAUGUGGGUUUCUAGUUGGAUUAAGUAUUUUCAUUUUAAUGAAUAAAGGAUUUGCUUAAAAAACUUUCCAAAAUUAGGUUUUUAAAGCAUAGACAUCCCUUUUGCAUUGACGUUUCUAUGUCUAGUCAAAAAUAUUUAGAUUGAGUAGUAAGAACCGUAUAUGGAGUUCUUUUUGAGAGAUUUUCUUUCCAUAUUCUUCUUUGAAAUUUUCAUAGCAUUUAAAAGUUUAUUUCCUAAAAAUUAAUUUGCAGUUCCUUGAUUUAGGAUGGCACACUAGAUUGUUCUGUUACUUUUGAGUACUUAUCUUAAAAGAUUUGAAUUUUCUUAAUCAUUGGAAGCUAUUGAUGUUUGGGCUCAAUAAUAUGAACUAAUAACUAAUUCAUCACUGUGUCAGUCAAGAUGUUAUAUGUUGGUUGCAUCCUUUUGUAGCACCUGAAACUUUUUACUUGCUUGCUAUUCAAGAACCAACUAUUUGUUUAUAGCUGUUAUAGGUUUAGGAAGAUAUGCAAUACCAAUUGUCCAAUAAUGAAUUAUUAGUGCACAGUUUUAUUUUGAAGGUUCCCUUGUUGUAUGGUCACGAACAUCUCUAGGUGUGAUGCAUCUAUUUUAGAUAUAGUCGGUACUGAGAAAUUUUAUGUUGAUCCAUACUAACUAUUAGACAUGCUUAGUAAUUGGUCCAGAACCAACAUGAGAGUUUUAUGUCAGCAUAUAAAGAUUCCACCUACCAAUUUAUAUAUCAAUUGGGGUACAUUUGCAUGUGAACAUGUGAGAGAGAGAGAGAGAGAUUCUAAAAUUCUAUUAAAUUAUUUUAAUUUAAGUCCAUAUCAUUAUUUUAUUGAUCCCUUUUAAAGAAGUAAGAUAAAAAAAAAAAAAAGAAGUAAGAUCCAAUGAAUCGAAAAUAAUUAAUUAAUAAAUGAAGAAUUACAAAAAUCUUUAUGAGGUAAGAUCCAAUCGAUACUUGUUAUCCCUAUUUCUUAUUAUCAUUAUGAGUUUGGAAGUGCACCAAAGAUUUCUCAGGUGUUAAUUUUUGGUAGUUUAAAUGUACAAUAAAUAUUGAUAUAUAUGUUCAUAUGAAAAGUAUCUAAGAGCAUUAAAAACCAUUGCUUUUCCAAGUUUGCAAAAUCCUGAAAUAUACAGAAGAUCCUAAUCAAUAUUCCAAGUUCUCACGCAAUUAUAGUAGUGGAUGUUAUGAAUUUUAUGUAUGAAACUUGAGAUCUAGAUUCACCUUCAAAUUUUUUGAAAAAGAUAAUAAAAAUUGCUCCUCUAAUUUGCAAGUGGAGAAAACAAAAUAAAUUGAGCAAACCAAACAAGUUCUAAGAUAUCUAUUAAAAAUACUAACAAGAGUAACAAUCUAAUAUUUUUCACAUACUAAUAAAAAGAAUUUUUUCCAAAGAGGUGAAAUAAGGACAAACUCAAAAAAUAAAAAUGUACUACAGUUUAUAAAUUAUAGCUUUUUAGUUGACAAAUUUAUUAAUAUAAAUUUGUAUUUGAAGUUUAUCUAUGAGCUCACCUUACAAUUAUGAGUACACAUGCAUGCAUAAUAUUUGGCACACAAAAAUAUACUUUCUUAAUAAUUAUUUUGGUUUGAAUUACACCAUGAUUGUUAAAAUAUUGAUUAAAAUCUUGAUGGUUAAUAAUGAGUGAUAAAAAAAAAGAAAAACACAAAAAUCUUCACUUGAUACUUCCCAAUUCUCUGUAGACUAACAAGAAUAUGUAUAGUUAUUAGACAUUAAUGUGCACUACGAUAAGUUAAAAGUACUUCUUUUUUGCUAAAAAAGAUAUAACGAAAAACUUGCAAGACCCAAUACAUGUAUUUUUUGUCAACAAUUUAUAUGGUGAAUAUGCAUCUUGUCAUAACCAUAACCCUAACAGAGUAACCAAUAUGGAAUAUGGAACAGUGACAAUUAUGACUAGAAUAUUAUACCAUGCUAUUAAUAUAGUGGGUCCGUAUAACAAUUGAAAAAUGAGUGGGUCUGUAUUCAAAUGUAUUGCAAUUUGAAUACAUAAAUUAGGUGCAUUACAACAAUAGCCCCAUUUUUUUUUAACUCAAAGGAUACUCUAUGCAACAAUGAUAUCAAUGCCCUUAAGGCCUUAACCUCAAUACAUAAUUUACUUUUAAAAUUUUGUUAAUCAUUUUUAAAUCAAGAAAGCAUAAUCAUGUUGGUCCAAAAGUUCAGAACUAUUACUCAAAAAACAAAAUGUUCCACCAAACUAAACAACAUGAUUUGGUUGAAAUAAAAACUAAAAAUAUUCAAAUGUCCUCAAGAAAAUAUCAUGUAAUUAUUGAUAAUGCUAAAAUAAAAAUAGAACCAAUAAUGACUGUAGUGGUUAACACAUAUUGACAAACUUUUUAUCACAAUAUAAUUGACAAACCCACUAUGAGUAACAAUCACAAAAGCAAGUGUUCAAAACAAAUCAUUGACAAACUUUUUGCUUAAAAAAUCUAUUUACAAUAUAAUGUAAAAUAAAAUUGAUAUAGAAAGGGCUAAAUCCUAAUUAAUUACCUUUAUACUUAAUCAUCACAAAUAAUUAAACAAAAUAAGGUUAUAUUGAAAUAAGACAAAAAGAAAAGCAACAGGUAUUAUAAAAGUUGUAUGGAUCUAUGAUUUAUCGCCAGGUAGUAAACAAAAUAAAUAAACUCUAAAUUUUAAGUUGCACUAAACUAAAAGUUUAAAUACAUGAGAUUAAUCUUAAAUUUUUUAGGAAUUGAUACUAGAAUUGUAUAAAUUUUAAAGUUCAAAAAUAUGAGAUCAGAUUGGGACUCGUUUAAUACUUGUCUAAAAAGUGCAUAGCAUGUAUCACAUUUUUUAUUUAUCUGUAAAGAAAAUUUAUUUGAAAGUUGUAUCUCUCAGAGAAAACUACAUCAUUCAAAAAGUCUUGCUUAGGACAAAUCAUGAGGUUCUCAAGCGGAAUGACAUUUAUCCAACAUUUUCCUUUGCAAAUCAUUUUUUCUUCAGAAAUCAUGUAUUCCAAGAUGUUGUCUUCAUCCUUCAAUAAAAAUUAAUUCCCUCAUAAAACCUUUGCGAACAAAUAUGAAUCUGUUUUUUUCGUCUAUGUUUAUGUUUGAACACGAAGAAUUCAGUAUCCUUCAACUUCAAGCAAAUGUGCACAAAUGUACCAUACAAAAUUGAAAGGUCUCCUCAAUAUCAUUCACUAUAUUAACUAUUCUAACAUUAUUACCAAUCAAGGCAAUUUAUGACAUUGGCCUCUUCCUCUAUAGAGUUAUUGACAUUGGCCUUUUCCUCUAUAGAGCAUGUAAUAGCCCAUAUGAAUCCUUAUAAGUUUUUAUCAUUUUAGGGUUAUUCUUUUCUUAACAUUUUCAAAUCUAGUAGAAGUAUCCAAAUUUCACCAAUACUAAAUAAAAGAACUAUCAAUGUUUCCAAAUCAAUUGAAGUAUAAAAAAGACACAAGCAUAUCAAAUCAAAACAAAUCCAACAAAAUCAUCCAAAUCCUAUAGAAGUAUUAAAAUUUUACAAGAAUAUCAAAUCUACUGUAUCCCAAGAAUUUCAAGGAAGACAUCGGAUCAUAGACCACACCCGCUUUUUCAAAAACUCUUGAUGGAUCAUGAUGUGACAUUCUUAGCCUAUCUACUUCACUAUGUAGAACAUAAUAACUCUCUCCUUGCUCUAGAGAGACAGCGAUCUUAUUAGUCAACUACAAUAGUUUGUGGACCCGUACAAAAGAAUCAUACAAAAUAUAAGAAAUGCAUAAUCUACCUUGUCCAUACUCAAAAGGCUUUUCAUUCGGUCCAACUAAAUUCUAUUUUUUGAACCUACAUUGUUUUUAUUGUGCAGCAGUAAUAUUUUCAGUAAUGUAAAUCUCAAAAAUUAGUUUCCAUUCUUUGAUAGUUUAUUAUCCCCAUUAUUGAAUGUAUGAGUCCGUUUUAAAAUUAUAUGGUCCACGAACUCUUAUUUCCCGUUUUAGAAUAUAGCAGAACCACCAAUAUGACAUUUCUUCUUUGUUGAACUGGGAUCUACCUCCAUAUUUUAAGAGAUGUCAUACUGAAAAGACUCAUACUUCUCUAGAAGAGUAGACACAGGAAUGCUAAGCAUUUUUUUUAAAUGAUAAAGUCUACAAUGAAAAGAAGAUUCUUCUUCCACCAACGAUGGACAAAAGACAAAGCAUCUGAUGCUGUAAUCAAAAGAGCUUGGGGAUGGAACAACAUGGAUCUAAAAUGUUUAGAGUGGUGACAAGAAUAAAGGAUUGUAGAAUAGCAUUGAUUGAAUGGAACAGGAAAGUUAAAGGCAAUGCAAAGGCAAAGAUCUAGGAGUUAAAAGAGCAACUGAAGGCAACACGACAGGAAGGUGAUCUUUGUAACAAAGAAGUCAUUGCAUCCUUGAAAUUACAAUUAAGCAAAGCGUAUAAGGAAGAAGAGCUAUACUGGAGCCAAAAAUCAAGAAGUAGGUAGCUCAAAGAGGAGGACAAAAAUAUAGGUUUUUUCAUCUAAGUGUCAUGGCAAAAAGGAAGAGGAACAAGAUCAGCAUGCUACAAAAGACAAAUGGGGAAUGGUGUAGGAGUGAACAGGAAAUUGAAGAUGAAUUAUGUAAGCACUAUAAGGAGCUUUUCACCUCUACUGAUCCUAAAGAAUUUGAUGAUGUGCUGCAAGGAAUACCUCGCAUUAUUUCCACUCUGAUGAAUGCACAGUUGAUUAAACCAGUGGACGAAAUGGAGAUCAAACAAGCCAUUUUCUCAAUGUUUCCUAACAAAGCUCCUGGAAUUAAUGGUAUGUCCCCUUUGUUUUUCCAAACAUACUGGAAUAUUAUUAAAGUUGAGAUUGUAAAUGCCAUUACCAGCUUUUUUCAUACUGGUAAUCUUCUUAAAUCUAUCAAUGAGACCAUCAUCUCCCUAAUCCCAAAGGUUGAUAAUCCUGUGAUGCUGAUUAAUUUCAGACCUAUUAGCUUAUGUACAGUGUUGUAUAAAACCAUUUCGAAGAUUUUGGCUAAUAGACUGAAAAAAGUUCUUAAGCACUGCAUUAGCCCCUCUCAAUCUACUUUUGUUCCAGGGAGACAAAUUCUAGACAAUGUUAUCAUUGCACAUGAAAUUUUGCAUUUCCUGAAAAGUAGGAGAACUGGUAAAGUAGGCUUCAUGACCCUUAAGCUUGAUAUGUCUAAAGUUUAUGAUAGAGUGGAGUGGAAAUUUCUAGGAAGAAUUAUGAUGCGCAUGGGUUUAUGUCCUUGUUCAAUGGAUCAUGGCUUGCAUUUCCACAGUUUCUUAUUCUUUUAACCUGAAUGGACAAAAGGUGGGAUUUAUAAAGCCUUCCAGAGGAAUCUGACAAGGAGAUCCCUUAUCUCCAUACUUGUUCAUUAUUUGUACUGAAGGGCUUUCUAAUUUACUCAAGAAAGCUGUGGAAGGAAAGCAAUUAACUGGCAUCAAAAUUUGCAAAGACAGCCCCAUGGUCUCUUAUUUGUUUUUUGCAGAUGACUCCCUCUUAUGCUGCAAAGCAAGUAAACAGGAAGUUCAGAAGAUAAAGGAGAUCAUUCAGCAAUAUGGCCAAGCCACUGGACAAGUAGUUAAUUUUGAUAAAUCUAUCAUGUUUUUUACUAGAAAUACUCCCAACCUGUUAAGAGAGGAGAUAAGUGAGGUGUUGGACAACAUGAGAGAGGCUCACAGUGAAAAAUAUCUAGGCCUACCUAUGACCAUAGGGAGAGCCAAGAAUCAGGCUUUUGGGUAUCUGAAAAAGUAAAAUUAAUAGCAAACUACGAGGUUGGAAGCAGAAGAUGCUUAGUCAAGUGGGUAAAGAGGUUCUGAUCAAAUCAGUCAUCAUGGCCAUGCCUAUAUACAUCAUGUCUUGCUUUAAACUUCCUAAAGGGUUGUGUCAGGGCAUUAGUGCUAGGAUUGCAAGAUUCUGGUGGAGGAGUGGGGAAACAGAAAAUAAAGUGCACUGGGUAAGAUGGAGUAAGCUUUUUCAGAUGUAAAAGGGAAAGGGGGUUUGGGCUUUAGAGAUCUGGAAGCUUUCAACUUAGCUUUGUUUACCAAACAAAUUUGGAGAGUUGUUACCAAUCCAAAUUUGUUAGUAAGCAAAGUACAUGAAACAGGAAGACUGGUUUCGACAACAGCCUCCUAACAUAGCAUCUUGGUGCUGGAAAAGCAUGCACAAAAGGGGAGAACUACUUCAACAGAAUCUAUGGAAGAGAGUGGGAGAUGGAAGGGCAGUGAAGACUUGGCAAGAUAGGUGGAUACCUGGUUCGGUCAAUGGAAGAGCAUCAACUGCAAGACCAGCAGGCUGCCAGCGAGAGUAUGUCCAUGAAUUAAUAGAGGGAGGAAAGUGGAAGACAAAUGACUUGCAGUGUUGGUUUAAUGUAAAUGAUGUGGAAAACAUAACUAGCAUCCCCUUAGCUUAUAUGGAAGAAAAGAUAGACUGUUCUGGACUCAUAGUAAAUCUGGGGUAUACACAGUGAAGACAGGAUAUGCUAUUGCAAAGGGGGAAGAAGACACCAGGAAUCGAAUGUUAGCACUUGGCUCAGAAACUAGCUGGGAAGUCAGGAAACAUACGGUGUGGAAAAAAUUGCGGAGCUUAAACAUUAAGAUGAAGUUGAAACACUUCUUAUGGAGGUGCCUACAAAAUGGAUUGCCUGCUAAUGAAGCACUCCAUAGGAGAAUUGGGAAGGGAAGCAACCUAUGCAAGUGUUGUGGGGAGGAUACUGAAACCAUAGAGCACAUUUUCUUCUUUUGUCCAAAAGCUCAAGUGGUAUGGAAGUUAGCUCCAGUGAGGUGGGAGGGGAUAGCUGAGCUGCAAUGCAACAUGUGGAGAUGGUGGGAUGCUGUGAUGCAAUCAGUUAGGGAGGCGCAAGGAAUAGACAGAAUCAAGCUCACGGUGAACAUAUUAUGGUAAAUCUUGAAAGCUAGAAACAAGAUGACAUUCUAGACUGAGAACGUGGAUGCAAAACUAAUAGUAGACAAAGCUCGGCAGGAAUGGAUCGAAUAUGAAGCUGCGAAUGAAACGAACACAUGAAUAGAUACAUCAACAGAAGUGGAAACACAGAUGCAACAGAGAUAGGAGCCAUCGAAGGAGGGAGUAAUUAAAACCAACACAGAUGCAGCAAUCUCAGCUAAAAUGGUAAGGACAGGCCUGGGAAUUAUUGCUAGGAACUGGCGUGGAGAGUUCGUGAAAGCUAAAGGAAUCACUGCGAGGAGGAAAGGGGAAGCAGCCACAGAGGAAACGUUAGCUAUAAGAGGAGCACUGGAAAUGGCUAAAGUUGCAGGAUGGAUUAACAUAGAGGUCCAAUCUAACUGCAAAAAUAUUGUGAGCCUAAUUAACACAGGCAAUGUUCAGGAUUGUAGAUUACAAACAAUCCUGGAAGACAUUGAGGACCUACAGAAGAGCUUUGAAUGUUGCCUUUUCUCUUUUGUUCCCAGAACUGCUAAUGGUUGCAGCCAUGCGAUGGCUCAAUUUGCAGUCAAGUUACUUAGGAAUAGUGAAUGGAAAGGUUCAUUCCCAACAUGGCUAUCAGAUUUAGCUAGAAAAGAUAUGAGGGUAGUUACUCCUUUUUGUAAUUAGCUCUUGUACUAUCAAGUGUUAAUAUCUAUAAAAAUGUUAUCUUUUGUCAAAAAAAAAAUUCCUCAAAAUUUCAUCAUACAAACAUUAAACACAUAGCAAUGAAGAUCACAAAAGCGCCUAGAAAUUCAUCAUGAAUAUCCAAAAAUUUCAAAACAAAUAAAUUGACGAGUAUGCAAACACCUAGAAGAAGUAUAUGACUCCAAAAGCAAAAAUUUAAUGAGAUUUGCAUUUUAAGUGACCAUUUCAUAAAUAGCACAUCAGGACAAGUUUCCAUAAUCAAAGCAGAGUAUUGGACAACUUAAUCUAGCACAUUAUGAAGUUAGUUCAAGAAUAAUGGAAUCAAUCGUGGCAAGCGUCAAUCUACAGAAAGGUAAACUUACACAUUAAACAGUUUACACUAUCCAGUUUUACCCUGUGCAAUUGAAUGGUUUAGAACCAGGGAAAUUAAGAAUCAUUGAUAAUAUGAGAUCAGAAAUAAAGGUCCAAGAAGAGAAAGCAUUGAUGUGUCCUCUACCACCUUUACACUACUUCCACUGCACCACUGGAGCACAAGAAAUGAACGUAAAAGCUCACAGCCAAACCCAGCCAUAGAAAAGUAAGCACUUUAUUAAGCAAUGUGGUAUGACAAGUUCACAAUGACGGAAGAUUACACAUAAAAAGUAGUUAUUAAUAUAGGAAAAGAACAGAGAAUGCUGAAAAAGUCAAGGUGUCACUUUGCAACAAAAAGCUCAAAGAAAUUACAGCUAUGACAUUCAACUUUUGAAUACACACUGGGUUUUCAUGUAUAAAACACAAAAAUGGAAGAGUAUAUCAACCAACAAAUUGAUUUUAGGGAUAAUUUCAUAUGCCUCCCCUGAGGUUUCUGACAGUCUCACUCUCCUCCCUUGUAGUUUCAAAAAUAUCACAAACCUCUCCUGUCAGAAUUUAGGUCCCAUUCCUUACAUCAUUAUGGCCAAAAAGACUUAAAUACCUUCACAAGUCAGCUAAUAUUUCGUGAUUAUCAGGACAAAUACAUUCCAACUCACGUAAUUAUUUUUUUCUACGCUAUAUCUAAUCUCUCUUUUAUAUGUAUAUAUAAUCAAAUAACUAAUACCUAAUAUGAUGUACAUUUUUUUAACACCUAACCAUUCCAAAUUUAUGCGUACCAUUACAUUACUUUUUAUAGAUAUACAGAGUCAAAUAACUAACAUCUAACAUAAUGUCUAUAUUGGUAAACUGAUUGUACCUCAUAGAUCACCCCGUGUAAGGUGUUUAUAGGCAAAUUAGUAUUAGUCAUAUAGAUAAAAUUACAUACCCACUGUAGCUUGUAAGGAGAUGCACAAGUGGGUCAAAGCACCAAUAACCAUUCCAAAUGUAUACAUACCAUUGCACUAUGCAUAUUGCUGCGAUGACUAAUUGCAAUAUGCAUGUGUCAAAUAACUGCAUGUUCAACAAUUUCUAUGCAUCGUACUUGAUCAAUAACACGGUGUACAUUAUUUUAAUCAGAUUGUAUAUUCACUAAGUAUUUAAAUACAUACUACUUAUUGAAGUAAACUAUCUCUCUACUAAAUAUUUAAUGCACUCUCAUAAGCACUAAUGAUUGAUUUAGCAUGCAAUUGGGACAAAUAACCAUCUAGUAAAAGCUUUUGAUAUAAUAUUAUUGAUGAACAACAUAUUGUAUCUGAAAUUAUCCCUUUUUUCUAAUUUAUUUUUGAUUUUUAUUAGUUUUUAUUAUUUCACUAAUAUAACUUGUACACUUAUCUCAGGGGCAUUUAUGGAAACAAAAUUUCCUCUCUUUCUUGAAAACACUUUUUUAUGUUCACUUUUGACAUCAUGGACUUAUUUUGUUACAAAAUCCUAAAUUUCAAGGGAGGUUUGUGAUAUUUUUGAAACUACAGGGGAGGAGAGUGAGACUAUCAGAAACCUCAGGGGAGGUUUCUGAAAUUAUCCCUUGAUUUUAUUCACAUUCCUGCUUCCUCGUUACCAUAAGUGUCAAAAUUUAUGCUUACUAGCACCAAUAAAGUACGUUUAAGUUGCUCAUUUUUGCCCAAUGAAGGAUUUUGAGGACAACACAAUACUUGUGAUGUUAAACAAGAGAAAUAAUACUUAGCCAGGUAUCCACGGAUCAGAUUGCGCCACGGAUCCAUUUGAUCUUAGUUAAACAUAGAGGUGUAAAAAUGGGUAACUUGGGCGGGUUUGGGUUGGAUAAAAUGGGUAAUCGGUAUAAGUGAGUCAACUCAUUUAUACCCAUUUAAUUAGAUGGGUAUAAAUGGGUAAGUCAAAAAAUGAAUUGGGUAACCCAAUUACCCAUUUAUAACCCAUUUAUUUUAAUUUUUUGUAAACUCAUUUAAAUUCAUUUUUGCAAACUAAGUUAUCAAUUUAUACCACUUUUUGUACCGAUCAUUAGUUUUAAAUAUUUACUUAUAAUGUUCAAUAAACUUAAUUACCAAUUUUUUUUCAUUUAUACUCUAUGUCACAAAAUUACCUAUUAUUUAAUAAUUGAAUAAUAAGAUUAUAAAAUUUUGAACUAAGUACUAUAAAAAUUAAUAUAAAAACUUAAUCCAAAAAUUUUGAACCCCUAACAUUUUUUUCAUAUAUAAAUUUAAAAUUUCAUUUUAUAAAGAUAAGAAAAUAGGCUAAAAUUUAUCAUAAAUUGGUAAUGCUAAAAAUGAGCAAGUUAACAAACUAAGAGAAAAUAAAAUAAUAAAAUAAAACCAACAAAUAAUAAUAAUAAUAAUGAAACAAAAGUAGUUAACAUCAUAACAAAAUGAAAAAUUUGAAAAAAAAAGGUGGGGGAAAAGAAGAGACAUGGGCGGGUAGGAAAAAUUUAAUUAAGUGAGUUGAUUUGCCACCUCUAGUUAAACACAAGGAAGGACUUAAAGCUCUCAUUGAGAUCAAAUUUCUUGACUUGCAUUCUUAUCCCGAUUUCCUGAUAGUUUCAUAAACGGGUGCAUAAGUAUUUGUUUGAUCUGGUAACGGUUCAAUCUCCUUAGAGUUUUCAUUUACCUUUUUGGAUUCGUCCGUUCCCUGUAUGUAGAAUAGGAAUUAUUGUGUGGACAGACAAAAAAGACAAACUAUGUAACAUGUUAGAAUUGUGACAAUUGACGGGUUGCAAUCUGCAACAAUGUCACCACUAUCUGUUCGGAUGGGUAGAGUUGAAAAAUCUACAAGCUUAUCUGUAAUUUAUUCAUAUAUACUCCUGAUAAGGCCAGUCGCAAGAAUUAUCAGUUUUCCUGUAUGAGAACAGUCUAUAAAAUUUUGAAAAAAUGGAAAAAAAAAACUUACGGCACGUUUUUGGAUCUUUUUCAAUGUACGAUCACAAUGGAAUGUGGCACAAUAAAAUAUCCCAUAACUGGCAAGGUCUUGGAAUUGAGUCACGAGACUACUUACCAAAUUUGUGAAUUGAAUUGAAGUGGUGUGAAUUAUACUAUAAUAAGUAGCGGUUCAAAUUGUACGGCAUCAAACUUCAAGAUAAUCUUUUUUAUUUUUGUGGAAAAGAUUUGCAACCAUAUCAUCGAAAUCAGUUGAAUGUCAAUUCCAGUGAACGUAUGGCUAGAACAUUUGCCCAUCUUGCUGAAUAAAUAUCUGCAAAAGCACUAGAGAAUGUGUGAUACGAACUGCAUUCUAUCUCACAAGCAACUUGUAAUACGCAGAUCCAAGGGCCUAGAAGUUUGUAUCAAAAUUUGAAGCGGAAGACCUCAAUCCGUUAAUCACAUGGUCAACAAAUCUCGGUACGUUAGUAGACGUCACAAUCGAACGCGUUCUUCAAUUGAUAAGUCGCGAACACUCAAAGAAAUUUGUCUAAGAUGUUCAAAGAGCUUUCGUCGAAAGCCAAGAGAGAACUCUCGUUAUUAUUUUUAUAAAUUCUGAUUCUUACUAAAAAAUGUCAUCGUUAGGCUAUUAAUAGCCGUACAAGACACAAGACUAAAUAAUGACUUUCCCAAACCAAAUAGGACACCCUAAUUCGGCUAUAAUUAGCAAAUUACGAUAGCCAAAUAAAACUAUUAUUGGAAAGACUAACUAAUUAACGAAUUUAAUAACUAGCUAAUCAUGAAACUAAUUUAAUCAACUCGACUUCAAUCAUGAAUUUCAAUUGACUCGACCGAAGCUUCCUUGACUUGGAAGAGAUGAACAACCCUCAAAUCUUUAUAUUCAAGACCUUUAAUGAUAUUCGGAACAUUAACUUGGUCAUGGACAGCAAGCACCAACCCUUGAAGUGCAUCACAAAGUUGCUUGGCUCAUGCCCGUGUAACCGGUUCCAAAGGCACUCAAACCCUCUCGACUUGCAUAGCUGGCUACUCACCUUGAUCUCCAUCAAUGUGGCUGUACCUGGUACGAAGAGUGAUAUUUGACACCCUUUACCUUAGGGAGUGUAUAUAGGAAAAUUCCAUACUAAGCCACGCACAAUUAGCGAUAGAAAUAAAUUAAAAGAUAGUUCAGCUACUUGAUUUUAGUGAUUCCUAUAUUCGCGUUUAUCUACUUAGAAAUGCUGUAAUUUCCAAUCAACUUCUUGCAAGUGAACUCGAUACGUAAUAAAUUUUUUAUUCACAACCGUUAGAUUAUCACCACGGUUCAAAGUCACAAUCGCGACUCGAACCGUUCCACGCCGGUCUCAACAUAUCAUUCGUGGUAUGUGAGACGCAAAUUCUGAAGCAUUUAAUAUUCUAAAAAUUAUGAAUAAUAUAAAAAAUAUGUUAAACAAAAAUAAUAAAAAAUUAGCAAAAGAAACAAAAUAAUAUAAACAAAAUAUGCUAAACUCGGGAUGACUUGGAACGAUUCGGCGUGACUCGAUCGUUUCUACUUCGCAAUCGAGUUCUUGGUGACUCGUCCGAAUUCUCAACGACCCAUGUAUCUUGAAGUCAUCUCGUCCCAGUAUCGGAACAGGCUGCUCCGUUCCAGUGAUUUGAACCAUGAUUAUUGUUAUUCUUGAUUUUGAUGAUCACAAAAGCACUUUGAAAUGUUUAUCUAAUUCUCUUCAAAUAUAAGUGUUUUGCUUUUUAGAGAAUUAGAUACAAAGGUAUCAAGGAAAGAAAAUCAACCAAAAGAAGAAGCAAAAACAGGGCACUCAUGUCGGACGUCCGAAAGGAAGCUGUAGGACGUCCGAAAGGAUGAAGAACAUCAAGAAGGAAAUUCUAUCGGACGCCCGUGAGGAAGCAUCGGACGUCCGGAUGGAUCGGACGCACUCCUCGGACGCACAUCGAUCGCAUCGGACGUCCUAAAAAUUUCACGAAACUUUGAUAACACUCUGGACGACGUUCGGACACAGAAGCUCGGACGAUAAAAUCCCAUCGGACGUCUGAACAACAACUUGACUGUCUUUCGGACGAUGGGAUCGGACGAUGACUAAUCUGUCGGACGUCCGACAGCCCCAACGGCUAGCUGACUCUUCAUCUGCCUUCUAUCCGUUGGAAGCAUUAAUGAAGCCCAUUCUUGGUUACCUUUAAAUACAAACGACUCUAAAUCAGAGAGGGACUUUUGCACACUUUGUUUACAAGAUCUCAAGAGAUAUUUUAGUUAGAAAAUAGUCUCCAAAGCUAGAUUUGUUCUCCAAGUGGUGUGAAUUUCUUGUGAGCAUUUCUCUUGUGGUUGAAAAUUUCAUUAGUGUAGCUUUAUUGAGGGUUAUCUGAGUGAUUGUAAAACUUCUUAGUUUGACUAAGUGAGGCUUAGGGCAAGGAGAAAGUGCUCCCUCCAUUGUACAUCUAGUUGAUCAUCUUUCAUCAAAGAGAAGUUGCUCAACCUAGUGAUUGGUCUUCAAGUUUGAGGAAAGCUUGGUAGACAAUCGGUUUGAUAUUCUAUCAUAUUCUUUUUGUUUAAUAAAAUUCUCAUUGCUUAUCUAUACUUGUUUUUCUAAUCAACAUUGCUCUCUUCUUCUAAUCUACUUGGUUGAUUAUUACUAGAAAAGAAGGUAAAUUUUUAUUAAAGAAAAAUUGCAUAAAUUUGACUAAAAUUUUAAUCAACAUAAUUCACCCCUCCUCUUAGGUUGUCUUUUAGAUUGUCUUUGGGCCUUACAAUUAUCACGCUUUACACAUAGCUGUCCAAUACUACUAGUAGACAUAAAUACCUGCACUGAGGCCUAUCCUUAGAUCAAAAAAACAAGCAUUAGAAUACCAUUAAGCAAACUGAGAAAGAUGAUAAGCAUUCAUUGGCUAUGGACAGCUCUAGCCUUGGCUGUUGUCUGGUUUUUUCUUCAAGAUUUGUUCUUGAUGAAGAAGAGAAAGAGAUUUCCUCCAGGUCCAAAAGGGCUUCCUAUUAUAGGAAAUCUGCAUCUGUUAGGCAAGAAUCCUCACCAAGAUUUGGCAAAACUAGCCAAAAAGCAUGGCCCUAUAAUGUACAUGCGAUUCGGUUAUGUCCCAGCAAUCAUUGUCUCAUCCCCUGAAGCAGCUGAAAAGUUUCUCAAGACUUACGAUCAAGUUUUUUCUAGUAGGCCUUAUCAUGAAGCCUCUUGGUAUAUUUGUUAUGAGCAGAGGAACUUGUCUUUCUGCCAAUAUGGACCGUAUUGGCGAAACAUGCGUAAGCUUUGCAUGCUGCAGCUGUUCAGUAGCCACAAAAUCAAUUCAUUUCUAUUAGGGCUGGCCCAGGAACUAGACAAACUCAAGUUAGAACAAAGUAGGUGGUAUAACCGACCAUAUAAUAAUUAGGCGGUAGACACCAACCAUAUAAUAAUUAAGCGGUAAAACUGACCAUAUAAAAGGGUUGCGGCAACCCAAUAAAGACAAAUAAUAAAGCAAAUAAAAGACACAGAAGAUUUACGUGGUUCGGUCAAAUUGACCUACGUCCACGGGCGAGGGAGGAGCAAUAUUUCUAUUGUGAAAAAGAAAUACAAAAGCCGUAGGAAAGUGGUUCCUAGGCCAAAAGACACUUACAAAAGAGUUUAGAAAAUAUUCCUAAAUUCAAAACAAGAGAGCCUAAAAUAUUUGACUAAAUGGGUUAGAUGACUCAAGAAACUAAUAGCCCAUAUAACUCUCUUGAGUCGUGCGAGUUGAUUCCUUCAAUAGGCUUCCUUAUUUAUAGGAAUCCAGAGAAGGCUUUCCUCAAGCCUUUGCCGAUGUGGGAUGAAGGAAAACAAAAAAUUAUGCCACAAAGUCAGUCAACAUUUGCGGCCGUUGAAAUCAACAAAUAUCCACCUUGGUAUAAUUUGUAGUCUUACCAUCGAUAAUAGCAAAACUGCUCCACCUUCUCCACAUAAACCCCAAUGGGCUUAAAUCACCAACAACGAAUACCAACCAAAUCCAAGCACUGCUUGAACUUGUAAAGUGGAAGAUGUUUGGUAAACAUAUCGGCUGGAUUGUCCUUAGUAUUGGUUUUCUGAAUAAGGACUUUUCCCUCAGCAAUGAUAUCCCGAAUGAAGUGAUACUUCAAUCAAUGUGUUUCGUCCUCUCAUGAUACAUCUGAUCUUUAGUCAAGUGUAUGGCACUUUGACUAUCACAGUGAAUAUCAGUAACACCUUGAUAUAGACUUAACUCGCUAAAUAAACUCUUCAACCACAAGGCUUCUUUGAUUGCCUCGGUCAUAGCCAUAUAUUCUGCUUCUGUAGUAGACAAAGCUACGACAGGUUGUAGAGUAGCUUUCCACCUAACAUCACAACCGCCAAUACAAAAUACAUAGCCUGAAAGUGAUCUUCUCCUGUCAAGAUCCCCAGCGUAGUCUGAGUCUACAAAACCAACCAAAGUGUUUUUAUUUCUUCCAAACUCCAAACAUACAUUUGAAAUACCUCGCAAGUAUAUGAGAAUCCAAUUCACAGCCUGCCAAUGUGCUUUACCAGGGCAAGACAUAUAUCUGCUAACAACACUGAUUGCAUGUGAGAUAUCUGGACGAGUACAAACCAUUGCAUACAUGACACUGCCGACUGCACUGGAAUAAGGAACCUGUGCCAUAUAAUCUUUCUCUUUAUCUGAUUGUGGUGAUUGAGCAGCAGAUAGCCGAAAAUGGCUAGCAAGAGGAGUAGAUACUGGUUUAGCAUCUUUCAUGCCAAAACGCUCCAAAACUUUUUCAAGGUAAUUUUUCUGGGUCAAGAACAAUUUCCCUACUCCUCGAUCUCGAUUGAUAUCCAUGCCAAGAAUUUUCUUAACUGCUCCCAAAUCUUUCAUUUCAAAUUCACUAUUUCACUGCAGUUUCAAAGUGUGAAUUUCUGACAAAUUCUUGGCAGUAAUGAGCAUGUCAUCAACAUAUAACAAUAAGUAAAUGAAAGAACCAUCAUUUAACUUUCGGAAGUAAACACAACUAUCAUACAUGCUCCUUGAAUAACCAUGACCCAACAUAAAGGAAUCAAACCUCUUAUACCAUUGUCUUGGAGACUACUUCAAUCCAUAUAAGGAUUUCUUCAAUAAGCAAACAUGGUCUUCCUUACCUUCAAUCUCAAAACCUUGGGGUUGUCUCAUCUAAAUUUGUUCUUCAAGUUCGCCAUGUAAGAAAGCUGUCUUAACGUCGAGCUGUUCUAACUCCAAAUUAUACAUGGAAACUAAAGCAAGCAAAACACGAAUAGAGCUAUGUUUAACAACAGGUGAAAACACAUCAUUAAAAUCAACACCUUGUACCUGACUAUAGCCCUUUGCAACAAAUCGUGCUUUAUACCUUGCAUCUUCAACCCUUGGAAUACCUUCCUUCUUCUUGAAGACCCACUUACAACCGACAAUUUUCUUAGCUGACGGCGGCUUUACAAGAACCCCAGUUUCAUUCUGAUGAAGAGAUUCAAUUUCUUCAUUCAUCGCAAUCAACCACUUUGCAGAAUCAUCACAAGAAACUGCUUCUGAAUAGGUGGAAGACUCACCAACUGCAUCAGUUUCUUCUGCAACAGACAAAGCAUAUGCAACUAAAUUUGCAUAUCUUUGUGGUGAUCGAAUGUCUCUCCUUUGUCAAUCUCUGGCUAUGGAAUACUCUUCUUCUUCUGAACUAUCUUCAACAGUAGAUUCAAGUGCAUCUACUGGUAAUUGCUGAAUAGAAGAUUUGGACUGAGAAGGACCAGAACUGCCAAUAUCAAGCUCCACCUGCUUCUAUGUACUAUCAAUAGUACAAAAACUAGAAGACUCCUUCUUAGAAGAUAACAUAUACAAAUCAUCAAAAGUAACAUCUCUACUGAUCACAAAUUUUGGAGAUUUGAGAUCAGGACACCAUAAUCUGUAUCCUUUCACCCCAGAAGCAUACCCAAGAAAAAUGCACUUUUUAGCUCUAGACUCCAAUUUUUCAUCAUUCACAUGCAUGUAUGCUAGACAUCCAAAAACUUUUAAAUUGGAGUAAUCAGCAGGAGUACUUGACCAAACUUCCUCAGGAGUUUUGAAAUCAAGAGAUACAAAAGGAGAACAGUUGACAAUAUAACAGGCCAUGUUGAUCGGCUCUGCCCAAAAGUCGUUUGUCAACCCUGCAUUGGAGAUCAUACAUCUUGCUCUCUCCAAAAGAGUUCUGUUCAUACGUUCGGCCACACCAUUUUGUUGAGGCGUCAUCCUGACGGUGUAAUGCCGAACAAUUCCUUCAUUCUUGCAGAAUUCAUUAAAUUCACCUUCACAAAAUUUCAUGCCAUUAUCUGUCCUGAGCCCCUUAAUAUGUUUUCCUGUCUGUUUCUCAAUCAAAACUUUCCAUUGUUUGAAAGUUAGGAAAACAUCAUUUUUAUGCUUAAGAAAAUAUACCCAAACUUUCCUUGAAUAAUCAUCAAUGAAAGUCAACAUGUAUCUGGCACCACUUUUAGAAGGAGCACGAGAAGGACCCCAUAGAUCGGAAUGAAUGUAAUCGAGAGUACCUUUUGUCUUGUGAAUUGCUGGUGAACUGAAACUGACUCUUUUCUGCUUCCCAAAAUACAAUGUUCACAGAAUUCCAAUGACCCGGUACUUUGUCCACAAAGAAGUCCUCUUUUGCUCAAUAUGCCCAAACCUUUUUCGCUCAUGUGCCCCAAACGCAUAUGCCAUAAUUUGGUGAUGUCUAUAUUUGACAAAGAUGAUGUUGAAACAGCAGCAGCACCUGUAACAAUAGAUCCCUGCAAAAUAUAUAAAGUACCAGAUCUGUGUGCCUUCAUAACAACAAGAGCUUCUCGAGUGAUUUUGAGAACUCUAUCUCCACCUGAAUACCUGCACCCAAUAGACUCAAGAGUGCCCAAAGAGAUGAGAUUUUUCUUCAAAUCUGGAACAUGUUUAACAUCUGUGAGCGUCCUCACAAUACCAUCAUACAUUUUAAUCCGGAUUGUGCCUUUGCCAACAACUUUACAAACGGCGUUGUUACCUAUUAAGACAACUCCACCUUCAGUUGAUUCAUAUGUUAAAAACCAGUCCCUAUUGGGACACAUAUGAUAUGAACAACCCGAAUCUAAAAUCCAUUCAUUGUUAGACCUAAAAUUAUUUUUCGUUGCACAGAAAACAGUUCCAUCAUUCUCAUCAGCUGCUAUACUAGCUUCAGCGGAUUCAGUAUUUUUCUCAACAAAUUUUCCUUUUUGCUUUUCUUUAUUUUUCAAUUUAAAGCAAUCAGAGAUAACAUGGCCUUUCUUUUUACAAUAGUUGCACACCACAUUUUUAUGUCUGGACUUGGAUCUAUUUCUAUUUUCUGUGUUUCUUUUUUCAAAUCUACCCCGAACAAACAAGCCAUCAGCUUGACUCCCACUAGUUUCCACAGUAAUGUCCCUAUCUAUCUGCUCUUUAGAUUUUAAUGCAAAUUUAAUUUCCCGAUACGAAAUUGUUUCCUUUCCAUAAAUCAUAGUAUCACGAAAAUGCUUAAAAGAUUGGGGAAGGGAACACAAAAGUAAUAGGGCCUGAUCUUCAUCAUCAAUUUUUGAAUCUAUAUUCUCCAAAUCCAUAAUAAUGGAAUCAAAUUUAUCAAGAUGGAAGAGUAUAGAUGUACCUUCAGACAUCCGAAGCAUAUACAAACUCUGCUUCACAUAUAGCCGAUUCUCGACUGUCUUCUUCAUAUAUAAGACUUUCAAUUUAUCCCACAUAGCCUUGGCUGAAGUCUCCAUUGCUACCUCACGCAAUACCUCAUCGGAGAGAUUUAAAAUUAUGCUGGAUAUGGCCUUCUUAUCCAUAUCGGCGAAAUCCGCAUCCUUUACAUCUUCUGGCUUUUUCUCAAUUCCAUGAAUUGCCAAAUCAACUCCGUCUUGAACAAGAAUGGCCUCCAUCUUGAGCUACCACAUUCCGAAGUUGACAUUCCUGUCGAAUUUUUCGACAACCGUCUUUGUUAUCGUCAUUGUUGCCACAAAAUCUGUAUCCUGAAGUUUGCCUCAAAAACUGGUCAAACAAAUAUGCAAGUCUCGUGAGCGGACCCUACAGGGUGAGCGGGCCCCACGGGGUGAAUGGAUCCCACGGGAUGAGCGGGUCCCACAGAUAAACGGACCCCACAAGAUGAGUGGGCCCCACAGGAUGGACAGACCCCACCAGAUGAACCUGUCUUGCAAAAUAUAACAACCAGCUCUGAUACCAGUUUGUUAGGGCUAACCCAGGAAAUAGACAAACUCAAGUUAGAACAAAGUAGGUGGUAUAACCGAUUAUAUAAUGAUUAGGCGGUAGACACCAGCCAUAUAAUAAUUAGGCGGUAAAAUCGAUCAUAUAAAAGGGUUGCGGCAACCCAAUAAAGACAAAUAAUAAAGCAAAUAAAAGACACGGAAGAUUUACGUGGUUCGGUCAAAUUGACCUACGUCCACGGGCGAGGGAGGAGCAAUAUUUCUACUAUGAAAAAGAAAUACAAAAGCCGUAGGAAAGUGGUUCCUAGGCCAAAAGGCACUUACAAAAAGAGUUUAGAAAUAUUCCUAAACUCAAAACAAGAGAGCCUAAAAUAUUUGACUAAAUAGGCUAGAUGACUCAAGAAACUAAUAGCCCAUAUAACUCUCUUGAGUCGUGCGAGUUGAUUCCUUCAAUAGGCUUCCUUAUUUAUAGGAAACCAGAGAAGGCUUUCCUCAAGCCUUUGCCGAUGUAGGAUGAAGGAAAACAAAAAAUUAUGCCACAAAGUCAGUCAACAUUUGCGGCCGUUGAAAUCAACAAUUUCUGCCAAUGAGAAGAAAAGAGGCUGGCCCCCGCGUGAAUGGUCCAGCGGCAGCGCCUCUCACCAGUGAACCUUGAGGUCACAAGUUCGAGUCUCCGCUCCACUGGAUUCCUCCACGCACUUAACGUGUUCGGGCCAAGUUGGGGCGCCGGGCCCGGGCCGCAGGGGAUUAGUCGGGCCCCGUAAGGAUUGACCCGGACACCCCUGUGUCGACAAAAAAAAAAAAAAAGAGAAGAGAAGAGGCUGGAACAUUGGUUAAAUCACUCAAACAGGCUGCCUCAGACGGUGUUGCUGUUGACCUUAGUGCUGCGAUGUCAUCCUUUGGUGCAAAUAUGAGUUGCUUGAUGAUAUUUGGAAAGAAGUAUAUGGACAAGGAUUUUGAUGAUAGGGGGUUUGGAGAGGUCAUUCAAGAAGCAUUGCGUGUUGCAGCGCUGCCAAACCUUGGUGAUUAUUUUCCCCUGCUUGGUGUGCUUGAUCUUCAGGGACUUACUCGUCGAUUUAAGGUUUUAGCUAAGGUGUUCGAUAAUUUUUUUUGAUAAAAUCAUUGAUGGACAUCUUGAAUCCAAGGAGCACAAGAGAACCAAGGACUUCGUGGACAUCAUGAUGGGAAUUAUUCAAUCUGGAACAUCUGAAUUCGAUUUUUGAUCGUCGUCAUGUCAAAGCUAUCCUGUUUGUAAGUUUGGUAGCUUUAUAUUCUUAUUUGAUGUUUCGUUGGUAAGUCUGAAGAAAUGAUUAUUGUAGUGUUAUUCUAAUGCAAAGCAAAUUGAGGGCAGUUACCAAGAUCCAAUUCUAUUCAUUCUCUUUCUUUUUCUUCCAAUACUGCUGAGAAAGGGAUUGUUCCAAAUGCUAUAUCAAAUAAAUCAGUGCUUGUGAUAAAUGAAGCCAAAUUUGGCACAAUUCUUACUCUUUCAUGUAUCUAACUCAAAAUACAGGAUAUGCUUCUAGCCUCAAUGGACAGUUCUACGACAGCUGUUGAAUGGGCCAUGUCAGAACUCCUUAGGCAUCCCGAGGCAAUGCAGAAACUCCAGAAAGAAUUGGAAGAAAAAGUUGGAUUCGAGAGAAUUGUGGAGGAAUCAGAUCUUGAAGGCCGAGAGCAUUUGGACAUGGUUGUAAAAGAAUCCAUGAGGCUUCAUCCUGUGGGACCGCUAAUGCUUCCCCACGAGUCAAUGGAAGAUUGCACAGUUGAUGAUUUCCACAUUCAGAAAAAAUCGCGGAUCAUCAUAAACGUGUACGCAAUCGGACGCGAUCCAAAUGUCUGGCCUGAUCCUGAGACCUUCAACCCUGAAAGAUUCAAAGAUUGCAAUAUAGACCUUCGCGGCCAAGAUUUUCGACUCACACCAUUUGGCUCAGGCAGAAGAAGUUGCCCUGGUUUGCAGUUGGGGCUCCUCGUUGUUCAUUUUGUGCUGGCACAGUUGGUGCAUUGCUUCAAUUGGGAACUUGCAAAUAACAUUCCGCCAACAGAUUUGGAUAUGUCUGAGGCUUUUAGUGUAGUAACCCCAAGAGCAAAGCAUUUAAAGGUUGUGCCUUCUUACCGAUUGCACAAAUGAAUAAAAAUUGUGGACUCCAAUUCCAAUUCUGGAAGUGUAAAAGUAAUGCUCCUUGAAGAUUGUGUUGACUCUAGUGUCUUCUUGCACGUACCGCUUGUUGCUCUUUCCAUUUGUUGAUGAUAAAAAUAUUUGCCAAUUUGUGUUUUUUUUUUCCUAAUCUACUUGUUUCCAUCUCGAUCUGAAGAAGCAGCUUCUUCCUUGAGCAUUAGACAUCCUUAAGCAGCUUCUUCCUUUUGUCGAAUCACUUUUUGGUUCUGGGAUGAUAUGCAUUCACCGUUCAACACUUUAAUUAGAAUUAUUGUAUUUUAAUGUGGCAUGCACUAAUUAAAAGAAAUAAAACACCCCAAUUGAUUACAUCUUAAUAGUAUUGGUAAUUAUUAUUAUUAUUAUUAUUAUUAUUAUUGUUGUUGUUGUUGUUAUUAAAAAGUAUGAAUGUUGGUAUUAGGGAGUGUAAGUAUAAGCACUUUUUAUUUUAGUUUUUGUUAUUCCUAAAUUACCCUCAUGUCUUUUAAUUAGAAUUAUUGUAUUUUAAUGUGGCACUAAUUAAAAGAAAUAAAAUAGUCCAAUUGAUUACAUCUUAAUAGUAUUAGUAAUUAUAAUUAAAAAUUGCUUAUUGAAAGCGAUAAAACUAGCCUUGGAUUCCAUCUCCAAUUAUUAUAUGUAUCAAAAUUUCCUAAUUGAAACAUGAAAAAUUUCUCAUUAGUCAUUGGUUGAGAUUGUAAAAAAAAAAAAAUCAAUUUCAAAAAAUAGAUAUUCUCUAGAAAAUGGAGAAACAUACAAGGAGAAGAAAACCCUUAUCAUCUGUAUAUCUUUAUACAAAUAUCACGAGUAAAUUUUACAAUUAUGCAUUUUUUACCAAUAUAAAGAAUUUUCAUAUUGCACCCAAUGGAAUUUUAAUAUACAAAAAAUGAUGACAACUUUAUAAAUGAAAUAGUAGUAUUAAACUAGGAAAAAGAAAUCCGAAAUAGCACCAUACAAUCACUAUUAUCAUUAAUAGCAACCGAUCAAAACAAAAAAAAAAAACUGAAAAAAUUAAAAAUUAUUUAUAAAAUGACAUAAAGUAAAUAGCAAUGAAUUAAAAAGUUAGAAUAUAAUUCAAAUAUUAUCAAAGACAACAUCAAAAUCACUGAUAUCUAAGGGAAGACAAAUAUUAUUGUUAUCGACAAUAAUAUAGUAAUGCUUUGUUUGUAUUAGUUUGAGCAAACAAAAUCCAUUCAUCAAGCGAGAAGCCAUCUCCAAUGAUAAAAUAAGAAUUAUAAUAAGAGUAAAUUUAAGUUGAAGAGUGAUAAAAUGAAAAUGAUAUCCAAAUUGGUUUUCGUGAUGUCCAAAAUGCCCUUAUGUGUGAGGAUCCGAAAAUUUUGUGUAAAUUUUAUGCUUUUAUUUUUAAUUUUAUAUAUGUAACUUAUUAUUGAUGAAUUUAAGUAUUUAAUUGUUUCCUUUAUAAUUCAACAGUAUAAGAAUGCUUUAAAUUAUUGGAUGAUUGUCUUUAUGGAAACUACACCACUUAGAACAAAUUAAUGGGGCAAUAGUGUGACCAUUAGAAUUAUUUUGGCCAUAGUUGAAUAAUGUUUUGAGACAAAACACAUGCAAUUGACAAAUGUCCAACUACUUGCCAAAUGUUAAAAUCUUUAUUAGAUGACCAAACAGCUCUUGAAUGCCCCCAAAUUUGCCAUGCAACCAAGUUUUGAAUCCGAGGGAAGCAAACAAAAGAGAACCACUUCUGCCUUCCUCAAUUCAAAACCCAUCCGAGAGAGUGAGAAAGGGCGAGAAGUCUCGUUCUUUUCUUCCUUUUCCAGCCACACCCGAGAUAGUUGAGUGAGAGUUGAGAGAAAGAGCGAGAAACUUGCCCCUUGUCUUUUUUCAUUUCCAGCCGAAGAAGGAGUGGAGAAAAGCUGAGAAAAUCUUCCUUGGCCUUGUUCCUUAUCCAGCCGAGAGCUUGAGAGGAAACUAGAGUAAAACCAGAGCUUUUGUUUCCACUUCAGCCAAGAGAAAAACCAGAGUUCCGUGCUCCUUUUGCAGCCAAAAGAAACCAUAAUUUUCUGCUCCAUUUCCAGCCGAGGAGAAAGCAGGAAGGUGAACCGAUUUCCAGCUUGAGUUUGGGCAGAAAAAUAAGGUAAAAUGGCUAGAAACCACAACCUUUCUAUAUAGCUUAGUGGAAUUUUGUUGCAUGUAUAGUUUGAGGCUAGAUUGAAGUAGAACCAGGUGGUAGAAAUUUGUUUCAUCGCUGGAAAUUUUCCCAGCUUGAACUAAUUUAGAGUAAAGGCUGUUUCUUUCGAUUUUCUUCCUCAAACAAGGAUAAAUAUACUUGAACUCAUGAAAUAUGUUUAGUACACUCAUUAUUUGGUGUUGCAUGUGAAUUUUAUGGCCAGAAAUUCGAUCUUAUGGCUGGAAUUUUUUAUUGGAAGUUGUAUGACUGCUAAACUAAUUUUCCAGGUUAGCCGAUGGAAUUUUUUUGGGAGUUGUAUAGAUAUUUUGGUAUGAAAUUUGCUGGAAAGUGCUUGAUUCUCACUUGGUUGUGUGUUAUGAGGUUGUUGAUGUGUGCUUGGUGGCUAGAAAUAAUAUUUAAAAUGGUUAAAAUUGAAGGGAGUUGCUGCUGAAACUUCUGGACGGAGCCGUGAGUGUGAGCUGUGGAAUUGCAGGUUUUAUUUGCAAAUUUUGGUUGAGAAAUGACUUAUUUCCACUUUGCAUGAUACAUAUUGUAUGUUUACCUUUGAAUCUAGUGGAAACUUGAUAAAUUGGUUGGAGGAAAACUCGAAGAAUCUGAUGGAAAUCUGCUUGAUUGGCCGAGUGAGGGAGAGGGAGAGUUUCCAGCUUUUCCAUGACUUUUGGGGCAGCAAAAUUUUAGAUUGCUGUUCAAAAUACCUCAUAACAUGUUAAUCUUCUCAUGCAUGUUGAAUUGGAGUGAUAACCAAAGGGUUUUGUUGAAGAAAAGCUCCCAUAGCAAACUGUUUUCUGGCUGGAAAAUUUUCCAACUUUGAGCCGUAGAGAAAACUUGAACUUCUAGCUUUUUGAUACAAAUCUUCUUGUUGAUUAAUACCUCAUCUCAUGUUACAAGUCUAUUACUAAGUGAUUUGUGGUUGAAAACAAGUAUGAGAAGGGCUGUUUUGAUGACAAAAAGUGAAGAGAAACUUGCCUAAAUUUUCUUGCUUGAACAUAGGUAGGAAGCUGUGUUUUCCAGCUUGUAGCUUCCAUUUUUGUUGAAGUUUACAAAGAAGUUUAUGCCCUACAGUUACCUUAGGAUACAAUAUAUGAUUUAUGCUUGAAUCAGGACUCUGAACCAUGAUUAAAUUCCAGCUUUAACACUAAAUGUUGGUUGCGAAUUUGUACUCUUUUGGCUCAUUAAACUUCUAAUGUUUUAAACAUGAUAUACAUGAAUAGGUUCGUUGGUUUUUGGAAAAAUUUGGGGUGAUUUUAGUGAGAGAAUUUUAUUAAAGAAGCCUAGAGUAAGAGUAAAGUUCCAACCUUAUUUUCAUGAAUUUGGUUACAAAACUCUAUACUUUUAACCUUCAUGUUCAAUAACUUUUAAAACUAAAGUUUUAAGUGUAUUUCACUUGUUUUGACCAAGAUAAUUUAGAAGUUUGGAAAGAAAGUUGGUAUUGUCGAAAAGUCUAGUAAUUGUAGUUUGGGCUUAACUCAGGAGCCGAGAGUGAACCGAAAGAGGGUUCUGAAUGCUGAAAAGUAACUUCAAACUAAGUGGUGAGUGCUCUAUAUUUGUUUGUAGGUAUUGAAUAUAUGAUGAAUGAUAAAGGUUAUGUGCUUAGUUGACUAAUAUUUGUUCGAUUAUUGAUACUUGAAUUGUUUAGAGUAAAAAUUGAUAAUUGCUACUGUUUUACUCAAAGGCAAGCACACACUUUAUUACCCUCGACCUAAAUGAAUGUUGGAAAUGAUAAAUGCCUAAUUGUUACUAGAAUUGUGCAUGAAUGUAAGUCGAAAUAUAGGAUGGGAGAGAAAGAGAGAGAGAGAGAGCUCAAUUCUUUUUUAUAUACAAAAACUACAAAUAAGAAAGAAUUCAAUAUUUUAUUAUUUUAAAAUUACUUUCCUUUCUAUUUACCACCCAAUUUUAAUCCUAAUUCCGAUGACAUUAAGGUAAUACAAUUAGGAUUCUUUCUUAUUUUUCUUUUUUUUUUUGCAAAAUCUAAUUUUUUGUCUCCUUCUCUCCUAUCUCUUUUUCUUUUCGUAAUAUUAAUAAGUGUAAAAAAGAAAAUUUAAGAAAAUUCUUUUAUUUUUAUGUUUUUAGAACUCUUAGAGUAAUAAAGGGGAAAAAUAACCAUUCCAAUUUUUUAUUUUUAAUUAUAUAUAAAAAAGGGUUAAAUAUAUUUAAAAAUUUUUGAACAUACUGGUUAGAUUAAUGAUAGGGUAAAAUCCCUAGAAAAUAAUUUUAGAGAGUACAGUAAUUGUAUCACUACAAUUUAAAGGGAUAAAGUGAUCAUAAAUAAAGUGAUCAUAACAAUAUAGUAAGGGUAAAUUUUAUAUACAUUAUCACCGUUAGAUUCAUAACACAUGUGCAAAAGUUGGAUUUCAAAUUCAAAUUUUAUAUAUUUGUUAUUUAUCUAAGACUGACAGUCUAUACACUGUCAAUGUAGGAAAGAUUAAUCCAUAUAGUAAUGCUAUAAAAUAUAAGGGUAUUUUUAUCCAAAAUUUGUUAACAGUAUUGAAUUAUUUGUCAGGGUGAAAUGACUAAAAAAUAACGUUACAGGAUAAAUUGAUAGUAGUAACAUAGUUUAAGAGGAUAAAGUGAUAAUAACUCAUUUAGUUGUGAAGUACAAAUUCGUUUAACAUGCCACGUCAUUCAAUUCAUGACUAUUCCUAUGUUUGGAUAGAGUAUUAUUUAAAAUAUUAUUUGGAAUAAUUAUUGUAACACUUUUUAUAAUAUGAUAUAUUUGAGAUAAAAAAGUAAUUAGGAAUAUAAAAAAGUGGAUUGAAAAAUAUGUCUAUGAUACAUGCAAAAUAUCAUUUGGGAUAAUUCAGUAAUUCAAACACACUCAUUAUUUGUGCGUAGACUCGUAGAGUGUACGUAGGAAUAUUCGUUAAUACCUGGAUUAGAUGCACGCACAUGUGUUUCACGCAUCUAAGAACUUCCAUUCCUUUUUAUAGUAAACAAAAUGAAACGUCAAUCUAUCACCUCAAUUAAGCAUAUGUCAAAUCCAUUAAAUUUAGUUAAAUCCAAUGUCAGACCCAAAUUCUUGUGGGUUCGAAAAAGUAAACUCAAAUCCAAAUCCUCGUUGGUUUGGAUAUCUAAUAAAUAUCCGUAGGUGUUUUUUUGAACAUGCAAAAUUAAGUAAAAAUAUUUUUAAAAUACAUACAAUUUAAAAUAACAUACAUACCAUUCAACUUUUUGUUUAUAGAGGGAAACCAAAAAAACAGGACACAUAAUAAAUUGGCGGGUUAUGUGGUGUUUUCUUAGAUUAUGAACAUAUCCUUUAAUCUAAUAGUCAUGAAGUUUUACUAUAUUCGAUCCAAUAACCAUAUAAUAUUAGAUUAUUUUAUAAAUUUAUUGGUACAUACAUGCAUACAUAUUAUUUAUUUAUACAUGGAUGGGGAUGAGGUAUGAUUUGAAACUGGGUUUGAGCACGGAUCACAAAAAAUCAAAUUCUACUGAUAAGUGCAUAUUUUAAGUGUUUUUAGUGUAUUUUAUUAUUUAGUUUUGGUGUGUUUUAACUACUUUUAUAGUUAAUUAACUAAGUUUUUAGUGAAAAUAUGCAUUUUGUGAUUUAAGUGGUAAAAAUUACAUUUUUAAGGAUUUUAAUGGUGAAAAUUUCAUGUUUUUAUAGGUUUAAAAAUUCAAUUAUCACAUGGUAUGAGUUGAGAAGAUAAUUGGAUGAUUGAUGAUGGUUUGAAGUGAUAAAAAAAAGAAUAUGAAGUGCAAGAGAGGAAAUGCAAUAAAAAAUAAAAGAAGAAAUGUUUUACAGUUUUGACACAUGUUGGUAUUUCGACAAUAUUUUGAGUUACAAAUAUCGGAUUAAAAUGAUUUUUAAACAUUUUGAAGCUAAGAGAUGGAUCUAUAUUUGGUAUGAAGACAUCGAAAUCCAGUUCACAAGUUUUCUAAGUCAAAAUGUCAAAAUACAAAAGUGCAUUUUCAUUGUCGAAAGCUAAAACAGAGUUUUGACCAGUCAAGGAUACUUUGGUCAUUUAUCGGUCCAUAGAGCUCCUAAUUGGAUGAUUCUUCAUGCAUUGGAAAGUUAACUCAAAGAUCUACAACUUUUAUGUUUUAUACAAGAGUUAGUUCAGCCUCCAUCAUCGAGAAAAUAUCAGUUUAAAUCGGAUGAAGAAUAGAACAAUGAUGAAAUCUGUCCAGAAUGAGCAAACUUGCAAAAAGAGCAAAAUGAGGGGUCAAAACGCAGGCAUAGGCCACAUUUUCUAUCCGCGUUUUCAUGAAUUUCAGCUGCAACUUACUCUACAACUUGUGCUCCAUUCACACAACCUUUUUGACCACUUUGUCUGCAAAAAUCCUGGCUAGAAAUGAUCAGAUUAUGCAUGGAAACUAUGAGAAGCAACUUUGAAGAAUUUCAAGAGUCAAAAAUACCAACUAGAAACAACUCAUUUUGGCUCUUGAAUCCUCUAUAAAUAGAGGCCUUGAAGAACAUUUGCACGACUUUGGAAGGUUAGAGAAACUCAUCAAAAAUAUAGUUUUCACUAGAAUUUCCUUAGUUCAUUAGUUAGGGUAGUAUAGAGUAGUUAGUGUAGUUUAUCCAUCUUGUAUUUGUAAUUAGAUUUGGAUGAAGAUUUGACAAGUAAAGAUGGAGAGUUAGACCUCAUAUGAUAAGGGUGACUUCUCUCUUAUCACUUUUUCUUUUGUAUUUGAUUUCAUGUUUGGUUAUAAUACAAGUUUGGAUCUGUUUUUCUUCAUAUUUAGUUAAAUUUUAUACCUAGAGUUAUGAAUGAAUUUACUAUAUCUUGUUAGUGAUACUUACUUGGUUAUUUGAUGAUAUUAUUUUGAACAAGUUAUUUAUCAUUUUUGCUUUUCUAAUCAUGAUUAACCUGCCAUUAAUUAUGAUAAUUUUAAGGUGUUAAGUUUGCAAUGAGAAUUGAAAUUUAACACUAGUUCAAGGAAGUGAUAAACCUAAGGAGUUCACUCACGAGAGUAGAGGAGCACCUAUGUAGCUUUAGUGACUUGUUUCAUGUAAUUUCAUCGAAGAAAUGAACUUGUAACUAAUUUCAUAACCACGAGAGUAGGUAUGGUUUAAUUAUAAGUAUAAUUGAUUCACUACGAAACUAGAUUUCAUAUACAUUAGGAAAUUACGUCAUAACUAACCAAGAUAAUAGCAUUCACUUAACCGGUAACUUCAUUUGCAAGAGUAGUAAUAAAUUCCAUACCUCUAGGAGUUUUCUAUUGUUAAUUUUAUUACUUUUAUUUAAUGUUUGUAUUGUAGAUUUAAUCUUUUGCAUGUGUGAUAGUCUAAAUAAUAAAGGAGUUCGAAAAUCACCGGUAAUUAAAAAUCUUUUCUGUGGGUUCAAUUCUUAAUACCCUAUACUCAAUCGCGACUCGAAGACUUGUAAAAAAUCAUGUAUAAAAUAUUUAGGAUUCUAUAAAUAUAAAAUUUAACUGUGAAUGAAUUAAUUGUUAUAUGUAUACCUCGCGCAUGUCAUUUACCGAGACCCGUGACUCUCUUAUAGUUUGGAUCUAUGUAGGAUAUGAAUCAUGUGCAUGCAUAUAUGUAUGACUCUCUUAGAUUUUGAGUGUAUCCUUUAAUCUAACAACUAUGAAAAUAGUUGGAUAGAAUACAACAAAUAUGCCUGCAACUUGAACUUUAACAAGUUAGAUAACUAAAAAUUUUUAUAAAAUUUAAAUAUAAAAACCUACUAAAAAAAGCUCAUUCAACAAGUCAGAAACACCAAAGCAAGCGCCGUUCAAAAUGAAUCCUAAUGGUGCCUUCAACAAGACAAGGCAGGAUUUAAUUCGCUUAAGAAAAGCAUUGACUGAGAAAUCAUGGCAACCAAGGUGGAGAAAUUAUGUCGUAACCAUGAUCCAGGGACUUAUCCGAAGCUAUGAUUUUAGAUUUAGGGUGCAUUUGAUAAAAUUAAAAUCCGAAAUCUAAAAUUUGAAUCCACUGAAUUAUUGAAUUGCUAAGUAUUAAAUCUAGUACAUUUGAGUGUAUAUCACAUUCAGUGAUAAGUAAAUAACUUAUCACUUAAUUAUAAAAAGCAAAUUUUACCUAAAAAAUUCAGUGCCACUUGAUUAAUUCGAAUGUUCAAUUUUUAAUUAUCAAACGAUUUAAAUAUAUAGGAGGAGGGAUGGAUUGGCUGGUAUGGGGAGAGGGAGUGUAAGCGAGAGAUCUCGGGUUUGAGUCCCCCCCCUUACACUAAACAAAAAAAAAACUACCUAAAUAUAUUAAAAUCUGAAUCCAUUAAAUUUAAGUACUGAACUGAAUUAUCAAACAAAGCCUUAGCGUAACACUUGUCUGAAAAAAAAAAUUCUCUUUCUUUUUUUUUUCUUUUUAACGUAAAAGGUAAAUUUUAUUAAUCAAUCAUAAAGCAACAAAUACUGCUCAAUAAUUAUAGAGUUACGAUUUCAACAAGUAAACUGGCAAAGAAUCCCUCUCCAACUCGACCGCAUCUACCCUGUGCUGGUGUGAACUGCCAUAGUUUACAAAUUAUCUUCAUAUGAGAUACAGCUGCUGAUUUUGUAGCCGAUUCAGAAAAGAACUAAGACUUUAAAUUCUGUUCCAUAUAAUAAAUCUCACUAGGCCAUUGAUAAGCACCACCAUAUAGCACGGUACAAAUAUGCAACCGAGUCCACAAAUAGGCGGGAAUCACGCGUACAAGUAACUGAUUGAUGGACUAUUGUACUGUCCAAACCAAAGGACUCGUUACUUCGUCCUCCUCUCUCUCCUUCUCAGCUGAAUUCACAUGUUACCAGAGGAAUGCAUCCUGUAAUAACUAAUAAAUAUGCAAACCCAUACGAAGUUUUACCAUGAACAGAUUGUAUCCAUUAAGAAAAUAUAAAUUCGAUCAGGAUUUGCUUCUCCGGCCCAUGAGUGCAGCAUUCUUUGAAAAUGCGCGGGCUGAUUUCACUGGGAGACCUCAACUGCACUGGCCAUAGUCGAUCGACUUUCAUGCUAGUUCUUGCUCCAUCAUGAAAGUUCCAAAGGAUGAGCACGACUAAAGCGGCUAUACAUGCAAAUCUAUUUACAUUGUCAUAAUCUAUCGUUGACAGCUAGUCCAUCUUGCACACCAUUGGGAGAACAAAAGCAAACCUAGCUAAUCCAUCUUGCAUCUAUCUUGCAGACCAUCCAAAGACAAAUACAAACCUAGGAACGGGAGGGUUGAGUUGAAUGAUAAGAUAGGAGGGAUUGUAAACAGGAGGCCCUAGGUUCAAAACUUCCCCACUUAUAAAAACAAAAUCAAAAACAAAAACAAAACAAAAAAAUACAAACCUAGGAACAACCUUUGCAAACCAUACUACAGGAUACCAGGCAUUUGGUUCUAGUUAUUCUAUCUUACCAGGCCAUGCAGUAUUCUCUGCACUAUUUGCAGGUUUGGCUCCUUGGUGAAGAUGAGGCUGUAAUUUGGUUGGAUGAGCCCCUUCUUCAAUUUGGUCGUAAGGUCAAAGCUUUAUACUGAAACCAUAAUGAGAAAAAAUUUAUUCACACAUACAAGGAAUGUGAGACAAAGAACCCUAAAAAAAGGGUUAGAUAUCAAGGAGUUAAUGAUGUUGGGAGAACUUUGACAAUCCGUAGUGACUGCAAGUCCAUAUUUGAACCAUUUGAAAGAAAUGAAAAUCGCUCAACUCUGUCCACGACAGGAUAGAAUAAAGAAAAUAAGAGAAAAGAUAAAUGCAAGAGAGGGAAAAGAAAGAAAAGACCUAAGAGAAAAGAAUGGGGAAAUAUAAAAGGAGAUUGGAAAUUCUAGAGAGGAGAGGAGGAAGCAGGGAAACGAAGUGGAGGCAGCUUAUGAAAGAAUAGUUGUUGUCUUAACCCUAGUCAAUCUAAUAGAAGAGAAAAGACCUCACAACACGUCAAGCAAUGGAGGAAAAUGAAGUCCGCACAAUGCACUAAACAAAAUAACGUUGGGAGAAAAAGAUCAUGUGGACUUCGCAUGGUUGGACAAUGAAAAAUAAGAAGUGCCUUUGCACUUAUACUACUUAUGUAGAUAAAACACCAAAAAAAGUCCUUUACUUAUAAUGGUUUAAGAGAACAACUUCUUCUGGACCAAAAUCAACUCAGGAUAUGAUGAGGAAGCCGAAAUUUUCUUAACAUACACAACCAGAUAUCACCAUGCCCACAAAAACAAGACAUAUUCUGAUACUCAAGGUUACUAGAAACUCCUACAAAAUGAAUGCAGCAGAUAAAGAUGGAAACAAGUAAAGAUUGCCUUGAAUAUAGGUCCACAAUGGGCAUGGAUAAAGAAUACAAGGAAGAUGGUGAAUUUAUGGUGCAAAUUGGGAAAAACUCAACAUUUGUCGAAACUUGAUUGAAUCAAGGAUUCCAUUUUAAUCCUCAACUUUUAUUAGGUUACAAGUAUAGUACCUAAUGAACUUUGCUAUCAAUAUGUAGCUUAGAAGCAGUAAUUUAUUAUCGCAAAACUUCAUUUUACUGGUGGUCAGAGAAACUCAUAGUCCGUAUUUAACAUGAUGUUACCAAAACAUAGGUUACCAUGAGAGGUCCUCACAAUCUUUCUCAUUUUAACCAAUUUCUCUGAUCAUUACUAGACACCCCUUUAAGAGAGUUGCUAGUAAAUAUUUCUUGAGAAGAAACUAACUAAUAUAACCGUAACCAAAAAGGGUUGAAUUGUUCCACAAAUACAUACUGUUUCAACACCACUUGGUAGCAUUAUGGUCAAAAUGCUAGUUUUAGCCAGCACACAAUUGGAAUACCAGGCAUCCAUCCUUACAGGAACACAAAUCCUGAACUUUUUGAUAGAGUUGGACUCAAACACCACACCAAGAAAACAGGAAGACAAUAUUAACAAAUAGAGAAUAUCAUUAAAGCUACCACAAACUGCCACAACCAAUCAAAAACAGACUAAAGCUUCUAAGGUGAACUCUUGCAAUGUCUGAUCUCUAUUUCUACUUAAUACAACUUCACUAGGUUGGCUUUUCAUCUGUUAAACUUGAGGUGAUCAGGGAAGGAAUUAACUUGAUGCAAAAGGGGGGCUCAACAAAGGAUUUGAUAAAGGACUGAAAGUAGUGAAAUAGCAUUUGAUUGUCAGUUAAGAUAAGCUUCAAGGAAUCUCAAUAGUAAAGUCAAUAUACAAGAAAUAGUUCUGUUCCAUACUGCUCGAUAAGAACACUUAAUAAGCAUUUCUUUGGACAGAAACUAGUCAAAACUAGAGUUUAAGAUUUCAAUGCCUAAUCCAUAAACAAUCCCACUUGAUAAGCUCCCACUAAUCUUCCUGCAUUUCUUUUCCUCCCCUCCUCAAACCACCCUUUAUUAUUAGAAUCCAGGUCUCUUUUCUGGGAUAGAACUUUUUGCUCUCAUGUACCUACUGUAUGAGCAUGUCUGUAACCAAUUGUCUAAUAUCAGCUGGACUUGCAGAGUUUUAUUCUACUUUAUAUUUCUAAAGGAGACAAAAUAGGGGUUACGGAAAUUGAGUGGUCAUCUCCAGAGUCAAUGCCAAAUCAGAACAUCAAUUAGCUGUUGCAAAUGAAAGAAGCUCUAAUGAUGCAGCACCAAAGAAGAGACAGUGGACAAGAUGGAUUUUAGAAUUUUUAGCUGUACAAACGAUUAAGAAACAAUAUUAAAGGACAGGACAAAGGCAAGAAUCUUAGAGGAGAAAAGCAGAAACUACAGGAUUUCUGACUUUCUCCAAUGAGACACAGCAUAAGAUAACAGUCUCAAUUCCAUCCAACCUUAACAUGAAACUACUAUAUGUCAUUUAUAUCAAAAACAGGAGUUCUUUAGGUCUAAGUGAACUUCAUAGCAGAGUAUACUCCAGGAAACUAAAAAAAAGGUCAAAAACCCUACAUCUAAAACUCACCAUGGGUCCAGAUGACUUAAUUCACUUAAUUUGCCAUUAUGCAAGCAUCUGUAACCCAUUUUAGCAAUCUAAAAAGUGAUUAAUAUAGCCUUCAAUGGAUGAGUACUUACACACCACAAUUUCUUAUACUAGUUUCAAUUAAAUGUCGAUUUGAUGGCAAAAUUAGCUAGAACAUCCACAUACAAUGACAGGGAACUUGCAUUUUAUGUCAGUAAGCUAAUCAACAAUUUCCAAAAUAAUAGGAAAUGUACAGAGGUUAGUAAGCGCAUGAGGAAAAUUAACAAUCCAAAGGAAAAUUAAAAAAUAAAUAAAGGUGACGACCGAAUGGUAAUACUUUGUCCUCUUUAGGAUAUGGCCACCAAGGAUCGAGUCCCAGGGUUAACGUAUUCAAGAGGAAUGGGCCUCUCCUCUCGGGCCACAGGGAAUUAGUCGGGCCAAAGGCCUUGAUACCCUGUGUCCAAAAAAAAAAAAAAAAAAACAGAAUGGUAAUACUUUGUCAAAAUGAAAUGAAAUUCAUGUCUAACUUUCUCCAAGUAGAAUUACUAAAGGUACUACAGAAGCGACAGAAAGAAUCACUAAAGCCACAACUACAAGAUUGCAAAAUUAAACGGCAAAGAAAAAAAUGACACAAGUCCACAGAGAAAAAAGCAACAAACGCAGCUUCAGUUAAAACAUUUAAAUGAAUGUAGGAUUCAGAAAGCUUUGUGUUUGCGCUCACAGAUGAUAGGAAAGACCAACUUAAUGCUAGUGUAAAUUCAAGCAACUUAAACCAUGAUCUAUAUGUUCCCUCCUGAAAAUUUAAACAUUGCAAUACAUAAUCCUGUUGUAUUGAUUUUAUUUAUUGAACUAGAAAAGAAAAGAAAUUAAAUAACAAAUUUUUGAAUGGAAAUCAUGAAAGCAAUAUAUUUUCGAGGUUAUGUUAGAACAUUUUUAUGCAAUGUUUAACAAUAAGUCUAAAUUUUGGGAGUUUAAUCAACAUUAUCACAGUGUGAGAAAGUCUAUGACUGAAUUCC